GUAUUCAACGUCCACAUCGGCUAAACUUUUUAGACAAUAAUUAUAAGUUAUAUUUUAAAUAAGAUCAAAAUGAAUCAAAAUCCGAAUAAGCAUGAACCUUAACCUAACAAGCAUCCAAAUUUAAAAGUUUGUAUUCGGUUUAAUUCAGUUUUUAGUUAAACUGUUUAAUUUUACUGGAAAUGUUUAAUUUUAAAAUUUUAAAUAUUAUAAUUGUUAUAUUUAAAAUAAAUAAAAUUUUUAUAAUAUUAUGAACAUUUGAACGUAUAAUAAAAUAAAAUAACACGGGACAAGGUUAUAUGGCGGGACGGGUUUGAAUCAAUAUUAAUAAAAAUUUAAAAUAUCAUUAAUCCAAGUUAAAUCCUCAUUUUAUUCUUUUUAAACACAACUAAUAUUAGAUAUAUCAAAUCAGUCUGAUUUAGAUAAAAUUGUAUACUAUUAUUUAAUAACAAUUGUAAGUUGGGAAAUUAUUAAAAAUACCCCUUUUGGUGUGCCCCUUUUCAAAAAUGCUCCUUUUAGAUGUCCAUUUUUAAAAAUGCCCCUUUUUAAAUCUGAAAUUUUUAUAAAGUUUUAUUAGGUUUAUAAGGUACUUAUGGAUUGUAACUACUACUUGAAGACUCGAUACAAGUAUUUAUAAGGUUUUAUAAGGUGUUUUAAAAGGUUUUACAAGUUAUUUUAAAGGAUUUUUAAGGUUUUUCAAAGGUUUUACAAAAUAUUUUAAAAGUUUUUAAAGGUAUUUAAAAUGUAUUUAUAAGAUAUUUAUAAAGUAUUUAUAAGAUUUUAGAUAUAUAGAAAUGUAGUUUGUGUAUGUUUUAAUAAUAUUACAUACAUAUUUGGGUAAAUCUUAUAUUUUUAUAAGGUUUUUAAAAAGGGAUAUUUUUGAAAAGUGACAUUGAAAAAGUGGCAUUUUUGCAAAAGCCCCUUGUAAGUUAUAUAAUAUAAAUGUAUUAUAAAUAAUAUAAUUUACAAACAUUUUUAUAUAAUACAUAAUCAUUAAAGUUUUAAAAUCCAAUUUUUUUUAAAAAGUAAAAUUUUUAGGUGUAACACAGAUUAAAAUCUAGUUUUUAGUAAAACAAUUAUGAUUUAUUAAAGGUGAAGACGUGAAGCAAAAAAUUAAGUGUGCAUAAUUUUUUUUUUUUGUUUUUCAUAAUUAAGUGUGCAUAAAUAAAUAAGCUACUUUAUUUUCAUAGUGCGGGAAAAAAAAAAAAAAAAAAAACAGGGUCCUGCAGUAAAAUCUGAACGUGAACCACACGCGUCUCUUCUUCAUCUAGAUACGUUGCGUCUUAAAACACAACACGUAGCAACUCUUUUUAAAAAGAAAAUACGUUUAUUAUUUCUCAACAAUAUAAAAAAAACACAGUCGAGGAAGGCAAUGACCUUUCUCAGCCGUCAGAUUCUCAGUUGAAUACAGUCGCCACUAAGAUUGAACGACUCAGAUUAAUCCAUGACGACCUACUUUCUUUAAUUAUUUUUUUGUCGUGACCUAAUCUUCUAGUUGUUAUUCAUUAGUCACUUAUUUUUAUAUUUAUUUUCUUAGGUCUAUGUGGACCACAGUGAUUGGAAAAGAAAAAGAAAAAAAAAACAUUUUUGUCAACCAUAAAUAAUUAACUUAUUUUUUCAAACGCAUUGUUUGUAGCGUACUGAUUUAUUAAAUACUUUUUUGCUUUGAAUAUUUCCCGAAAUAUUGUAUGGUUAAUUUAUGAUGUCGGGUUUUUGAUUUUUUCCCACAAUAUCACUAUAGAAGAAAUUUUAUAAAUCAUGGUUUCUUUUUUGUUAAAUCAAAACAUUUUAUCAGUUGACUUGAUAACACUAGGUGACAUCAAUUUUCGUUAUAUGUUUGAAUUUCACUUUUCUGAUACAAAAGUUAAUCUAUUGUGAAAAUCUAUAUUUUUUUGCGACUUGUUAAAUAGUUUCCAAAAUCAUAAUAGUCUGUUAAUUAAAUAUUCUUCUGUACUUAAUUAGCAUUUGAACAAAAUGUUUAACAAAUAAACUUCCCGUAAUUUUAAUUAAUUUUUUUUUGUUUUUUUUUUUUUGUAAACAACUUUAUUAAGUUAGUUUAAAAUAGCCAAUUCUAAGAAAUAUUGUUUACAUAGAUGAUAAUUUUGAUAAUUUUUUUUUGUCUUACUUGAUAAAAGAAAUCAAUUUUCCCUAGUAGUAUUAUUUUUUAUAUUUAAUUCCAUAUAAUAUUUUUGAUAAAUAGGUUGCAAAAAAUAAGAAAGAAUAAAUAUCGGAAUAAAUGGUCAUCUCUCAGCUCUGUGCAAGUCUGAACACACCCACACAUAUAUACUCAGAUAUACAUACACACAUAUACACACCACAAAAACCAAUUAUUUUCCAAUUAAUAAAAAAAAAAGUUUCUGUGUUUUUUUUUUUUUUUUGAUAAUUGAAACAUAUGAAACAAUCGUCAUAGAAGCAGAAGCAGCAGAGAUUCACCUUCUUCUCUUUCUUUCUUUAUCUUUCCCUCUCAUCAACAGGAAAAUAAUUCAAAAAAAAAAAAAAAAAGUCAAGCCAAAACGAUGGCGUUUCAUCACAAUCAUCUCUCUCAAGACCUCUCCUUCAAUCAUUUCACCGACCAACACCAACCUCCUCCUCCACAACCGCCUCCUCCUCCGCCGCAACAACAACAACAUUUUCAAGAAGCUCCGCCUCCUAAUUGGCUCAACACGGCGCUUCUUCGUUCCUCCGUUAACAACAAUUUUCUUAACCUCCACACAGCUACCGCUAACACCACCACCGCAAGCAGCUCCGAUUCUCCUUCCUCCGCCGCCGCUGCUGCUAACCAGUGGCUUUCUCGCUCCUCCUCUUUCCUCCAACGAAACAACAACGCAACAGCCUCCACCGUUGUCGGAGACGGAAUCGAUGAUGUCACUGGAGGAGCAGAGACUAUGAUUCAGGGAGAUAUGAAAAGCGGCGGUGGAGAAAACAAAAACGACGGCGGAGGAGCUGCGGCGGCGGACGGAGUUGUGAGCUGGCAAAAUGCGAGACACAAGGCGGAGAUCCUCUCUCAUCCUCUUUACGAGCAGCUUUUGUCGGCGCACGUUGCUUGUUUGAGAAUCGCAACUCCGGUUGAUCAGCUUCCGAGAAUCGAUGCUCAGCUUGCUCAGUCGCAACAUGUCGUCGCUAAAUACUCAGCUUUAGGCGCCGCCGCUCAAGGACUCGUCGGUGACGACAAAGAGCUUGACCAGUUCAUGGUAAUACAUAGAUUUCGGCUUUUAUAUUUUCUUUUCUUUUUCUUAUAAUUUAUAAUUAACGAUUUCAUAAUUUAUUAUUUAGCACAAAUUUUAAUAACACACACCGAGUUAAAUUUACGAAAUAUAUGUUUCUUGAUUUUGAAAUCUUAAAAUCAAGAUUUGUGUUUUUUUUUUUGGGGGAUAAACAAGAUUAAAAUCCCCCAAAAAAUAGCUUAUGAUAUAUUAAUGGUGUUUUUUUUUUGGAAAAAGAUAUAAUAAUGGUGUUGAUGGUGAAGAAGAUACAAAUUUUGUUCUUUGUCAAUGUUUAUUAUUGUGUGUUUGAUUAAUGUUUUUUGUGGUUACAGACACAUUAUGUGUUGUUACUGUGUUCUUUCAAAGAGCAAUUGCAACAACAUGUUCGUGUUCAUGCAAUGGAAGCUGUGAUGGCUUGUUGGGAGAUUGAGCAGUCUCUUCAAAGCUUAACAGGUGAGAAAAUGAAUCUUGUGACCUCUUUUAUGUGUGUUUAUGAAUUUAGUAGUGUUAUCUCAUUGAAAGUUUUUGACAUUUUUGAAUGAGAUAGGUGUGUCUCCUGGUGAAGGGAUGGGAGCAACAAUGUCUGACGAUGAAGAUGAACAAGUAGAGAGUGAUGCUAAUUUGUUCGAUGGGAGCUUAGAUGUGUUGGGGUUUGGUCCUUUGGUUCCUACUGAGAGUGAGAGGUCGUUGAUGGAAAGAGUUAGACAAGAACUCAAACAUGAACUCAAACAGGUAAUAUCUUCUUGAUCAAGUAGUAGUAUAUGGAUUGAAUUGUUUGCGAAGCGAAGUUCAUGAUCUAACAAUGUAGAGGAUUUGUUUUGGUGAAAAGGGUUACAAGGAGAAGAUAGUAGACAUAAGAGAGGAGAUAUUAAGGAAGAGAAGAGCUGGGAAAUUACCAGGAGACACUACCUCUGUUCUUAAAGCAUGGUGGCAAUCUCAUUCUAAGUGGCCUUACCCUACUGUGAGUUCUCACUCUCUUUCACUCAUUCCAAAAUCUCUUUCUAACUUCUCAAAGCAUAUUUAUGAACAUUAAUAUCAAAUUACUGAUUUUGCAGGAGGAAGAUAAGGCAAGGUUGGUGCAAGAGACAGGUUUGCAGUUAAAGCAGAUAAACAAUUGGUUCAUCAAUCAGAGAAAGAGGAACUGGCAUAGCAAUCCAUCUUCUUCCACUGUCUUGAAGAACAAACGCAAAAGGUAUAUAUACUAUAUCAGUUUAUUGUCUUUACAUAACCGAAAACUUAUUCGAUUGGACUUAAAGACUGAGACUUUUGUUUGGAUGAUGAAAGCAAUGCAGGUGACAAUAGCGGAAGAGAGCGGUUCGCGUAGAAAGAACGAACAUAUGAUGUGAAUUGGGAGGUGGAAGAUGGGAUUCGAAUGCAGGGUUUAGGGGUUUAAAGUUUGAGAAAUUUAUGGAGGAGUUUGGGUUAUACAGAGAGAGAGGGGACAGUAUUAGAAAGUAACUUUUUGUGCAAUUACAUAGUACGUAGUUUGGUUAUGUGAUGCCCAUAUAUUUUAUUAAGUAGUACACAAACCAAAAAAAAAAAAAAAGAUGAAAAAAGAAGAUUCAGGCUUUUGUUUAAUGUUUUUUGUUUGUUUGUUUGUCUGCAUGAGUUUUUAGUUAUGAACCAUCAGAUAAUCAUCAUCAUCAUCAUCGUAAUAUAUCUUGUGAAUAAAGUUAGUGAGAGGAGAAGAUUGGGAUGCACAAGUUUUCUAGCCUUUUUAUUUCUUAAAUACUGACUUUCUAUGCAUAAGUUUUCCAUUUGUUUUUUUUUUUGUUUUAAUUGUAUUACACCAUUUGAUUCGCUUUCAUUAAAUGGAUGUUGCGGACAAAGCGAUCUAAUUUGUCAGUGGUUUAGUCCAUUCUAUUUUUGGGGUGGACAACAAUCUGCCGCGGACCAAGUUUAUUUCUACGUAAAAACGGUUUGUAGUUAGUCAGCGACGGAUUUCUUCUAUUUUCUUUAACCCGUACCACUACAGAUUAUAAUUUAUGACUCGUAAAUAAAAAGCAGUCCAUCUACAAACGGAUUUCUCCGCUCCAACCGCCGUAACUAUUCGAACCCUUAUAUGUUUCGCAUUACUGGUACUUGUUCCAUUUUAUCUGUUUGUUUCGUAGUAUUUAUUGCGAUGUCACAUUACAACUCGUGAUAUUUAAGGAAAAGACAUAUACAUGGUAGAUGAAGACAAAUAUAUAACAUACCCUAUCUUAGAUAAUGUAGCUUGCUGCGUACUUUUGUUAUUUAAUAUUUUGAAACGUGUUUCUUUUCUAGUCAAUUUUUUAUCCUCAUCUUGUUGUUUCGUUUUGUCACGUUUGUGACUGAUAGCUACAAGUUACAGGAAAACGUUUUCGAGAGAUUUUUCUAUCGGAGUUUCUGCACAUAUGAACAAGAUAAUUAGAGUGUCCUUAGUUAUUUUGGCCGCCUGUCAAAGAUAGUCAAAGUGCAAGGACGAACAACGUGAUCAUCAAAUUUGGAAAUGGGCUUGCUGAAUGAUUUGUGGUUCAGCUCUAAUCAGUCGAAUAUCAUUGGUGACGAUCUUCUUGUAUUCUUGGGAGAUUUGAGGAAAGCAUUAUCUUCAUGCCACUAGGUUACAUGAAGUUAAAACUAUGGAUGUGGAGUUUCUGUUUAUAUCAAAAUCAAGCAGUUAUAGUUUAAUUUUUACAUAAAAUUAUUUAGUUGUUAAUUUUCAUGGAUGAUUCGACUGAAUUUAGACAUUUCCAGACCAUAUACAGAAACGUACAUAUAUCUGUUUUUCAUAAGUUUUUGUUAUUAGCAUGCUUUUCAUAAGUUCUUGAGUCGAAAAAUAUGUAUUUGGAGUAAACAAAUAGCAAAAAUGGAUGAAUAUCCUCCUAUUUUUCCUAAGAUAUGAGAACAUGAUCCUAAAAGAUGACACAUUAAAAAGACCUUUUCAAUCGACUUAUCAUCAUCCUUAACUUAAAUACAAUAUAUGUAACGUACAACACUCUACCCCAAGCCCACAAAACCGGUCCGGUUUGUUUGGAAUAAAUUGGACCUACACCCUAGAAAAGCCCAUAAAUCCACUAUGAGGUAGAAACCCCAAGCGGCCACCCACCACUCCACCUGACCUGCACUAUUGACCAAGUCAUUCGCAACCGUAUUAGCUGGUAAAUAUGGAGGCCUCCAAAUUCGUUGGCUUAGCCAUCAAAAUCCUUCUCUAAACUAGCUAUAUUCUAGCCUAAGUAGCACCGAGAUGGAUACGGGAAUAUGAAACGGGGACGGGAAAGGGCAAAAGAAAUAAUUUAUAGAAACGGGUACGACAUGGGUACAAUGAGAAGCAAAAACGAAAUUUAGAUGUUUGUUUUUUCUUCACAAAUGACAUAUGGACUAGAUCGUACUUAUAUGAAACAUGACAUUUGUCCGCAAAACCUUCUAUUGUUUCCGUGAAACAAAACCACAAGCACAUUUUUAGCAAUAAUACUAAUCCAUGACUAAAACUUACACACAACUAAAACUUAACUACAACGGCCAUGUCCUCCCUCACAACUUAUGCAAGUUCAAGUGAAUUGAAGUACUUGCGGAUUUUGAAGCUCCACAGAAUGGUCUGAUGAAGUUAUUGUUUAAUUUUAUAGUAAAGUUGCUACGUAUACUAAGACUAAUCCAUAUUUUUGUAAGUGGACUACAAAUAUUGCCAUUCAUAUAAAAUCAUUUCAACAACACAUGUUCAUAAACCGGAUCACUUUGCAAACAUCUUUUGGCUCUAGCAUGUUCGAGUUUUGAAUAUCUAUCGUCUUUUUUUUUCUUUUCUUUUUUUCCCUCAAAAUAUCUAUCGUCGAAAUUUGGGCAUUUCACAUUUGUAAAUUUACACGCACCAAUAAUUUUUUUUAUAGUAUAUGUGUAUCUUAGUUAGAUAAGCACACGUAUAUUUAAGAUUUUGAGAUAAGUACUAAUAUAUUCGGGAUAAACAUCUGAACCAAAGUGAAUCAGUACAAAAUCUGAAGCAAUUUUAUAGUUUUGUGCUAAUAACUCUUUAAACUAUAAUUUACCCAAUCACGAAUCUAGUUAGUGACGAUCGAACAUCAAAGUUAGACCUAAUUUAAUACGAAAUUAAUUGUAACUCCUUAUAUAUGUUUGUAUUAACAUAAAAACCAAUAAUAAAAAAUUAUACAAUUAAAAGAUAAGUAAAAAGAAAUUAAACUUUUAUGACAACCGGAGCUACAAACCUCUCCGGUGAAGAAUCUUCGCCGUCGCCGCAGCCGCCGUCAUCGAAAUUAAGACUAUAGUUUUUCAGAUCAUAAGUAAAAUCAACAUCUCUCUUCAUCUUCUUUCUGCCACUACUAAAACUUCUUAUAAAGUUUUUCCACUUUGGCCCCGCAAUUUUCUCAGAUAUCUCUUUUAGCCCCUUAAGUUUCUCACUUCCCCACUUUCCUCCUCUUUCUUCCUGCAAACAACCACUCCAACCACCGCGACUGCGAGACUCGUCGUCUCUUCUCCGCCACCGGACUACACAUAAUUUACGAAAAAACCCACAUCCACAAAACGUCGCCGUUUCUUCAUAAUCAUCAGCGAGCAGAUUCUCUCUAUCAGUGGCCAUGAUAAAGAAAACAAAAACAGAGAGUUUUGAUUAAUAGAAGAGACUCGAUACAUGUAUAUAUAUAGGUGAAUGAGAUUAUGACACGUGGCGUAUCGACCGUUAGGUGAUUGUAGUGAUGGGGUCUGUUAUUGGACUGUUAUGCUAAUAGUGUGACAGUGAUGUGAGAGUAGCGAGAUUAGGAUUCGCUGGCUAAUGAUGAAAUACAGCUGUGAAGGCGGGAGCGAAACGGUUGCUUUCUUUUCUUUUUUGUCUUUAAGGAUAAUUAUGAAACGAUUUAUUGAUAAAUAUUGAGUAAAUAUUAAAACUUUAGAAGAUAUCUGAAAAAAAGUGUAAAGUGUUUACAAUUAUUAUUUUAAGAACUGAUUGAUGAUGAUGAUGAUAAUAACUGAUUGAUAUUUUUAUUUUGUUUUUGUAUUUUUUUGUUGUUGUUCAUAUAAUAAUUAAAUUUUGUUUGCAACUUUUUUUUUUUUUUUUUUUUUUUUCAUAUAUACAGUAGAAGAGAAAAAUCUUGACCAAAACAUGAUUCUAAAAACGUUGAAUUACCAAAACAUUUUAUACUAGUUUUGGAAUGAACUUCCAUAUUUUUGAAAUUUUAAUUUCAAUUUCCAUCAUAUUGUUUAGGUAAAUUCUUGUAUUGACUAUUUACGUAUGAAAUUCUUUGAAUCUUGUAAGGUAUAUUUUACAAUCAAAUCUCGUAUAAAUUGUAGAGUAUGACUUGAUUUAGUUAUAUUAAACUUUAGUCGCUAAGAACAGUGAUAAUAAGUGAUAAAUAAGUAAGAUUAAAAAGUGCUAAGUAAGACAAAAAGAUUAGAGGUAACAGCGUAACAGCCUGGCAAAUGAUGAUUAGCCGUUGGGUUAAAAAGCAAAACUAGUGUAAGAGAUUUGCUAAACCAAAUCAAACCAAACCAACUCACACAAUAUUUAAAAAAGGCAGUCCAUGUUGCAUUGUUGCCUAAACUUAUCUCAUUAUUAUAACGAUGACUCACUGAUCAGCCACUAAUCAUUAUAACAAAGAUUGCAUUAUGGAAAGUUUUUGUUUAGUUAAAUACUUGAUCCAAUCUAGAGUAUAGAUUCAAACAAGACUUGGCUAAACUGAGAAACAGUGGUCUUCUAAAUUGCUUCAGAUUUUUUACUAAUUCACUUUGGUUCAUAUGCUUAUCCCGAAUAUAUUAGUAGUACUUAGCUAAUUAGUCCAACAAUUUCAGUGCUAUCUUCAGUUUUUGAGGCUUUUAGAUGGGCCUAAUUAUCUAUCUACAGUUUGGGCUUUGAUAUCUUUCAAUUACAGAGAUUUCAUGAAAAUUUUAAAUGUUUUCACGUAACAAAUAUUUUAUUUAAAUUAUGCAUUUUGUUUCAUGAAUAAAUUGUUCUUAUAAAAAAAAUUUAAUUCUUACGAAAAAAUAAUUUUAAUUUUUUCUUAUGAAUAUUUUUUUUUUUUUGGUAAGGUUUUCUUAUGAAUAUUUGUAUACAGAAAAAAAAAUUAUUGUUUAGAAAAUAAUGGCAAAAUAAGAAAAGUGAAGAUUUGAAUGGUAUGACGAGAUUUUGCACAAGAAAUGGUAUGACGAGAUUUGCACAAGAAAAAUAAAAUCUACAACAAUAAAUUCAGUAAGUAACCGCGUGGAGAAAAUAAGGGAAGAUCAUAACAAAACAAAUCAAAUUAAAAUAAGUUGCCAAAAUAGAAAAUCCGACUCAUAUGAUUUGAAAUUGCAAAACUUACCCAUUAGCCACUUAAAGCAAAAACCAAAAACCAAAAAGAGAAAAAAAUCAUUAAAAAGGAGUAACUAAAGGACUCCAUAUUUAAUAAAAAAGAAAAACUCAAGUCUCUAGCCGCCAAUAAGCGAUUGCUUCUCUAAUUUGGUAAUACAGAUUUUUAUUUUAUAGUUUUAAAACCUCAAAAAAUUAAAAAUGUAGUUUCUUGGAAAUGCGUCGAAGCCUUUUUUUUUUUUUUUUUUUCUUUAAGACCAAGUCUUGUUACAUAUUGACAACUAUAUAUAUAAUAAUCAGUUCUUAAGAACUCAAAACAAAGUCUUCUAAAUCAUUUGGGAGAAAAGUCCCAAAUCAUCAAAUCAAAUCCUAAAGAUGUUCAAAGUUGCAAGAGCGUCACAGUAUUUGGCGAUCACCGGUGCUGGUAUCGAAGACAUAAAGCUUUCGAAGAAGUCAUGGGUGUUUCCAUGGCAAUCUUGCACCAUCUUCGAUGUUUCUCCGGUGAACUACACUUUCAAAGUCCAAGCCAUGAGUGCAGAGAAGCUUCCUUUUGUUCUCCCUGCUGUUUUUACGAUUGGUCCUCGUGUCGAUGACGAUGAAGCGCUGAUUCUGUACGCUAGGUUGAUUUCUCCUCAUGAUAAAGAAUCUAAUCAUGUUCAUGAGCUUGUUGAAGGUGUUAUUGAAGGAGAGACUCGUGUUCUUGCUGCUUCCAUGACUAUGGAAGAGAUCUUUAAAGGUAAACUCCAAAUUCAGGGUUUUAGAUGUUAAGUUUAUAGGUGAAUGUGAAUGAGGAUGUUGAAAAGUAAGUUAGAAUUUGUGUAGCCUAGAAAUAGUUUUCGGGUUUGAUUGGUGACCUAAAGCGGUAAGAGUUUCUUAGUCGUAGGAGAGGACGGUAAGCGAUUGCGGAAUAGGUAAAAGAACGGUAAGACUAGGGUUUUGUACAGCUAGUCCGCUAUUACUUAUUGGUUACAAUAGUAGCGGACUAGCUGUAUGUACACCCCUUACUGCAUCAGUAAAUGGUUACCAAUCGCAUUUCUGAACGAUUUAAUAAACAGAGAGUUUCAAAUUUGAGAAUCCGUAAUCUCUGUUUACUAAACGCGUUUUCUGAACGAUUUGGCUAAGUCCUUGAUUAAAUGUUAGAUUGAGUGGUUAUAACUUAUAAGUUAUAGAAACAGUAUCAAUUGGUAAAAUAACUCUUGAGGAAUUAUUGGUUUAUGUUUGUUGAAAUUAUCAUAUUUGAAGUUCUCUCUUUUCAUUAGUAAACUUUAUAAUGUUUUUUAGAUACAUUUUGUGAAACUUUUGGUUAAUAGAGUUUUUGAUUUUGUGAAUUUGAAGGGACAAAGGAGUUUAAGAAGGAAGUGUUUGAUAAGGUACAAUUGGAACUAAAUCAGUUUGGUUUAGUAAUCUACAAUGCCAAUGUGAAGCAGCUUGUUGAUGUGCCUGGACAUGAAUACUUCUCUUACUUGGGUCAGAAAACCCAAAUGGAAGCAGCAAAUCAGGCGAGGAUCGAUGUGUCUGAGGCCAAGAUGAAGGGAGAGAUCGGUGCCAAGGAACGGACUGGUCUUACCCUCCAGAACGCAGCGAAGAUUGAUGCGGAAUCAAAGAUCAUAUCGAUGCAGAGGCAAGGAGAAGGGACAAAAGAAGAGAUAAAAGUAAAGACUGAGGUUAAAGUGUUUGAGAAUCAGAAGGAGGCUGAUGUAGCUAAGGCCAAUGCCGAGCUAGCGAUGAAAAAAGCUGCUUGGACCAAGGAUGCUCAGGUUGCUGAGGUUGAAGCAACCAAAGCAGUGGCUUUGAGAGAAGCUGAGCUUCAAACUCAGGUCGAGAAAAUGAAUGCAUUGACCCGAACCGAGAAGCUUAAAGCCGAGUUCCUUAGUAAAGCCAGUGUUGAGUAUGAAACCAAGGUUCAAGAAGCAAAUUGGGAACUAUACAACAAGCAGAAGCAAGCAGAGGCGGUUCUAUAUGAGAAACAAAAGCAAGCCGAGGCACAGAAAGCGCAAGCAGACGCAUCAUUCUACUCAAAGCAGAAAGAAGCAGAGGGACUUGUUGCCUUAGCUAGUGCUCAAGGGACUUAUCUAAGAACCCUCUUAGACGCUGUUCAGAAUGACUAUUCUUGUCUUAGAGACUUCUUGAUGAUUAACAAUGGUAUUUAUCAAGAGAUCGCUAAGACUAAUGCGAUGGCGGUUAGAGACUUGCAGCCCAAGAUUAGUGUUUGGAACCAUGGUGGAGAACAGGGUGGUGGUAGUGGGAAUGCUAUGAAGGAUAUAGCUGGACUUUACAAGAUGUUGCCUCCGGCUCUUGAUACGGUUUAUGAGCAGACUGGGAUGAAGCCACCGGCUUGGAUCGGUACUCUAGGCGAUGUGGAACCGAAGCAAGUGACGCGAAACUGAGAGGUUGAGGUUUGGAUAGUGGCAUGGUUUGGUUAUUUACUUGUGGUUGAAGAUACAUCCUUGUCCUUGAGAAUGUAAAUUUUUAUUUUUUAAUCCCGUUGGAAAAAACUUGGCUUAUUCUGAAAUGUUUUUUUGAAGAGUUUUAUUUUUUUUUUCUUAAUUCAAUCGUAUUCUUAUAUGUUGAAAUUAAAAUAAAAUGAGGGACAAAUACAAGAUGGUAUUCGACACUUGUUUGAAAUGAGGUAAACUAUGUAUGGUUCGGUUAAAAAGUUAUCUUCGGAAAGGGUUUCAGAUGCUGGGAAUGAUAGUUCGUCCUUUGGGGAACAACCAAAACCAACGCUUUCCGAAUUGCGGCCUUGCGGGCAAGGCAGAGCCGGCCCUGGACUAAAGCAUAUAAGACGUGGACAUUGGGCCCCUAAUUUGUUUUGAUGUUAGUAAUAAAAAUAGCCCCCCCCCCCCCCUGCCCCCCUAAUUUUUUUUUGUUUUGCAAAAAAAGACUCACCAAAUAAAAAUCUCUUCAUUGUUUUCAUUUAUAAGAACAUAUCUAUAAAAAAACCUCCAAAAAAGAUUUGGUUUGGGACCCUCUAAAUUUCAGGCCCGGCCCUGCUUGCGGGGUGAACUUCUCUUGAGAGAAAAUUAGUUCGGAUGGUGGCUACACAAAACAAAAUUCUGCGGUUUUGGUGAAAAAACACAUCAUGGGACUGAAAAGUGCUAUGCGCAUAGUCUAAUGGGAGAUGAUCUAGUAACUGACUGACUAGGAAGUGUUAUGCGUGCAGUCUAAUGGACGGUGAAUGUAGGAGUAGCCAUUGGCGAAUUAGGACGCGCUUUGGUCAUCGACCACGACAGGAGCAGCUACAAGCUGACUAUACAAAGUCUUCUUCAUUGUUGAUGUAUAUAUAUACGUAUUCUAAAAUGUGUAGUUUCUUGGAAGUGGGUUGAAGUUUUAUCUUAUUAAGGAAUUUUCAAAAAGUCUCCUUUUUAUUCUAAUACCAUUUGUCAUAGUCAAACAAGUUUGGAGAGAUUUUGGCAAACUCAAUGCCUUUUAUUAUCAAAAUGCCUUUAAUGAAAAUUCAGAAAUUGUAAAUGUAUAUAAACUUGGUCAUGGUCAACAUUUAAUAUAAUAUGCAUGUAUACCUAUACGUAAACAUUCGUGAUUAAAUUAGGUUUACGUUUUUUUUUUUUUUCCUUCCAAAAGCUUUAUUAAAAUUCAUGUGACAAGUCACUGUUUACAGAGUUUAAGAGGAAAGGAGGACAAGAGUGGUACAGAGACCAUUGAUUAGUACAUGCCACUGCUUUUUUUGCUAAAGUAUCUGCGCAGAUGUUUUGCUAAAGUAUCUGCGCAGAUGUUUUGCUCCCUGGGCUGAUAAGAGAAACUUAUAGAAGUGAACAUUUGUUGCCAGAGUUUAAUGGUUUCCAGGUAGUGCUGAAGCCGUGGGUUAGAGCCGCUGCCGUUGAUAAGGUUGGUGAUAUUGCUAUUAUCACCUUCAAACUCGACUUUCCUGUAUCCAAGUCCCCAAGUGGAUUGCAUAGCCCAAAUUAGUGUCGUACAUUCCGCUUCCUCCGCGGUUGUUCUGCCUUGGAAUUUUCCCAUCCCGCAGUCAUGGAAAAUGCCAAUCGAGUUCCGGAUUAUCCAACCGAGGCCAGAGGGCCUGUCUCCUUCAUGAUGAGAAGCAUCAUAAUUGCAUUUCAUCUAGACAGAUCGUGGGCAGCUCCACUUCUUCUUCUGUGCCCUUGCUAUUUGUUUCCUUGAAGUGCUUUCACUUGCAGUGAUUGUGUUGUCCAACCAUUCUUUUGUAUCCAGAUGUGCUUGACUAACAAUUUCCGGUGUCUCGGUCCUUUUCCGGUUGAAAACCAAAUCGUUUCGACUCUUCCAAAUCCUCCAUAGUAACCAGAAGGGGAGAUAACAAAUGACUCUAUCAAUGUUGUCACCGUUAUGUAUUUUAAAGAUAUACCUGAGCUUGUCUUCUAUAGGGAUGUCGGGAUUGCAAAGUUGUUGUGUUGGGAUUCCAGCAGCUCGCCAUACUACAAGUAUAUGUGGGCAGGAAAAAAAGGCAUGGUCACUUGUUUCUAUUGCCGUACAGCAGCGGGAACAAUAGGGGUUAACAUUGAUGUUCCGUCGGCGAAGAUUUUCCGCAACUCCUAUUGCUCUUGAGGCUAGCCUCCAUAAAAAGUGCUUGAGUUUUGUGGUGAUGUGUAGCUUCCAGGUACUUGUAGCUAUGUCCGGCGAGGUUGUCAAAGGUGGUUUUGGAGUAUCUUCAUCUAUAGUCAGAUUUACUGCCGUCCAAUACCCCGAUUUAACUGUAUAGAUGCCAUUUUUCAUUGGGCUCCAUAUGUAUGAAUCAGGACGUGGUGGUGAAGGCAACAAGAUCUUUCGAAUGAGAUGGUGAUCCUCCGCUAGGAUAAGCUUUGUUAAUUGACAUUCAUCCCACUGGUGAGUUUGUUGAUUAAUCAGCUCCUUGACAUUGAGCUCCGGAUCCGCUGCCGGCAUCAACUUUGGUGGUCGUGGUGGUGUUGUUGGGAGCCACGGGUCUAUUCCCAGUUUUGCUGUUCUACCAUUGCCAAUGCUGACUUGUAUUCUUGUUUCUAGGAGGUCCCGACCAAAGCGAAGUGAGUUCCAACCGUAAGAUGGUUGUGUGCCUCGCGUUGCGGAGAAGAAAGUCCCAUCACGGAAAUAUCUACCUUUGAGGAUACGAUAGAGUAGGCUGUGUGGUUUUUGUAAGAUUUUCCACACUUGGUUUGCAAGAAGGGCUUGAUUGAAUAGAUGUAUAUCACAGAACCCUAGGCCACCAAUUUUCUUUGGUGUCUUUAAUUUCCUCCAAGCAAUCCAUGAGAUUUUUCGCUUAUCUUUUGUUGAUCCCCACCAGAAUCGUGCGAUCAUACUAUCAACCUCGGAGCAGAGUUCCAUCGACAACUGAAAGUAGUUCAUAGAGUAGACGGGCAUUGCAUACGCCACUGCUUUUAUUAGCGUUUCUUUUCCGACGGCCGUAAAAAAUCUUGUUUGCCAUCCUUCGAGUUUCUGCUGCACCCUCUCUUGUAUAUAUUGCAACAUUUCUUUUUUCUUUCUACCAAAUUGUUCCGGUAGACCCAAGUACUUGCCACCACCACCAGUGUUGGGAAUUUGUAGUGUCCUCAUGAUGCUAUCCCUAGUAUUUUGGUAAACUCGGUUCCCAAAUAUGAUGGAUGAUUUCUCAAGAUUGAUCAUUUGCCCCGAUGCUUCCUCGUAUUCUUUGAAAAUUUGUGAUAUAUAGGUUCUGGCUGUUUUUGUAGUCCGCUUUGAGAAAAAAUAGGGAAUCGUACUGCUACGAGAAUAUGAUAUCCCUAUAAAUGAUCUNNNNNNNNNNNNNNNNNNNNNNNNNNNNNNNNNNNNNNNNNNNNNNNNNNNNNNNNNNNNNNNNNNNNNNNNNNNNNNNNNNNNNNNNNNNNNNNNNNNNUUCUUGGUUUGCUUUUGUCAAUAGUGAACUAAAAACAUCAGCACAGAGGAUAAAGAGAUACGGAGAGAGAGGGUCUCCUUGACGCAGGUCGCGGCUAGCUUUAAAGGAUCCAUAGGGGCUCCCAUUGAUCAGAACUGAAAAGGAGACCGAUCUUACACACUCCAUGAUCCAUGUUAUCCAUUGUUCGGCAAAGCCUUUCUUCUUAAGGACCUCUUCCAAGAAUUUCCACUCGAUCUACUUGUUUCUCAGAUUCCCUUUGAGGUUAGGAGAGUGAGUCGAUUCGACGAGUCGAUACGAUCGUACGCUUUGCUUAUGUCUGUUUUAACAGCCAUAUAAGAGUUGGCACACCGCUUUCGUACGCGUGAGGAGUGCAUGAUUUCAUGCGCAAUAAGGACGUUGUCGGUGAUGAAUCUACCCGGAAUAAACGCAGCUUGGUUUUCCGAGACAACGGAUGGCAACACAUUUUUGAGGCGCUUAACCAAGAUUUUCAAAAUAAUCUUGUACGUGACGUUACACAACCUGAUGGGUCAGAAAUCUUUCAUUGUUUUUGGGUGGUUGAGCUUGUGUAUUAGACAAAGGUUGGUGUGGUUCCAUUCAGUUGGAAGUUUCUCUGAGAUAAAGAAAUUUUGUACCUCAGUUACUAUCGCUGGACCAACUAUCUCCCAAUAGUUAUGGUAAAAGGCUGCAUUGAAUCCAUCCGGUCCUGGUGCACGGGUUGCUCCGAUAGAAAAGAGGGCCUCACGGAUUUCUUGAUCAGUAACUUCAUUGGUUAGAGACAGAUUCAUGGACUCUGUAACAAUCGGCUGAAUGUUGCAGAGUGUUUUAUGUGGGUCAGUGUGGUUAUUACUCGAGAAUAAAUCACUGUAAUAGCGAAUAGCUUUCGUAGCAAUAUCUCUGUUCCCGUGAAACUCUGUGCCAUUCAAAUCUUCAAUGGAUGUGAGUCGAUUUCGUGCGACUCUGUUUUUUGUGAUGGCAUGAAAAAACCGAGUGUUGCAAUCUCUUUCAUUUAGCCACUGAUUACGACUUUUAAAUUUCCAAAAAGUCAACAGAUCUCUUCGAAGGCUACGAAUCUGUUCCAUCGUAGUAGAGUUAUCCGUGUGUGCCAUAUCAAUGGCUCGAGUGAGUUCCUUGAUUCUAGUUGCAGAGUUGUUAUUGUUUUCCCUCUUCCAUGUAGAUAUAUCACGUCUGCAACGUUGAAUCCUUUCUGCAACAGAGCUAUUCUCCAUGAUUAAGUUACUGUUCCAGCUUUCAAAGACUACUUUUUCAAAGUCUGGGAUUUUGCAGAGUCUUGUGUCAAAAUGGAAAGGUUUGAAGCCUUGAUCUGUCUUUUUUCUGAUUUUAAUUAUUGCUGGCCUAUGAUCCGAUUCUACCAUCUCCAAGUACUUUACCUCCGAAGCCGGGAACGUUGCUCUCCAUUGAUCAUUUGCCAUAGUUCGAUCUAGCUAACUCUCUACCACAUAUGUUCCACGUUUUCCAAGCCAAGUCAUGUUGUUUCCUUUAAAUGGGAGAUCAGAAACUCUACAAGUAUGAACCAUAUUUCUGAAAUCUACUAAGCUCCAUGGUUCUCUUUGACGCCCACCUCUUUUUUCAUUUGCAUUAAGGACUUCAUUAAAAUCUCCACACAUAAGCCAAAGACCAUUUCGUUUGAGUGCUAUGCGUUGGAGUCUUUUCCAUAAGAUAUGUCGUAGUUUUCGUUUUGGAUGACCAUAAACACAAGAGAAGUAGAAAGACACAUCUUUAUUACUUAUUUUACAAUCGAUGAGUCUUGGAUCAACAUCAUUAAAGCAAACAGAAAUAGACUUGUUCCAUAACAAAGCUAAGCCACCCCCAACUCCCAACGGAGAAACACACUUCACAUAAUCGUAACCCAAUUGAGCAGCUACAUCACGGACGACAUCAUCGGGAUUCUUCGUCUCGACCAAAAAGAGUAAGUCCGGGGAAUAAGUUGCCUUAAUUCCCUUUAGGCGUCGAACUACCAGGGACCCUUUUAAGCCCCGGCAAUUCCAAAAGGCUGUAUUCAUGACGGCUCAGGUGGCUUUUGGCCCACCGUGCCUUCUCGGUUGGUUGUUGGGGUAGUCAGAGCAGAUCUCCCGGUGUUGGUUGGUUGUGCUGCAAGAGUUGCGGGUAUCCAUAACCAGUUGCGAACCUCAUUUGCUUCUGAUUGUCGACGGCGUCUGGUGACAGCAUCAUCAAUGUCUUCAAUGGCGUAGCCCUGUCUCAUUUUACAAACCAGAAAUGGGUAAGCAGUGACAUGUUCCAUAGGUGGAGACUCGAUUUUCCUCUUCUUAGAUACAGACUGCGAAUCUUCAUCUUGUCCAUUAUUCUCGCCACACUUAUAGUCCUUUGGUGUAGUACCUUCCUUAGGUUGAUUGUUUCCUGGCGCCUCAGGAUCGUAGUCCGGAUCCUCAUCAUCAUCUGCUGGUGGGGGAGGAGGAGGAUCAUUGUUCAGAGGGCAGUCUGGUGAUUCGUGUGUGAGGAGUCCACACAUGGAACAGAAGUUUCGCAAUUUCUCGUAUCUGAACUUAAGAACACAGGCUUGGUCCCCAAAUUGGAAAAGACGUUGCAAGCGCAAAGGAUCUUCUAUGUUUCAGAGGAGACGAACACGAACAUAGUCAACAAGCACUGCACCGUCACCGCCAAAAUCUGUUUCCAGAAAAUGGCCUAGCCUUUCUCCGAUUGAAGUUAUCAUUCGCAGUGUAAGGAAAUGGAGGGGAAUUCCCCUAAUUUGGACCCAGAAAGGUAUUUGCUUCAAAUCAUUGUCGGUGUGGAGUGGAUUCCACUUUUGAGUUACACACAUCCACUCGUUAAAGGACCACGGCCCGCGGCGGAGAACAGAACUCAUCGCCUCUUCGGAUUGGAAAAGGAACUGAAUCUUUUGAUUCUCCAAAAUACGCCCCGUGACUUCGUCACCCACACCCCAAAGACGAGGCAUAGUACUGAGCAUUGCUCGAAGGUUUUAUUUCCGCGGGUUCACAGGUUUGACGACUAGACUGAAUUGUGUUUCAGUAAUCGCCUCUUCACAUAAAUCGACCGGGAGAUUGAUCGCAUCAUCUUCAAUUCCUAAAGCAAUUUCUUGCAAUUGUCUCCGGAUUCUAUCCGCCAUGAUCAAUAUGAACAAAGGAAAUGAAAUUGUUUCACUCUGAUCAACCCAAGGAGAACAGAGACAUGCGCAGGGAUUAAAUAGGUUUGCGAUGAGAGCAGUUAAGGGAUCAAUAACCGCCAGCCUGUUAUCCCACCCUGAAGAAACCGCCGGUAACCGGCGACCAACGCUCACAGACAAGAGACACGAAGAGAAAGUCAACAGAUGCGAUCGCACAAAAAAUCGCUUUUUCUCUCUCAUUUUUUUUAGUCAAAAUAUCCUAUAUUAUUUUCAUUAAAUUAGGUUUAUGUAAAUGGUGUACAAUUCAUAUUAAAUAUUUUUAUGAAUUAUGAUAUAUUUUUUUUGUUUAUGUAUGGUGCACUUAUGUAUAGUUUUGGUUUUGUUUAAUGUACAUCUACAUAUAAAUCCUGAAUUUUAUCAAAAAAAAUUUCAUCUAAUUUUAUUAAAAUGACAAAACUUUCAAUAACAAUUUUAGCUUGACAAACUCUACAUAGAAAGUCAAUAAUGAAACAUUCUACACAACCAUCCUUUUUUGUAUGUGAUAUAUACUCGUUUGUGAAAUUUCAUGAACAUUUCUCUAACAGUGACAGACAAAGUCUUCUAACAUGUCGACGACUAUAUGUAAUAUAUAACAACUUGAUCUCACGAAAUAAAAAAAAACAAGUAUAGCUACUCAUUCUUCGUCUUCAAAGUUCAAAACCAUUUCGUCGAAAAACUUAAAACCAUCAAAUCCUUAGAUCUUAGACAUGUUCAAGGUUGCAAGAGCAUCACAAUAUUUGGCCAUCACCGGUGGUGGGAUCGAAGACAUCAAGCUCUCGAAGAAAUCAUGGGUGCUUCCAUGGCAAAAAUGCACCGUUUUCGACGUGUCUCCAGUGAACUACACUUUCAAAGUCCAGGCUAUGAGUGCAGAGAAGCUACCUUUUGUUCUUCCUGCUGUCUUCACUAUCGGCCCUCGUGUUGAUGACACUGAAGCGCUUAUUCUGUACGCUAGGCUGAUUUCGCCUCACGACAAACAGUCAAAUCAUGUCAAUGAGCUUGUUGAAGGUGUUAUUGAGGGAGAGACUCGUGUUCUCGCUGCUUCCAUGACCAUGGAAGAGAUCUUCAAAGGUAACCCAAAGAUUUAUUUCUAUUAUUGUUUUGUUAAAACAUAUGGUGGCAUUACUAGCACACAAACUUAUUAAGCUAUAUGUCAUGGUCUAUUCAUCUCCUAAAUAAGGAUUUAGAUUAAAAAAAAAAUUAGGAGGUUUGAGUAUAAUGUCUAAGGCGUAAUAUUUAAAUUUAUGUCGCCUAGAAAUAGUUUUAAAUUGGCAAUAUUACAUUAUCAUAAAUUGAUUGGUUUUCUAAAAGAUAUGGUUUUGUUUUUAUGAAUCUGAAGGGACAAAGGAGUUUAAGAAGGAGGUGUUUGAUAAGGUUCAACUAGAACUGGACCAGUUUGGACUGGUAAUCUACAAUGCCAAUGUCAAACAGCUGGUUGAUGUGCCCGGACAUGAGUACUUCUCUUACUUGGGUCAGAAAACCCAAAUGGAAGCGGCCAAUCAGGCCAGGAUCGAUGUGGCUGAGGCCAAGAUGAAGGGAGAGAUCGGUGCCAAGGAACGGACAGGGCUUACGCUACAGAACGCAGCGAAAAUUGACGCGGAGUCAAAGAUCAUAUCGAUGCAGAGGCAAGGAGAAGGGACAAAGGCGGAGAUCAAAGUGAAGACUGAGGUAAAAGUGUUUGAGAAUCAGAAGGAAGCUGAUGUAGCUAAGGCCAACUCGGAGCUUGCCAUGAAAAAAGCUGCUUGGACCAAGGAUGCUAAGGUUGCUGAGGUUGAAGCAACCAAGGCUGUGGCUUUGAGAGAAGCUGAGCUUCAGACUCAAGUUGAAAAAAUGAACGCUUUGACUCGAACCGAGAAGCUCAAGGCCGAGUUCCUUAGCAAAGCCAGUGUUGAGUAUGAAACCAAGGUUCAAGAAGCAAAUUGGGAAUUGUACAAUAAGCAGAAGCAAGCAGAGGCGGUUUUAUACGAGAAGCAAAAGCAAGCUGAGGCACAGAAAGCUGAAGCAGACGCUACGUUCUACUCAAAGCAGAGAGAAGCAGAGGGACUUGUUGCUCUAGCCAGUGCUCAAGGAACAUAUCUCAGAACCCUUCUAGACGCUGUUCAGAAUGACUAUUCUUGCCUUAGAGACUUCUUGAUGAUUAACAAUGGCACUUAUCAGGAGAUCGCUAAGACUAACGCACUUGCAGUCAGAGACUUGCAGCCCAAGAUUAGCGUUUGGAACCAUGGUGGAGAACAGGGGAUUGGUGGUGCUGGUGGGAGUGGGAAUGCUAUGAAGGAUAUAGCUGGACUUUACAAGAUGCUGCCUCCAGUUCUUGAUACGGUUUACCAGCAGACUGGGAUGCAGCCACCGGCUUGGAUCGGUACUCUAAGCAAGUGACGCUGCCUCAACAGCUAAAAGGUUGAGAGCAUGGUUUGGUCGUUUGUUUGUGAAUUGUGAUUGAAGAUACAUCCAUGAAAAUGCAAUUUUUCUUUUUUUAUUUAUUUUAAUCUCGUUGGAAAACUUGGCUUAUUUCUUAAGUGUUUGAGGUUGUAUUUGUUUUUAAUUUAAUUGUAUUCUUAUGUGUUAAAAGUGAAAUAAAAAUGAGAGACAAAUAUAAGAGGGUACUUAGACACUUUUUGUUUGAAAUGAAGUAAACAAAAAUAAUAUUUCAUGAAUUUGCAGAGACCAUGAAGGUUGUUUUGUAGUAUGAUGUAUGUACAUAUUUGAGUGGUAUAUGUAUGUGUAUCAAGUCUAGGCUUAUUGUAAUUUCUCCUUUGGGAUGCUUGAGGACAUCAAAGUCUAGUAGAGACCAGACUGAAAUUGGAGAAGUUAAAUGCCAAAGAAAGGCUUUGUUUGGAAUGCUAUAUAUGUUACACAUCUAACCACAACAAGGGAGAAACUAAAGAGCAGGACAAGGUAUUUUGAAAAGAAAUGAGCAACUCACAGGUACAUAUAGAUUACGGCUUCUUUCUCGUUGUCUCUCUCUAUGAUCCCCAGUUUGGUAUGUUGGCCGUGGCUUCAUUGAUCAUCUUUACUAAUGUUACCUGUCAAUACAUUAAUGAAGAGAACUGAGCUGUGCUUGUAAUCAUUUGGCCUAAACAUUCUGACCCAUGGACUGUAACAGAAAAUGGGUAAUGUGUUUUCAGAAAAAUGAAGGCCGGAGGACAUGUAAACAUACCACACUUUGUGAAACACCGGGUGGAGGCAUUGUAAGGUUCCUCGGUGGUGGUGUGCUAUCAUACGAUCUUUUGUCAAAUCUCCAUUGCCCAAUUUUCCCAUAGGUUAAUUUACCCUGAAAUCACCACAAUCAUUCUUUUACAUUCUCUGUUAUCAAUUUCAAAUCAUAUGCUAAUCUCAAUAAUCAAUUUCUCAAGUUUGUAUAUAUCGUUGAUUACUGUUGUUCAUAUAUCAGAUCAGAAUUUGAAAACUUACCUUCAUAUCGUAGUCACAUCCAUAAGUGUAGUGUAUGAUGUACUUGUCACCAACCUCUAUAUCCCAUGGAGGCUGAUUCAUUACCACAAACAAAACCAAACCAAAGUCCAAAUCUCUUUAGUUUAAUGCAUAGAAAAAAUAUUAUCCAUGUAACAAGAAACAACACAGAGAAUUUCUGAGGUCCAGGCCAUAACUAUUUCACUCUCCAAAACCUCAUUUAGUAUCAACAAAGUUCAUGGAACAUUUCCCACCCUUGGCCACGACGACGUACUCUAGAUUAUUUAUUCAUUUUAUAUUGUACUAGCUCACGCAAAUGGACAUGGUGAUACACUUUUGCUUCCAUUCAUAACCGCUACACGCUUAAAAACGAUAUACAAAUUUGAAAAAAGCCAAAAUGUGUGUAUAUGGUUACCUGAAUCAUGAAGUCUUUGUGUAGAAUAUUGCUAACACCAUGCAAUGCAGAUGAGACAGCAUAAGCAUACCUAUACUUCCACAAAAGAUAACAAAAAUUUGUCGUCAAGUCUACCCAAUCGACAAUCUAAACAACACAUUCGAUAUCAUAUCAAGAUAUUUUUACAUUUCAAGAACCCAUCCAAAAGCCUUGUCUGCUUCAGGAUCCUUCUUCAUAGCCAAAGAAACAUUCAUCCAAGUUGGAGCAAUCUUCUUUAAAGCAUCCUAAAAAACCAUAACAUCAAAAAUCUUUAGCGAGAGACACCCUUUACAACCUAAUCCCAAAUCGUACUUUCUACGCAACAAAAACAAACCUUUCCCACAAUGACAGGAGAGUUUCCUAUCGGAUCGAUAUUAGUAACCGGUCCUCUCUCUUCUGGAUAAUACUUCCUCAACACCUUCUCAUACUUUUUCGGCUCAAUGUAAAAGAAAGGAAAUGCAGCACCAAGCCCAUCUUUAGCUAAAUUUGGUAUAGGUUUAACAAUGAUAUGAUCAGGCUCAGACAUCAAAAUAUAACUGCACACAACCAAAAAACAACAUAUCAGCACAACAAUCACCCCUAAGUCAAUCACCAAAACAAAGAGUAAAAUCAAAAGCAUCUUAACUCUUCUUUAAUAUCUGUUUGUUGAAGCCAUUGUACAAAAGCCCAUGGCCUAUUCAACACAACAUAACCCUACAAAAUUAACCAAAAACCACACUCAAAAAAUCAAUGUUCAAUUUCUCAAAAGAACCAAAAUCAAUACACAUUACCUGAUCCAUCCCAGAAGGUAAAGGCUGAGCAACAAAAGUAGGAAUCUCAUCCAUAUACUGAUCCGGUUUACCAGAAUGCAAGAUCCGAGUAAACCCACCCAUUUCAGAACCGGGUCCAGCAGAAGCUUGAACCUUUUUGAACCAAUAGUACAUAACUCUACAUUGCCAAGUGUUGUAGACGGAAUCAGACGCAGUCACCGCCGUGUGGAAAAGUCUCGUCCUUUUACCAUUGUUGCGGUUUCUGGAUCCGCCGCCACGAGGUAAUUCGAUGACUGGGUCAAUGGAGAUAUCGGAAGAUGAAGAUCGUCCGGGGAAGCCUUGUUUGAGAGGAGCAUUAGCGGAGAUGAUGAUGUUGUAAGUGAUUAGAGCAACGGAGAGAGUUAUGAGAAGUGGGUAGAACAAAGUUCCACCACAACCCAUUUGAGAGAGAUUGAGAUUUGGAUUUGAGGAAGAGAUUGUUUCUUCAAAGUCGUCGUCUUUGUCUUUGUCUUCUUCUUCUGCUGCCUAUGCCAGUUGGUGAAGAAGAAGAAGAUGCCGAAGAAAUGGCUUACCUUUUUAUAAGUUCUAUAUUGCUUUUACAGUUUCACUCUUUAUUUUGUUUCUCUGUUUUAUAAAUUUUACUAUUAUUACUAUAAGUAAAAACAUUUUGGUUUUUCGGUUUAGUUCGGUUUUAUAAGACCAUAUUUAUCGGAAUAACUUAUUUGGGUGUUCUUAGGGUUAAUUAAGUAUUAAAAUAAUGUAGAUAGAAAAACAGUUCUUGGGUAAAGAGAAGAACAUGUCUAAACAGUUGUUGGGUGUUCUAAGACCAUUUUCUUUUAUUUUAUUAUUUUUUUGAUGGUAAGAACAUGAGAUAAAUUAUCCCCUUACAUAUGCCCUAAGAAUGCCAACCAAUAUUACUUUGGUUUGGUAUACUACAAGGUUCAUGCUCUAAGAUUGCAAUGUAGAGAGAUUUACAAGAUCUUGAAAAAUAAACCAAAAAAAUUCAUCAUUUCAACUGAGGACUUACUAUUUAGUAUUUACCAAAGGUAUUAAGUAGGACUGCUACGGUUAACCAACCCAAACUGUGCUGGUUUUUUUGGUUAACAUAACUAUUUCUAGAGGGUUACCCAAAUUAACCGAAGAAAAUUUGGUUUUGAGAAUUAAUUCUGGUUAAUUCUGGUUUUGAGAAUUAUAGUUUUUUUUUUCCAUAAUUACAUUUCGAGGGAGUAAAAAAUUUCCAAUGUGUUUAAAAAUUUUCAGUGUCUAGACAGAAACUCUCUCCCAAUGUAAGAGUUUACAAUAGAAACCUCUUAUAUAGGGAGAGAGUUUCGGUCUAGACACUGAACCAAUUACAAUUAACCGGUUUAUCAUAAACCGUUGAAUCAAUUUCAUUUAUAUGUCUAAUAGCUACUUCAGUUGACCGAACCAAAUCGUGUCGGUUUUUUGGUUAACCAAACUAUUUCUAGAGGGUUGCCAAAAUUAACUGAAAAGAAAUUUGGUUCGGUUCUUGGUUAAUUUCGACUCUUUUUUGAGAUUUGGAGAAUUCGAGGGAGUAAAUUUUGUCAAAUGUGUUUAACAAACUAUUGAGUACCAAAUACUUUGUUAAACACAUCAAGAAGUUGCUCGCUACUACUGUCCACCUUCCAAGUACAUAUUGUUCCUUCUUUGAUUGAUUAGCUUCCCGAUAUUGAUUUCCAUGUGUUUCGUCCAUUCAUGAAACACAAAGUUUGCAACAACUUUUGCUUGAUUGUCACAUCACAUGCUUGUUUGUGUAUGCGUCACAUCUAACUCAACAACAUCAAAUAUCAUAUACUGAAUCAACCGUGUAAAACCACAUUAUGCUCAUACAUAUGAUCCAUUUCUCGAUUCUCGACUGCAACCACUUUCAAAAACAUUCGAACAAUAGACAUUUUUGGAAGAAACACAAAUGUUUUCGAAUGCCUUUCUUACUACAUAUGCCCAAGCAAUACCAGUAUUUUAUGCGCUCACAACACAAUACGAGAUUGGCUCUGUUUUUGCACUUACAAAAUUGACCAGAAAUUUAAAAUGAUCAAAACCAAUUUUGGUGUCCUCGACCACAUUUAUUGUAAACAUUAAGCUAAAGAGUUCCACUGCAGAAACUUGUCCUUGUGGUCCUCAAACACAAAGUCAAGAAAUUUGGCUACCAAACUUCACUUUUGACCAGAAAUUUUUUUUUUUUUUUUUGACUCUCCCUCUUAAAUACUCUCAUGCCUUAGCAUCCCCUCCUCUAUAAUUCGGUACUAAUCUAUAUAUGCACUUAUGUUUAUUAUUCGAGUACAAGAUCUGAAAAUAUUUUGGGUGAGAGAAAGUAACAUAAAAACAAAAAAAAAAAUGGAGAUGUUUUGGUUAACACCACCAAUACCAUUGAAAGAAAGAACAAUCAAAGCUCAGAAUAAAUUACCACAUAAGUAAAAAAAAAAAAAAAAACUAUCGUUCUUCAAAAAGUGUGCUUCCCCACUCUUCGCUUUUGCGCCAACAAUCUCUCACUCUCUCUGCAUUAACAUCAUCACAUGUUUAAGUAAACACAGACCAAAUGAACACAAACCAAAUCAAUCUUCAUAUUUACCCUCUGACGUUUCGACUCUGGAGGUGACGGUGGUUCAGGUCUCCGAUUUGAAUUUCCUCGCGCUGUACCUUCCUCCUCCUGCACCUCGUAUUUAUCCGCAACCAACACUCAUUAACACAUUUGUAUAUUCUCACCAGUUACCAUUUAUCAGAUUUUAGUAACCCCUAAGCACCGGCUUUGAUAAGGUUUACCACUUCUACUCCUACACAUCUGUAUAAUUCUAUACACAACCCAAAGCUCUACGAUCUUUCGCUAUCCAAUUACUCCAACAGGAAUUCCCCACAAGUCAAUGACAUGUUGCAUAAGGCUUCUAAGGAAAUAACUAAAUAUGUAACAUGUUAAAAGGUCAAAAAAAUGGUGGAGAUAACAAAGUACCUCUCUUGAAGAGGCUUGUCUACUGCUGUUGCUGCCUCUGCCUGUAGCAGCUUCACCUGAGCUUGACGAGGCUACGUUUUGAGAUAUAAAAGGCAUGAUCUGCUGAAGAACACUUGAUAUGAAAUUCCCUUCAUCCAUCGUAGUUGCCGGCUCUGCUUGUGCAUUUGCAACUGCUUCGUUUGUUUCUGUGGACGCUGUGGCAGAGGGGUUUGCUGCACCCUGAGACUCCGUGCUCCCGGCUUGGUGUUCUCGACGAGAUAAGGGCCUCAAAAACUGAUGGAUUCUGUUUCUCAAUUCAGACAAACCCCGACCGCCAGGAGAAGCACUGCUAUCACCUACAUAUUUCAGAGAAGCAAAGAUUUAUGACAUAGCCUGCCUUAAGGUAAAACAUCAUCUACAGCAAAGGGAAACAUCAAAUCAAACAUAAUUUGAGACAACCCAGUAAUAAGAGGCAACAGACGUGAAGUUUUCUCUUAUCGACAAUUCAACAAAUAAAUCAGUACAAUACUGUAGGGAAGUUAUGUUAAAACUAACCUUCUCUUCCUGGAGUACUGGCGCUCUGUGGCUGCCUAGAAGAUUCAGUAACAGGCUGAUGUACACCAUCCAAUCCAGUAGAGCUGCGUUCACCAAGAGAUAUCUGCUGAUAUCGAGCAACAACUGGUAUAACUAAGGCCACAGGGUUUCGAGGAGGUUCAGCCGAACCUCUUGUUGAGGGGGCAGAAUCAGUAGUGCUACUAGGUGCUGAAGGGAUUGACUGCCCAGGGGUUUGUUGUGUAGUACUUUCUUCUCUCUGGUUGGUCCCACUGGCGGGCACCCAAGAUCCUAAUAUAACGUCCAUUUUUCAAGAUUAAAAAAGGAACUUAAGCUGAAGAUUUUCAAUAUAGCAGGAAAGAACAGUUUAUACUUAGAAAUUAAGUGUAUGAAUAGCACCUGUACGUAUUCUUAUCUCAAUAUUUCUUGGGGCAGAGGCAAGUGAUUGUCCAGCAAAAGGGUUAGAAUGUGCGGUUCCUGCUUGUAAGCCUCCAAUACUCGUCCCCAGCCGAGAGGAGUGUGACUACAAAAAUUAAAGGUAGACACAAAGGUAAUGAUGAGCAGGACAAGUGGACACACUGGUAAUGAUGAGGGAAAGAAACAGAGAGACAGACAGGCAAGGGAUUUCUCCCUGUAGGGGAUAUGAACACUGCAGGCCCAGCAUUAACAACAGCAUCAUCCUGACAUGUAACAUACCAAGUGUCAUAUAGAUGUACGGGUAUAUCAUAUUCUGUGAACAAAAUCAUAUGCAAACUAAUGCAUCAUUAAAAAAAUUGUAAGAUUCAGAUCCACGAUAUGUAGGAAAAGAAUACGCACAGGUGUUUGUCCCAAACGAAGCAUCAUCGUGGCACGGCCAAGCUCCAGGAGUGAAAUGCCUAAACUCUCCAAGAGGGAUCCUGAUUGAAGCAUGUUUGACUGGCACAACCUUCGGGUUGGCGGAUCGGUCACAUUUACAUGAUCCACGAGCUGCCUCGAAAGAUUCUGCAGAAGAGAGAUAUGAAACGGUUAUUCUUGUUUCCCUGGAUUUGAGUAACCAAUUCCAGCUCAAGUCAGUCAGUAAAAAGAUAACAAAAACACUGCAUGUCACUAAUGUUGAACUAGCCUUGCUAACUUCAAUGUUUCUCACAUUGCAACUUUCACAAAAAAGAAACAGUUAUUCCCAUGGCACAAAAGUCGGAAACAAUGAGUCUACAGGGCUUGGAGGUUUCUAUUAAAAGUUUAUCUGAGUCCCAUAAAUUGAUGUAAUAAUUUCCGCAUUGGUUAAGACUGUCAAAGCAAAGACACAAGUAGCUUUCUCAAAAAGAAUGUAAGAAGCAAAAGUAAAAGAGCAUACAGUUAAGCAAGCUGCUACUUCACCGAUCAACAAUUGCCUUGUCGAUUGCAGCACUUCUGCCAAGUGAGAUGGUCUUGGAAUCCGACUCUCUCCAGUAGUAGAAGCAGAAUCUUGCACAUUGCCCAUUGAAUUUUCAGAAUCUUGCAAGUUAUUAGCAUUGCUACCUGCAAAAAUCACAGUACCACUGUCAGGCUCUCGAGACUUGUUUUCAACACAGAACCAAACAUUUAAAAAUUAGUCUAACCGUUAGCAGCAAAUUCUUGUCUCAGAUGAUUCAGAUAUUCAGAUAAGGUUGUCAAUGAAUCUGGAAUCGCCUGCAGUGGUAAAAAGUAUAGCUUUCUCAUGAACAAAAACAUGAUGUGCCUUACAAAAAUUAUGUAACAUGAGUAAUCAUGGAAACUAGGGAGCUCGUACUGCUGGUUGUGAAGAUGUCAAGGGGGUAGACGUCUGGUCCACAGCAUUUGGUGUGGCAGCUCGCCCUCCGGAAGAAUCUCUUACAGUGCUAGGACCAGAACUCCGAGACAGCCUCUCAUGAAGAGGACCCUGAAAAACAAAGGGAACUCUAUAACAUCCAAAACCGAUAUAUAGAAAUACGCAGCAAAUUAUAGGCAAUUACCAUAGUAUCAAUCCCUUCAAUACCACCUUCUGGAUUAGAGAUCCCAAGUGAACCCAGAACUGCUGAAACUAUCUGCCAGACAUAAAACAAAGCUCAUGAAAAGGAUCACAUCUAAUCCAACACACAAAAAUAAAAACAGAUCAAACAGAUAAAAGAGGGUAUACCUGACCAAGAUCUGAAUAGACUCCAUCUGCUUGUUCAGCAAUGUUGAAGGAUCCUACUACAACUCGUGAUCGUUGACUGCCCUGGCUGUCACCAGCACUCAAAGCAGGAUCAGCCGCUAAGAAAACAAGUUCUCCACUUAGCAUGUUGAAAUAUAGUCUCACAAAUUGGUAUGUUGAAAUUCAAAGAUGAUUAGGAGCAGUUUUUUGGGACCACAAAUUUGUAAGGGAACUUGAGACUACCUGCAUUACUAGUUGAACUCUCUGAUACAGGUUGUCUGACUACCAAAUGCAGAGUGUGGCCAUCUUCAACAUCUAAGAUGGAACCGUUAAAAGAAUUUUACCGGUAAAAGGAAAAGAAAUUACUGGCUAUCAUACGACACUGGAAUUGUUAACAAGGAAGUCAAAACCAAGGUCUUGACAAACAACAUUAGCAAACUAGGGUUCACAAAUCACAACUGAAAAGGAAAGCUCUAAGAAAGAACCGAUGCAAUAUGCUGGAAAGAACAAAAAGGAUACGAUAGGCUGAUAGGAGUUGAUCGUCCUUCAUAACUUUUCCACGACAUAUCAAGCGUUGUUGUUCCGUAACGACACCAGUAACGGAAGCAACCUGCUCCUUCAAUGCAGGAACAGGGACCUGAAAUGAAACAAGAAAACAGAAAGCAAAUAUAUGAAAGGCUAUCUAGGACACAAAUAAAGAAGUGAGGACUGAAAUAAGGCAUUAGUUCCACGAUUUUAGUCAAAGGAUUGAUAUUAGUAAUUAGAAACUUCAUUAUGCAACACAUGCAUGCGACGAAAGACAGACCUUACAGGUAGUAGUCUCAGUUCAUGGAACCAAAUUGUAUAAUACAGUGACAAGAAUUCACAAUAGAGAAAAUGAAACAUCAAAGAAAAGUAAACUACUAUGGCUCGUUUUUCUUACGCAUUUAUCUACUCGUAAGGUGUACGUUUGAGAAUCCAAAGUCUUUAUCUUUAUCUCAACCAUAGCACUGGCGCAUUGCGAUGCCUCGACCAUAAUUUCAUCUUUCCCAUUGUCUCCCAUCCUUUCAAAUGCCUUCAAACACCUGGAAACAAAAAAAAACUAUCAGCUUACAUCUAUCUCAGCUGCAUGCAAAAACAACCUUUGAUCAAACUGGUGUUAAAAAAUGACUCAUCAAACACUGAGACAAAACUCAACACUUUUUCGAGUCUAUCGAAGAAAUUUUUCAUCCAAAACCCUAAAAAAACAAACUUUCAUGGACGGCACUAAUAACAAUUUCAACAUGAAAAUCAAACUCGUUCAAAUCAUGUAGACAUCUUAAUCAUACAACUCGUUCAAAUACCUUUUGCCAAAGACGAAAUUCUUAGCUAAAAUCUCUCAAAAUUCGUAAAGCUGGACACUUUUCAAUCAAAUUCAAGAGGAGGAUCAUGUCUUUAGCUACUCCAACUCCAAAGAAGCAAACUGGUAAAAGAUGUGAUCAUAACCAAUAAACACUUAACGCAAUCUCAACUUCGAGAAUUCUUAAUAAAUAGCAAAACAUAUUCAUCAAAUUCAAUCAAAACACCAGAAGAGUUCUAAGCUUUUCCGGUGAAGAAAAACAGAAGAAUCGAUCUAAAACCCUAGAAAAACGAACAAAAAGCAAUCAAGAAGACGAAUCAUUAUGAAAUUAGUAACAGAGAGGAAUCAAAACCUAGAAAAUUGAUCGGAGUUGAAAUUAGCUGAGGAAGAGAGAAGGAGAUUUGGGGCUAAGAAUCUGUAACCCUAAGAGUCCUUUCGCGGCUCCGAGAGACGAUUCCGCGGCGAAGGAGAGUGAUGAGAGAAGCCUGGAAAAAAAAAAACGAAUUUUUCUGAAUUUUGCCUUUCUUAUUAUUAUUAUCACGUGAGUAUUUUUUAAAGUAAUUUCAAAUUUGAUGAUUUUAAUUUUUAGGCAAGUAAUUUUAAUUUUGCUGAAUUAUAAGAAAUAAAUUUUGGUUUUUGCAUUAUAGGAGAGGUUUAUAAAGUAAAAAUAUCUUUGACUUGGCAUUUUAGUAAAGAGGAUAUUAAUUUAUACAGAUUUGGUAUUUUUUGUAUUUACAUGUAAAGGAAUUUUAUAUCAAUAUUAUUUUAGAAAUAAAAAUGAGUGAUUUUUUUUUAAGCAUUGUCGUGAUUGAUGAAAGUUUUUUUUUCUAGAACUAAAUGAGUUGUAAAUGUAAACUUUAUUUAUAUGAAAAUGGUUCGGAAAAAAUCAUUUUGGUGAAUGUGAACUUCAUUAAUUUGGUGAAUCUAUACUAUAUAAAAGUCGAGGCUAUAAGCUCCUUAAGCCGUCCAUCUAGGAUUUUAAAUCACCAAUCGCGGUUUGACAUCUCAUUAACUAACUUUUUUAACCAAGACAUUAAUUAACAUUUUUAAAUUUGGAUAUUUUCUAUACUAAAAUAUUAAUUAAAAGGAAAACAAAUUAUGGAAAGAAGAGAAAUGUGAAUAUUUGAAACAACAACAUAUAGAAAUAAGACAAAUGUAAAGUAUAGAUUACAAUAUUAUUUUUUAUAUAUAAAAGUCGAAGCUAUUAGCUCCUGAGACAGUUCACGUGAUUUUAAACGACAAGUCGCAGUUAGUCAUCUUGCUAAUUAACAAAUUUUGCCAUUACAUUAAUUAACAUUUAUAAAUUCGGAUAUUUUCUAUACUAAAAUAUUAAUUAAAAGGAAAAAAAAAACAGUAUAUGAAAAGAAGAAAAAUGUGAAUUUUUGAAACAACAACAUAUAGAAAUAAGACAAAUGUAAAACAAUUAUGGAAAGAAGAGAAAUGUGAAUGUUUGAAACAACAACAUAUAGAAAUAAGACAAAUGUAAAGUAUAGAUUGUAAAAAAAUUAUGGAAAGAAGAGAAAUGUGAAUAUUUGAAACAACAACAUAUAGAAAUAAGACAAAUGUAAAGUAUAGAUUACAAUAUUAUUUUCUAUAUAUAAAAGUCGAAGCUAUGAGCUCCUGAGACAGUCCACGUGAUUUUAAACGACCAGUCGCAGUUAGUCAUCUUGCUAAUUAACAAAUUUUGCCAUUACGUUAAUUAACAUUUAUAAAUUCGGAUAUUUUCUAUACUAAAAUAUUAAUUAAAAUGAAAAAAAAACAGUAUAUGAAAAAAAAGAGAAAUGUGAAUUUCUGAAACAACAACAUAUAGAAAUAAGACAAAUGUAAAAUAAUUAUGGAAAGAAGAGAAAUGUGAAUAUUUGAAACAACAACAUAUAGAAAUAAGACAAAUGUAAAGUAUAGAUUGUAAAAAAAUUAUGGAAAGAAGAGAAAUGUGAAUAUUUGAAACAACAACAUGUAGUAAUAAGACAAAUGUAAAGUAUCAAUUACAAUAUUAUUUUCUAUAUAUAAAAGUCGAAGCUAUGAGCUCCUGAGACAGUCCACGUGAUUUUAAACGACCACUCGCAGUUAGUCAUCUUGCCAUUACGUUAAUUAACAUUUAUAAAUUCGGAUAUUUUCUAUACUAAAAUAUUAAUUAAAAGGAAAAAAAAAACAGUAUAUGAAAAAAAAGAGAAAUGUGAAUUUCUGAAACAACAACAUAUAGAAAUAAGACAAAUGUAAAAUAAUUAUGGAAAGAAGAGAAAUGUGAAUAUUUGAAACAACAACAUAUAGAAAUAAGACAAAUGUAAAGUAUAGAUUGUAAAAAAAUUAUGGAAAGAAGAGAAAUGUGAAUAUUUGAAACAACAACAUGUAGUAAUAAGACAAAUGUAAAGUAUCAAUUACAAUAUUAUUUUCUAUAUAUAAAAGUCGAAGCUAUGAGCUCCUGAGACAGUCCACGUGAUUUUAAACGACCACUCGCAGUUAGUCAUCUUGCCAUUACGUUAAUUAACAUUUAUAAAUUCGGAUAUUUUCUAUACUAAAAUAUUAAUUAAAAGGAAAAAAAAAACAGUAUAUGAAAAGAAGAGAAAUGUGAAUUUUUGAAACAGCAACAUAUAGAAAUAAGACAAAUACAAAGUAUAGAUUACAAUAUUAUUUUUGGUUAUAUUUUAUCGAUUAAUAUCUUUUAAGAUAGUGAUGAAAAAUAUUAAAAAUAUUUAUUUAUUAUUUUUACUUAAAUUUCGUUGAAAAAUAUUAGUCCAUAAAUCUUUGACCGCCUAUUUUUUCCUAGCUAUAUCUUUCACAAAUUAUAGGAAAUGUUUUAUAAAAACUAAGCUGAUAGUGACAUGUGUAUAUAGAAAAACAUUAUUAUUCUUGUAUAGAUAUCGUCAAGUUGAAAAAUAAAUCCUAAAAUUUCCUUCGCCUCUUAGUUUCCUAUAAUUACCUUGAUGAGAGUUUUUGUUUAGCUCAUAUCAAGUUCGGCGAGCUUUUGUUAAAAGAAAAUCUUUUUGUUUAGCUCAUAUCAAGUUCGGCAAGCUUUUUUUAAAAGAAAAUCAGACGGUAAGUUUGUAGAAACGUGCAUGUGCUGCCGUUUCAUGGGCAGAAGAACCAUACACAGCUUUUAAGUAGAAGAUGUAAAUAACAAAUGAAAAGACCUUUAUUUUAUUAUAGCAGACUGAUAGUUCGUUUGUAGGUUGGAUGAGAAGAGAAUGUGCAUAUUGCAUCCGCUUUUUUUACUUUAUUUCUGAAUAGAGGUGAAGAUCACAACAUAUAUGAAAUCGGAUCAAAAGUUACGAAUUUUGAUGAUUCAUGAUUGUAAUGGGCAUGAUGACGUUUGUGUAAAUUUUCAAGAGUGACGCAGAUGCUACGUUAGUGUGAAGGCGGAGAGAGGGAUCUAUACUUUUGUCGCUCAUAAGUCAUAACCAUGUUUUUAUGCUUGAAUGUUAAUAUAUAUAUAUAUAUAUAUAUAUAACAUAUUUUUUUUUAAUUUUAACUCUCAUCAUCAAUUGUUACGAUCGCUUUUUGUUGGAUCUAACUUUUCUCCAUCCCAGAUGUUAUAUCCUGUGGAGAUCAACCUCUAUGUUACUUGGAGGUCUUCACCACCACUUAAUAUAUUAUGGUUCUGUUUAUUAGAUUGUUUGUCAUGUGAAACUGAAAGUUAUUUUUAUUGUUUUGGUGAGAGUAGUUUUUAUAUUAAGCUUCUAAACGAGUCUGGUUGAGUUUGUGUAUGGUAAAUGUGCUAAUUGGGAUAGAGAAUGAAACAAAGACAUUGAGUGCUUACAAAAAGAUAGAAAUAGUGAUACCUCUCGAAAAAAAAUUGUAAAGACGGAAAUUCAUAUACAUAUUGAAAAUAAUGUAAGAAAAAUAUGAUUUGUUAACAAGAAAGUAUAGAUAAGCUAGCUUAGUAAUGUUAAAACGGGCUACCCGGUCUGUUUAGGCCCGAACCCGUUUAACAAAAAAAUUAAAGCCCGUUUAGGUUCAUACCCGUUUAAGCCCGCCAAAUUUAUAAAAGCCCGUUUAGACCCGUCUAUUGUCUUCCCUGAUUUUAAAAAAAAAAUGCUAUACUAACUAAUGCAGAAAAUAUCCUUUAGUAAGGAUCUUAUAUUUAGAAGAGCUAUACUAAGUUAGUAUACUUUAGUAUUUCUAACUAAUGAAGUAAAUAUACUUUUGUAAGGAUCUGAUCUUAUACUUAUCAUAAGCUUAUGAGUAAACUUUUGUAAGGAUCUAAUAUUUAGAAGAGCUAUACAAAUUAAUAAAGUGAAUAUAGACGAAAUACAAUAGUGAAAUUGCAAUUACAAAAAUGAGAAAUUCGUCGAAGUUAGACCCAUAAAAAAUUUAUUUAUUUCAUGAAAAAUCUUGUCAUCCAAAUAUCUAAAGCUAAAGAGAGCGAGCUAUUAAACAAAAAAGAUAUACUUUUGAUAAAUGUUGUAAAAACCUAAAUGUUGUAUUAGAAUUUUUUUAAGUUGUAUAUUUUAAUUGAACUAUUUGUCAUGGUAAUUUUAAAAUUCAAAGAAUUUGAACUAUUAACAAUAACAAUAAGUAGAAAUAUAAAAACAUAUAUUCAAAGAGUUUAAUAAAUAUUACUAAUCACACAAAAUUUUAUUAAAACAAAUUUAAAAAUAGACCCACGCAUAGCGUCGGUUCAGAACCUAGUAAUGCAAAUAAAUUUUGGUUUUUUUCAAAAUAUGAGAGGUACUUAAAGAAAAAUAUCUUUGAUUUUCAGCAAAUUAGUAAAGAGGCUAUUAAUUUAAUAAUUUAUACAGAUUUGGUAUAUUUUUAAUUUUCAUAUAAAUCAAGUUUAUAUAAAACAUUAAACUAAAAAUGAUUUUUCAAAAUAUUUUGGUAUUUGAUGAAUGUUUUUCCAGUGAGAUUCCGGAGAGAAAAGACGACAUAUUUAGAAGGGUGGAUGGGAUCUAUGCGAGAUGUUUGGGUUUUUAAAGAAUUUGUUUCUUGUAAAGUCGCAAACUUGAUCUAUUGUUUGGAUUUUUGCAAAAUUUGUGUUUGUUUAGUUUGCAUAUAUGUGCAAAUAUUCGGAUCUCGUAUCGAAUUCAAGUCUAGAAAUAGUAUCUUGUUCUAUUCCCUAAGUACUUUCAAUGAUUUGAUUUUAUUUUCAAGCUCUAAGUGAUGUUUUCUUUGGGUAUUUGUCUUCUUUAAUUUUUCCAAAACUUGUGUAUACCCUUUUUUAAGGGGAAUUAUUACAAAAUGCCUUCUUCUAAAUGCAUCUUUUAAAAAUGUCCUAUCUAUAACACCUUAUAAAAAAUACCUCUAAAAAUCUGAGAUCUACUCAAAUACGUGUGUAACGUUAUAAAAACAUACACAAACUACAUUUACACGAAUAGUAGUUACCAUUAUUAAGUACUUUAUAAAACCUUAUUAAAUGUUCCGAUUUAAAGAGAGGUGUUUUUGAAAAUAAACAACUAAAUUGAGCAAUUUAGAAAAAAGACACCCUUAAAAAGUGUUGAUAACAAAUAAUUAGAUCAUCACUUUUUCUUUUCAUUUUGGAUUUUUUCACCUUAAUUGACCGUAGAGAUGGAGAUUUACGAAUAAUAUAUUAACCAUCAUCUAAAUUUAAAGAGAACGAAGACAUAUUUUCUAUGUUUUUAAUUAUUUAUUAAUAUUGUGUAAUGUAAUUUCUAUAUAAGAAGUUUUAAAUAAAAAUAAUAUGUUAUUUGUUGCUUAUCGUUUAAAAUAAAAUAAUUGCGUUGAGUUUAUAAUUUUAAUAAAUAGAUGCUCAUUACAAAUAUUAGUAACUAAAUAUGAAAAAUAUAUCUAAAAUAUUAUUUUUAGAAUAAAAAAACGGAGAAAUGGAUUGGAGGAAAAUCCAACUCCAAAAUAUAAAAAUGAGUUUGAGAUGCUUUUAGAGAUGUCCAUUUUUUCUUUUUUUCUUUUUUUUUUUUUUUGUUAAAGAAAUGUAAGAUUCGUCCAUUUUUUCCUUAAAUUUGAGUAACUCCAUUUUGGAGUUGAAUUUUUCUCCGACCCCUAAAAUAGAGAUUUCUAAAUUUAAGUGUAAAUUAAAAAUAGAGAACUUCAAAUAUAGAAAAAAAAAAAUUCUCUAUUUUGUAGUUGAAAAUGGAGAUAGGUUGAAGAACUCUUACCCCAAAAUAAAGUUUGGGAAGUGAAUAUGAAGAUGGUCUAAGCCUCUAUAUAAAUGAUCUUAAUAUGAUGUCAUGUUGUUCUUUAGAGUAACAAUGGGCACUCGGUUAAUCAAUUAAAUAGGUUCGAUUUUUUUGUUUUCAGGUUUUUUGAAUUUCUGAACUUUUAUUUGGUUUGGUUCGGUUUGAAACUUAUUUUUUUUCUGUUCAGUAAUAGGAUUUAAAAUCAAUUCUGAAAUAAACAGAAUUUUUGAUAAUUCGGUUAAUUCAAAUCGAAUUAGACAAAAAUGAAAGUGAAGAUAAUGGGGCUAAUCUAACAAAUUUACGAUACAAAUCAAUAAAAUAAUGGGUUACUCCCAAUAAAAUACAAACCCAACUUAAAUAACAAACUCAAACUCGUCAAAAUUUAGGGUUUUCGCCAACCAUGUCGUGAAAGAGAAUAAGAUGAUUAAAAAAAAAGAGGUGGUGAAGAAGAAGAUAAGAAAAGAACGAAGAAGGAGGAUCUCGGACUGCGGAGAAGAGACUGAAAACAAGAGAGGUAUGAUUAGAAAUCUAGGGUUUUUUACUUUUAUAUGGUGUUCGCUAAACUAAUAAAAAUGAUCAGUUUUGAUGUAUCGAACCAAAAAUAACAGAGAACCAAAAUUAGUUUAGAACUUCGUCGAUCGGUUUAUAACUCUGAACCGAAUUGAAGCCAAAAACCAAUAUUAUUAGUUCGGUCAGAUUGGUUUAAACGGUUUAUGAUGAUUGUUUAAGGCUACUUUAAAGUAUUAAAUAUAUAUGUAGAUAUGAGAUGAACUCAUAAUUUUAUUACAAUGCUCUAACACAAAAUUAGAACGGUGUUAUGGUUCUUAUGACUUAGUUCAUAUGACAUGAAAUACAAAGAGAACUUAAAUUAAGAUUAGUUCUACAAAGAAGCGGCUGAUAGCCUAUAAUGUUUUAUCAUUUAGGAGGGUUAUUAGGGUCUCUUACCAUCCAUGGAAGUACAAAUCCUGGUGGUUUAUCGUGAUGUUUGGUAAAGUAAAUCCCAUCUUUAUAUGCAAUCCAUCGACGUAGCUCCCCACAUCGACGAAAAGUAGCUGCUCUAUAUACUUGAAUAUCAUAAUAAUAUUCUAGUUUAUAUUUUUUAGAUAUAUACGAUAAACGACACAUCCAUGCUCUCUUUUUGUGAUCGAUGGAUUUAUCCUGGAAUUCCAUGAUAAUUGGGACAAUAGCAUCUUUUAAUUGUUUUACUCCUACAUCACCGUUUGGAUUCUUGGAACGACAGUGAACUUGUAGAAUUGUUCCAGGAGGAAGGUGGUUUUGAAUUUCUAUACGAUUAUACCUGCAAGCUUCAUUCAACCAAAAAAACAUAGCAAUGUAGAAUAUUGUUGUUGUUGAAAUAAAGAUAGUUUUUGGAGUAAUAAAGGAAUCAAUGUAGAAUAUUUAUACUUUGUUUUGUAGAAAACAUUUUACCUUAAUUUAUCAAACAAACUAUUUAUGGUGUUGGUCAAAGGAGAGUUUAGUGUCUAAAAGUAUGGUUAACCAAUAGGAUCAACUAAUCUUUUCUUAUUUUUUUGGUUAACACUAGCCAUUCACUGAUCCACAUCAGCUAAUAACGUUUUCUAAAAUCAUACCAUGAUAGCAAAUACAAAUGGGCUAAAUAAAAGUAUUGGUGGGCUAAAUUAGCAACAACUCAAAUUAAUUCUUUUGCCAGCAAAACGCUUUGCAUAAGAAAUUAUUUUAACGUUUUUUUUCAAAUACUAUUUAAAGUUUAAUUUUCGUGGUAGAGAAAUACUAUCUAUCUACAUAUACAUUUUUACAGGGUUUUUUUUGCAUAAAUUCAUUUGGAUCCGGUUUUACCCGGGUUUAACUCUAUCCGGAUCUUGAAUAAGAAAUUUUAGGAAUGUUGUAAUAAAAACAAACAAAUAUUUUGAGUAUAAUUGCUCUUAUAAUUUGGUUUAAUGUUAUUACCUAAACUAAUUGCCAUAUUAAUCGGCUCUAUUCCUUUUUAUCUCUAAUUGAUUUCGAAUCUUUACACAAUCUAAGCUAAGAAAAUUCGUUAAGGAAAUCUUAAAUAAAAAACGACAUUAACUCUUAAAUUACCCAUAUUUUAUGGCAAUUGGAUCUUCAAUUAAAAAUCUGCAAAAUAAAAACAAAUAAGAACAUAAAUGGUUGAGUAUAUGACGAAAUCAAUAAUAUAUAUUGAAAUCGGAAGUUAAUAUACGCCCUGAUUUUAGGUAAUUACCAUAAUUACUCGAUAUCUAAUAAAAUAAAUAUUCGAAAUUUAAAUUCAUAUCUCAUAUAUUAAGCAACUACCAAAUCAACAAAUAAUCAACAAAAUCCUAAUGAAUAACAAUAAGCUUCGUUUUUUCCUAAAAUAUCGAAAUCAUUAACUAUAACCGCACGAAAUCAGGAACGUAAUUUUAUCAAAUCAAAAAUUAAGGAAUGAUGAUUUGAAAUAUUUUAUAUGUUCACUGAAUGAAAGAUUUGAGAUAUUCAAAAUUUAUGGGAGAAUAUUCCUAAACCAGAAACUAAAUAUUGUAUACUUGAAAGAUAAUGUAUAGAUUUAUUCAUAUUUAACCUAAAAGUAACACUGCAUAAGGCGAUCUUCUUGACUAUAAAUACAUCAUCCCAUUUCUACAAUUCUCAAUAACCCAAACGUGUUGGAUUCACGUACCUUGACGACAAUGAGCCUUUCAAUAUAAGUUGGCACAGUCAUGUGGAAACGUGUGGUAUCAAGUUGUUUCUAAUUAUUUUUAUUUUUUUUAUUAUUGUGGAACUAAGGUUGUGUUUUCUCACAUGCAUGCUAUCAUAUGUGGGAAAAAAAAUCGGUGAAAGAUAUGAAGAGACUCUCAAUGUGCAUUAACACUCCUAGAUCGUUCAUUUGAUGAGCAAUGUCCAAGUAUACAAAAUCUUCUUCUUAUAAUGAUUUAAUUGUAGUGUUUCUUAUAAUUAAGUGAGAAAUAAUGAGAUUCACAAAUGAUAUACUAUAUCUUACUAACUAUUCUUUGUUUUUAACUACAGAUUCAAGACCUAAAAUAAGGAGGUAUCUACUCCUAACUAUAAAUCUAAUGAUUUGAAUGAUUUGAAUGUUUUGAACGUUUUUCGUUAAUCUCACUAUCCUCUUUUCCCUACGUUUUACUAAUAGUAGUGAAAACUAAUAAGUUACAAUGUCCACUUUAUCUACAGCAUCAUCUACGAGUAGAAUAAACGACUCGGUACUGAGGUAUAAUAUCUAUACAUUCUUCUUAACAAAAACCAGCUUCUACUGGAUUAGGACAUACACUACUAAGAAUUCUAUUGUACAGGAUCUAAAUUUGUGUGGGAUACUUGAAGAAAUAGCGAGGCGUGGAAUGUCAUUCGAUGAAUUACUCACCAUCCCUGAACAGGAUGAAUGGGUUUAUAGUGACGGGAAAUCAACAGCAUGUGUUGCUUUCAUCCUUGCAAUGUACAAAGCCGCUGGUGUAUUCGGCCCUCUCGCUAAUCACAUUCAAGUCACUGAAUUCACGGUGCGUUUCUUUUCUUCUUUCGAUAUCAAGUCUUUCCAUUUAACAUCACUCUUGAGCAUUUAUUUCUUUCCUAUUCUCAGAUCCGAGAUGCGUACACUCCGAAGUUAUUUGAGUCUAACCAGACUCGGCUACCGAGUUGGUGCAACACAGAGGAAGAGAAGCUUGACUUCUGUCAGAUUCUAGGUGAAUACAGAAUGGAGUUGUUUUGUUGUUUGUAGCAAAGCAAUUGGGUUCAAAGUAAUUGUGAUGAUGGAUACACAUUAAUUCCAAAUACGCUUUUUUGUUUUUUUUGUUACAUAACAACAUUCAUAUCGAUUUUAUUUAUAAUGGAUACACAAUUACACACAUUCAACACUUUAAUUUUAUUUGCACAAAAGACAUGUAUAUAGAUAUUGGAAUUUUUAAUAUUUAUUUGCUGAAUAAAAAUUUACAAACUAAAUCUAAACUCAUAUAUUAUGUAAAGAAGAAAAUAAAUGCAUAUUUUAAUACUCUAUACAUGAGUGCGUAAUGAACUAUAUAUCUCUAUCUCUAUAUUUUCAAGAAUAAAUUUAAAAUAUACUAAUCCUACAAUAUAUAGAUAUAUAUAAAUCUAUAUAUAUAUAUAUACAUUUAAAUCAUAAAAAAUAGCAUAUAUGUAAAAGAAAAACCUUAAAAUAAAAAUUCAAAUCUUUAUUAAACAAAAAUAUAGGCCCGCGGUGUACCGCGGGUUAAUUUCUAGUAUAUAUACAUUUUUGGUGAAGAUUUGGCCUCAAAAAUCCUUUUACAAGUUCAAUAUUAUACAAUUAGUCCCUACAAAUAAAAUCUGACAAAAUAUUUAUCUUAAUGAAAUUUACAAAUCAAUUAAUAAACUCUUCUAACAUUUCCUAUUUUUUUAAAAACGAGAUUUGAGAUCCUAACAUAUGGAAAUCAAAUAUUCGAAAUUAAAUAAAUUCCUAAUUUUGCGAUAACGAGAUUUGAUAUUCAAAGAUAUGGAAACCAAAUAUUCAAUUUUAAAUGAUAUAAAACUUUAUAAGAAUUAAAGAUGUUAACAAAAGAAUUAAAACUUUCUAAAUAAUAUAUGGUAUAUAUUAUUUGUUUCUAUAAUCUCGAUCGGAUUUUCCAUUAAUUAUUUUUCUAAACAACUAACUUAAUUUAAUACAUUUUAAUCGAAAUUUUUGGAAUAUUAAUCACUUACCAUAAAUACAUUUUUUAGAAAAACGUUUAAUGCUGAAAUAUUUUAAUUCAAUAAAUUAUUUGAAAAGAUAUUCCAAACGAUUUAUAAAUUAAUUUGUUUCUAAAAAUCUCGAGGUAAAUCUUUCCAUAUAUCUCACCAUUUCUCAGUUUUUGAAAUCAUAAAUCGUUAACACACACAUCUUUGCCAAUAUUCUCGGCACAAUCUUAGUAAAAAAUCUCUACACAAUUAAUUGAUACUCUACAAAAUAUUCAUACCUUAGAUUUUAUGGAAACUAAUAACUAUUAUUAAUACUCCCAUUUUCAGCAUAUACCUAAAAACAUUCCAAUUACAUAUGGUUGAUUCCAUAUUUAGUUAAGAUUGCGACUUAUUUUUUGCGUGAUCACCAAGAGAAUAUUGACCUAAUCGUCUGAACCUAUAUAUACUCUAUGGAUUUACGUCUCAUCACAUCAUCAAAAACACACAUGUCAUUUAUAAACCCUGCAAACAUUUCUUCAACUGCAAAUGGCUGCUAUAUUUGCUUAACGAAAAGACCUUUACAUAUCUAAAGGUAGGGAGAAGAAGAAGAUGAGCUUUUGUUAUCCAGCAGUAAUAGAACGGCUAUGGCGGAAGCCUAAGAGCUUUUCGACUACGAAGCUCUCUGUGCCAAAAUCGAUAGUUGCGAUGGCGUUUUUCACACUGCUUCUCCGAUGACCGACGAUCCCGUAAGUUCAUAAUUUUUUUAAUCGGUUGAGGAGUAUUAGUAUAAGUAUAAUACAUAUGUUUUCUUAGUUUUAAUUUUCUAAAUUAAUCUAACUAAUUAGGAGACAAUGUUGGAGCCGGCGGUAAACGGAGCCAAGUUCGUGAUUGAUGCAGCGGCUAAAGCCAAGUUCAAGCCCGUGGUUUUCACGUCAUCAAUUGGUUUAGUUUACAUUAACCCUAACCGUGACCCUCAAGCCAUAGUUGACGAAAACUGCUGGAGUGAUCUUGAUUUCUGCAAAAAUACUAAGGUAUGGUUUUAUCUAUGUUAUAAGUUUUGGAGAUGUGCUUCUGCAAUAAAAUCGAACAUGCGGCUAGAUUAAGGUUUAGGUCUUUAACCUUAAAAGUUAAAACCUAGACCAUGUUACUUUUGGAAUUCUAACUUUUCUUUUUAAUAAUCUUCCUUAUAGAAUUGGUAUUGCUACGGGAAGAUGGUGGUGGAACAAUCGGCGUGGGAGACGGCGAAGGAAAAAGGUGUAGACUUGCUGGUGAAUUAAAUCUAGCGGUAACUUUUUUAUUUUGUUCGUUUGCAUAAAUAAGUUUAUUUCUAUUGAUAUGGUUAUGGUUAUUUCUAUUAACAAAAAAAAUUCUUAUAUUGCUUCCCCAAUUUGAGUGCAGUUUAACUUUCUAGCACAUGACGAUGAGCAGUAUGUGUGGGAGUCUCAGGCCGGUGGGUCUUUCACUGUGACCAGAGACACCUCUGGGGAGGCUCUUGGUAGAGGAACCAAGAUGGUCCUUUACCUCAAGGAAGACCAGUUGGUUAGAAUAUUGUUUUUCUCUUAUUAGUUUUUGAAGAUGAUGGCCGAUUGAUUUUGUAAGAUUUACAAUCUUUUAUUUUAGGUGACAGGUGAGGAAGCUAUUAAAACAGCCUUAGGGGAAAUGGAUUCAACCAAAGAAUCUUUACUAUUCUGGAAAGACCAUUCAAAAUUUGAUGUUGGAACAUCUUUGUUAACCAAGUUUUUAAUGCAUUCAACAGAUGAAUUUUCCUAUUAAAGUUUUUUUUUGUUUGGAUUUUUAAUUUUCCAAUCAACGAUGGUAUGUUUCAUCUCUCCGUUUUUAGGGUUUCUUUAACUGUAAGCUCAUUAAGUGAUAAUGAAAUCAAUUACUUCAAUAUAUUAAUUUGAAUCUAUAAAAAAGAUGAACUGGAAGAUUCCAGUUGCACAUGUAACUCCAGGUGUGUUUUCUCAUCUUUGAGUUUUAUGAAAAGAUUUGUGUGAUGUAUUAUUUUGAUGAUUAAAGCCAAGUUGAAUUAGAAUUUGGUUUCUGAUUCUUGAUAUAUUUUUAUUUGGGUUGUAGAAGCUAACAGAAGCUAUGAAGAAGAAGAGGAAGCCCCAUUACACUCUUCAGCAAGGAUAUAUGAGGGGUUAUUGGUUCAUAGAUUUAUAUGGAAUUAGAAAUCCAAACAAAAAUCAUUUGUUAUUCAAUCAUUGAUUUUAAAAUCCUAAUUAAAUUCAUGUGUUAUUGGUUCUAUGAUUUAUAAAUACUAGUUAAAAUCUUAUGUUAUUCGUUUAGUCAUUUGUUUUUGGAUUUGAGAAUCCAAAUUAUGUUUUAAAUGGAAUUGAAUGGAAUUGAAAGAGAAAAAUAGAAGGAUUCAAAUCCAUGGGUAAACACAUGUUAUUUCAAAAUCCAUAUAUCUUGAUUUCAUAAUUAAUAGAAAUUUUCAAAUUCUAUAUGGAUUUACAAAUUAACAAACUAAUAACACCCCCAUAGAUUAUUGUGAAACUGAGAUUUCUGGCUUAAGUUUUUUUUUCUACUUAUUGUAACAUAGGAUUUUGAUGGUUUCACUUUCAUCUACAUAUUUUCAAUUUACUACUUUAUCCACUUUCAUAUAUUACAAAUAGCAUACUCUCUAUUUUCUUAUCUCCAUUACUUUAUAAGAGUGAUUUAUAUGUUUAAAUUUAAGAUAUAAAUACAAUCCUUUCAUAUUAUUUCAAAUUAAAUACAUGUUUGUUUGUAACUAACAUACAAUGACAGAGUCAAAUAAAAUUUCUUAAAUGUAGUGUAUUACCAGGUUAGUCGACUAAUGUUCAGACCCAUCUAAAUUCUAACCCGCAGUGUCUAACAUGAGAAGAGAAUGGUAACAACGACCAACACUAAAAUGAGUUUUAUACUUGAUUAACAUAUGCACUUCAUAACUCCAAUAAAAUUUUACAAUAUAAACACAUUGUAUAUUACUUGGCUUGGAAUUAAAACACAAAAUUCAGUUCUACCACUAUAUUUCAAAUUAAAAAUAUUAUACUCAAUACCACACAAAAAUUCUCAACCAAAAUCUAUACUAAUAGAUAACAAAAUUUCGCAUAUAUUAACAACACAUAAGACUCGGGCGAAGCACGGGUUAUGGUUGAUGUUAAUAUGGGAAGGUAUACCACAAGUGAAAUUCUAGAAUUAACAAUCAAAAUAUAAUUAUAUAAUCUUAAACACUAAACAUAACAAACAAUAUUAACAUAUCAAAUAUAACUUACAAUUAAAAUUUAUAGUUAAAGAAAAAUUGAUUCUCAGUGUACCCAAAAUCAAACAUAAAUUUAUACCAAUAAAACAUCAAAAAUUAAUACAACAAUAUAAUAAAUUUAUAACUAUAUAUAUAUAUAUAUUACCCCGCGGUACACCGCGGGGUCAAAUCCUAGUUUAAAGUUAUAUCAUGUAUUGUAAUAUUCUACUAAUUACGAACCAAUCUUUGUUACAAUUGACAUGGGUGGCAUGAAGCGUUAAGCAUAUAAAUUUUCAUUUCUUGAAUGGGUUACAUGAUUCCAGUGCUAUAUUUACAUGACAACUACCUUUUGACAUUAAAAAAAAACCUUCGUUGCUUUUCUUAUUGUUAAAUAAACGACCUUCAUGGUUUGUAUGAAAUAGAAGCACACUUUUGAUGUGCAAGCUCGACAGAAAACAAUAAGCAUCAGUAAAUGGCAUUAAUAUACAUACCAAUUUAAAAAUAAAAAUUUAAUUUAAAUUUGUAAAUAUAACUUACAAUAAAAAUGAUAUAUAAAAUGAAUAAUUAAUAAUAACACAUACAAUUUUUAGUUUAAAAAUAGGUUAUCAUCUUUUUAAUCUUCUAUAUAUACAUUUUUGGAGUACACUUACUAAAUAAAUCCUAGAGUUGCUAAGUAUUUACAAAGAAUGCCAUUAUCAUAAAUGUUUAUCUAUUAAUUAAUAUUACAAAAUAUAUUCGAAAAAAUCUUUUAGAAACUAUGGCUUCCAAAUAUGAAUUGAUUUUGUUUCUAAAUUUUCCUAAAACAUCUCUACCUAAUUUAAAAAUUAAUGUAUGAUUCUUCUUUCACUUUUAUAUGAUCUUAUAGUAAUUUAUUUGGAAUUUAUAUAAAAUACAUAUAAUUAAUAAAAUAAUAAAAAAAAUUUUGCAUAUAAUGUACACAUAUUUCGACGAUAUUAAUUAUAAUAUAAAAUAAUUAAUUAUUUUAUUUCUACACCUACAACUCUUCUAAGUACACAUAUUUCGACGAUAUUAAUUAUAAUAUAAAAUAAUUAAAUGAAUUUUUUUAUUUAAUAUCAAAUUAAAAUCCAAUAAAUUAUAUAUUAUUAUAUAAAAUACAUAAAAUACAAUUUUGUCCCGCGGUGUACCGCGGGUUAAAUCCUAGUGUAAUGUUAAAUUUUAUUCAAGAAAAGUUAGUGUCUGUUACAUCAAAUGCCAAUGUUUUUGAAUAAAUUUGAGUAGGUAAUAAGUAAUAACACAUGAAGAUGACAAUUAACUUCUAGAGGCAAACCAUACUUGGAGAUAUAGCUCGUAUCUAUUAUAGCUUGUAGCCAGAAUCAUUGAGCGUUAAUUGCGGAUGUGAUGUUAUUCGAAUGCGGUUCCAAAUGUCUUUCGUUGCGAAUGUAGCUUUAUAAACCACAUGGUGGUUGGCGAGUGGUUCUCGUUUGGUUGGAAGGAUCGCCCUGUUGGUCUAGGCCAGGGAUCGAUCCUCCCCAGACGCAGUUUCGCUCUCUCACUCCUGUGGCCACCUGGGAAUUUACCUGCGGACUUGCUCAGGCGCCCCAGACCACCAGUUUAUCAGGGGGCCCUUAAGUGGAGGCUUAAAAAUCCCUGUGACGCGGGCUUAGGCCCAGUGGGCUAGUCAGAUCACUGUGUGGUCUGUAUACUGGGUUAUCAAAAAAAGAAUGUAGCUUUAUAAGAGUCCCCUCUAUCUGGCCAUAAUAGAGACCCUCAGCUAGCAUAUAUCUACUUUGCCACUUCUGUUCUAGUGCAUUCUCUACCAAGUUUAGAUUUUGACCUGGUGUCUUUUUUUUCUUCGAGUUCUCCAUGCAUUAGCCAGAGAAGCAUUCCUUCCAAUCCCCAAGUCAAUGACGCCUCUAGAACCAGCCAUAUCCAUUACGCACCGAGAUUCGACCAGUUGUCAUACAAAAAUGAAGUUGAUGCUCCAUUCCUUAAUUCACUCUUACAAAACGUUUAAGCCACUUUCAUAUAUUUCAACAAUUUUUGCAAUAUUUACGAUUCUGAACUCGUGUUCUCCCAAUUAGAGCAAAACAAUUCUGUCUUAACAAAUUAUUUUAAAAAUACUACUCGGUCCGUUUCAAAAUAUAAGUCGUUUUGGAGAAAAAAUUUGUUUUACAAUAUAAGUCGUUUUCAAGUUCUUAUACAAAUUAUAUAUUAUUUUAAUAUUUUAUAACUAUUUAUAAUAUGCAGUUUCUUUUACGAUUGACUGAACUUUUUAAAAGUGUAUCUUUUUAACCUGCAUGCUUUUAGAUAAAACAACUUAUAUUAUAAAACGGAUGGAAUAUUAGUUAUCAAAUAUAUACCUAGACAUAACUUAAAUUAUUAUUUAAUAUAACGCAAAAAACUAGUCAUAAUAGCUAUUAAAGCCAUCAAGCCAUCAAUAAAGAAUGGUGGUAAUAUUCAUUUUAAUUACUUGAAAAGAAAAAGAAAAAAAGAGUAUAGAUUUAGGAUACGACAUAGGACGAAAUCAAACUCACUAUUUAAGAAUAAAGUAUGAUUAGAUUAUAGAUUAUAAAUAAGAGUAACGUUGAUAUUAUUGUUGAGAAUACGAAUUUCGAUGAAUAAUAAAUAGAGAGAUGAUUAGACUCCGAGAGCGGAGGCUUUGCGUUGCACUAAUCAAAUAAUUAGGCGCACCAAAUUGGCUUUAUCGCUUAGCUGGAGUCUACUGUCCACUCUCUACCAUAUUAAUAUUAAUUAUUGGGACUCUUAUUUAAUCAUCAUCAAUCAUCCUUUAGUAUUCCCUUCGUUUCAAAAUAUAAGGCGUUUUAGCUAAAAACACGCCGAUUAAAAAGUUCUAUUUUUUAAACGUUCAACCAAUCAUAAAAGAGACUGCAUAAUAGAAAUAAUCAUAAAAUAUUAAAGUAAUAUAUAAUUUGCAUAAAAACUUGAAAACGACUUAUAUUGUGAAACAAAAAUUUUUUUCCAAAACGCUUUAUAUUUUGAAACGGAAGAAGUAUUAUCAAUACUAUAUUAUUCGAAUAAUGUUCGAUAAUAAGGUUUUAUGAAUAUACCUUUUCCUUAAUCAUAAUUUGGAACCCUUGAUCAUGUGGCGUACAAACACUUCACAAGCAGGAAUAUUUGAAUUGUAAAUUUUGAUAAUAAUGAGGAUAUAUAAUCACAUGACGCAUGUUAUAUCUCUACUCCAUUGUCGGAGUUAGAUUGAUAACUCUUUUGAUAAUUUUUUGCUGCAUAGAAGAAAUAUACAGUUUUGAUUGUUAUAAAUUCCGAAAUUAUAUAAAAAAUGAGAUAUACCAUAAUCUAUCUCUUACCGUUAAAUUUAUUGUCAUUUUAUGUCACUAAUUAGAUAUGUCAUGAUGCAAGUGCAUACAUGUGUCUUGAUGGAUUUCAUAGGUGUAAAAUUGUUUAAUAGUUCUCUUAACUUUACCCAACAUGACACAACGUUGUGCUGUGCUUUGUGACUACUGUCAUUAUUUAUUAGCCUAAUUUAUAGUUAUAAUUUAAGUUUUGUAGAUUCGUCGGAAUUAACCGUUACAAUGGGUGCAAUGAACCAUAUAUUUAAUAAAUGCGUACAUUAUAGUUUAAUAUUCUAAAAGUUUUCUUAAAGCCAUGAAACUAGUGUGGACAAAUUAUUCGUCUUUAGUAGUAGUAGAAGGCUAAAAGCAACUUGAACGUAAUGGUUUUGAUAUGUGGCAAUUUACCAUGGCAGCAAAAUCUUGUAGAAAAUAUUAUCAAUCGGAAAAGGGUAAAGGUUAAUAAACAUAAAUAAAAUCAAAAUUGUCAAAGAGCCAAUAUAACAAGCUAGCAAAAUUAAUGAUUGAUAAAAAAACACUAAAAAACUGAGAGAAAGUGAUCAAAAUCGAUAGAAUAUAGCUUUAUAUAUAUAUUGUUGAUAAAAAAAUUAACACAUUUUCUCUUAAAAAAUAAAAAAAUAAACACAUUUCUAUAUUUUUACGUUUUAUGUAUUAGUUCCUUUUUAAUAUUUCAUUCAUGUAUUGUUCAUCAUUUAGUUAUUUGUUAAUUUUUUUUGAUAUCAUAAUGUCAUUUACUUCAGUUUAGUUAUGUAUGUGGUCAUUUGACAAUUUUCUCUAAUCUUUCUUACCUUUAUCUUUAUUCUUUAAUAUUAAAAAGAUAUUUCUCUAUGUUUGUCACACUAUUAAAAAGAUAUUUCUUCAUAUGUUUACCUUUAACAAAAACAAUAUCUGUUUUUUUUUUUUUUUGUUACCCUACUAGAAAGAUAUUUGUUGUGAUGCUUUUUCUGUCAUCGCCCCAAUCUAGUCAAUAUACCAAAAUUAAUUAAUUUUUUUUUGUCAUCUAAAAUUUUUAUUGAUUAACUUGUUAUGGAACCGAGGUGGAAUACAAACGCCCAAAAGAGGGAAACAAAACCGGCAGACGACAUGAAUGUCCCCAAAGUCAUAGCCAAAGGAUAACGAGAAAUCCCCGGAAUCUAAACCUUAUGAAAAGAAAACUAAAGAUACUGAAAACACAAAGCUGAAUUAUUUUAACAUAAACCGAAAGUGGACGAAACAUUCAACUUAUUUUAACCUAGUCAAUAUACCAAAAUUAAUUACUCGAAGACAAAUCUUACAUAUAAUAUUAAAUCUUAUAAUGAAAAAGUCUAAAAGCGUAUGACUUGACUCCGAGGCCUAGAAGACUUGCUUUAAGACUAGUCAAUUAGGAAGUACAGAAGCAAUGUAUAAAUCUCAACCUCUUCGUGAUAUAUUCUUCUUUCUUAUAGCCAACUAAAUUACAAGUCUACGUUAAUGCAACUAUUACAAAUUCAAAUAUUGGUAGAUAAUAUUGUACUUACCACAAAUUUUUAAAUCUCCAUGAUUCAUACAUUUAAAAAGACGACUGUAUUCUCAUUGCACUAUAAAUAUGUUUAACUUGCAUAUAUUCAAAGUGUAUACAAGUCUUUUUUUUUUUUUUUUUUGGGCAAAGAGUGUAUACAAGUCUAACUUGCAAUAAUUAGUGUAACAUUUUCUUUGUGUCUAAAUUGCAACAAUAAGUGUAACCACUUCUAUCUUUUUUUUUAACAAAUUAAGGGGAGUGUAUUCAAUAGAGGAUUUGAAAUGAUUUGUAUUAAAAUUUUAAAUCCUAUAUUAUUCAAACAUGAAUUCUAAAAAAAUUUCUAAAAUCAAGUGUUAUUGGAUUAGUGAUUUUAAAAUUUACAAUCAAAUCCACUGUUAUUGGAAACAUUUUAAGUUGUAGAUUUGAAGUGACUUGAGUGACUUUGGGUGGGAUUUCAGAGAAUAUCUUAGUUAAAAAUUCAAACAUCCAAAUCCCAUGGUUUUAGGUGAGAUUUGGGAGAAUUUUAAUAACAAAUUUCCUAAUUCACCAAAAUUCACCAAAAUCAUCUCAAAACUCAUUAAAACUCAAAUCACUCUAAAUUCUUUCUUCAAUACAUCCCCCUAAGAAACUUUGGUUUUUAGCUAUUCUAAAAAUUCCAUCGAAUCCAUCAAACUGAUGUUACAGUUUAUUGCUUAACACAUACUCCCUCUGUUCCUAGAAGAUUGACUUUCUAGAGAUUUCACAUUUCUUAAGAAACAAUCAUUGUUUAAUUAUUUAUUUUUGUUAAAUAUUUUUUAAUAAACUAUGAAUCAAUAGUAAUCUGAAACAGUUAAUCAUUACGUCUUAAAAUCUACGAUUUAUUAAAAUCAAUUAAUUAAAAAUUAAAAAAAAUCUAGAAAAUCAAUCUUUGUGGAACAAACUCAAAACACUAGAACAUCAAACUUUAGUACAACAGUAGUCAUCUAAGGACAACAGUUUCUUUCUAUUUUAUAGUACAACGAUUUUGCUAAAGAAUAAAUAAGUUGAUUAUGAAAACAAUCAUUUCUUAUCAUAUUAUAAAAAUGUAAAGUUUUCAAAUUCAACUAUUCUUGAUAUUUUGCAAUACAUUUUUUUCCUUGUUUAUUACUCCCUCUGUUUCAUAAUAUAAGUCGUUUUAGGUAAAAGCACGCCGAUUAAGAAGAUCUAUUUUUUAAAAGUUCAACCAAUAAUAAAAGAGACUGCAUAAUAUAAAUAAUUAUAAAAUAUUAAAGUAAAACGACUUAUAUUGUGAAACAAAAAACUUUAUCCAAAACGUCUUAAUUAUGAAACGAAAGGAGUAUAUGUUAGUGUUAGAGCUUUUGUUUUUUGAAUGGUGACAAAAAUAUCAAUUUCCAUUAUAACUUUAAUAAAGUUUUUAUUUCCACUAUACCUUUAAAAUAUACAUUUUUCAUAAAUGUCAUAACAAAUCAUUGUGAUCACACUUCUACAUCUUUCACUGAAUUAUAAUGGAUUUGUGUAUGUAAAAACAAUUUUAAAGCAACUGAAACCGAGAAUAAAACUUUACUUAUUCAUGUAUCUUUUACCCAAAAGAAGAGGAUAAAAACAUUACAAAAGUGAUAAUAUGACUGAAUCUCAUAAAAUUCAAAAGCUAAAAAAAGAUGGCGGUUAAAAAGCUAGAAAAAGAGUGAGUGUAAAGAAAUUUAUUUUCCCAUAGAUUUUGGCAACAAGACUGCGACCCAAAUCUGAACAGACUGACACAUAAUUGUGUUGAAGUCACGCUCCCUCACAGCUAGGAACAUUAUCAUUCAUCACCACCAUGUGCAUUUAUGUGCUCAUCAACUAUUUUUACAUUUAAUAUUCUCCAAAAACAUUGUAUUAUUAAGAAAAUGAUGAAUAAUUAGUUAAUUACAAUGAAUAAGUUUACUUUUAAUAACAUCAGAAUAUUCUUUUCAUAAGAGAUUACAUAUAAUUAUGAAAUAAAGUAUAAACGGAUCAUUUGUAAAAGCGUAUUAAAAGUGAUUAGUUUGAUUAUAGGAAAUUUUUUCCAAGUUUUGUUCAAAGUCAGCAAAGUCGAACCCAUAUUUGUCUGCGGAAACUUCAUGCGUCUUUGUCGCCAAUUGCCACAUAACGUUGGAAGUUUAUUCCAUAGUCAAUGGACGACGAUGGAAGUUAAUUUCUAAAAUUUUACCAAGAGCGACGGGAAAUAUGCAAGCCAAUGAUUUAUAAUGAUCACUUGCACAUAUUGCAUAGUCAACUCAACUCUAUAACUUAUUAAUACUAUAAAAAUUGGAUAAAAAUUCGUCGCUAAUUAAGCACAUUGCAUCAAAUCAGAACCGGUCCAACGUUAUCAAAAACGGUACUUAAAAUUAAAAAUUUUUGUUAUCAUUUUUGAAUGUUAUAAAUUUAUAAACGUAAAGAACAUUAAAAAUUCAAUGGUAACGAUAAAAAAAAAAUGUUAAUCAUCAAAACCAAACUAAAAAAAUAACAAAUUUUUGGAUGUAAUUAAAUUUCAUCAUUUCAACAACAUUUUAUAUCAGUAAUUGGAUGUCACACAAGUACGAAUGAACACAAUUUGGAAGAUGGUCACAUUCACAUAUAAUAAAUUAAUCUUUUUUUUUUGUCAAUAAGAUACAUUUUACUGGAUUUGAAUAUAGAUUGUGACAUCCUUUUACCAUCUUAUAAAUACAUUUCUUAUUUUUGUAUUUUUUUGUUAUAUGUUAGGGUUCCUACGUUGACAACAAAGUAUUUAUAUACGUUUAACAAGCAAUAUAUGUAAACAGGUAGAUGGUUCGCCGACCUUUCAAACCGAAAGAAGUCGAUAGCACUAUUAUGAAGACCGAUUAAUUAAGUUUGAAUCGAGUUUUGAAUUCUAAAAAGCCGGUUUAUUUAAAUUAUUUAAUAACAUCCUACGUCGUACGUACUUGGUUGAUUAUAUUUUAAUGUAUUUUAUUAGCAUUCUUAUGGAUUCAUUCUUUGUUUCCUUGUUGGACAAGGGAUGCUUAAUUACGUAUUAUAAUUCGUAGGGUUUAUGUUUAGAGAAUAAAACGAUUCAUCUACAUUUGACAACAAAACGAGCCUUUUGUUAUAUAGAAUAUGAAUUAGCCUAAAUACAAAACUAUAUAUCAUUCCUCUUCCAAGUUGUUACGUUUUGGUUUAGUUUCUUUAUGUUAAACUUGAUUUGCUUCUCAAAGUUUGGUGAGAACUUUUAACUCUAAAAUGAUUCUUAAAUUCUGUGUUCGUUGAUGAAACAUAUUCUCUGUUUUAGUUUGAUUCUAAUUAAAAUUUAGAUAUCUUACGAUGCAUUUCAUGAUAUUAUUUUUAUGGUCAAUUUUAUUUUAUGAAGUAUAGACAUUUACAUAUUAUUAACAAUGUUAUUUAUCAAAUUGGAAUCCGACACAAUUUCUGGGGUAUGAUUUAUAGGAGAAAGCAUCCGUAAAACGUAAUACGGAGUGAAAACAAAUUCUUUUUCUUUUAUAUUCGUAUUAUUUAAUGGUUAACUAUCUCAAAAUAAUCAAAAACCAACCUCAAUAUUUAUUAAUGUGUAAUAAAAAAUUUAUUAGUCAGUCUUUGAUCGUAAAACAAACUAAAAAAAAUUGUACGAUAAGUAAAUAUCCUCUCUUUAUUUUUCUGGUAAAAAAACUCAAUAUCAGUAAAAAAUAAAGUUGAGUUAAAAAAAAAAAAGAAAAAAUAAAAAAAAGAAGUAAAUUUUUUAACACGAUAAGAGAAAGAAAAUAUCUUCCUCUCGGCGAUAAAAAUAGAGAAAGCUAACAGUCCCGUUUAAGCGUGUGACCGGCGCGUGGCGGCUUAGAUAGCGUCGGCGUCGGUCCUUCUUGUUAGUCUUCUGUUUUUUCUUUGUCGUGUUGGAGCUGUCGUCGUUGUUGGCGAAGUGAAGAUUUUUCUGGAUCUUAGAUCUAAAAAGGCUUGGUUAAGGGUUUCGAUUCGUCGGAGCCUUUGGCCUUUUGCGUGGUUGGAGUUUCUUCUCGGUGUUGUGGAUGUUGUGGUCUCUUCCAUGGUCGUUUCAGUUUUGGGUCCGACGAAGGUGAUGAGAGAUGGUACUUGCCGUGGCUAAUGUUUGCUGGAGGUCUGGCUCUCCUUCUUUUGAUGGGGUGCGACGGUAUCUGGUAUCUUAGCGUUUGUGGUUUGGCUACUGUCUUCUUUGUGCUUUCGUUAGUUUCGUUCUCUCCGAUUUCACUUGUGUUCAUGUCUUUGUGCCGUCAUUGAUGGGUGGUUGGAGAUUGUUUUGGGAUUCUGUUCUAUAUCCAGUCUUUUGUGGUUUAGCAUCGUUUUCCUUUGCCUAUUCGUUGUCUUGUGGAGUAAGUUUGUUUUUCGAUCCGGUCCGUUCUCUUGCCGUCUUCAGUCUUUGGUUGGUUGCGGAUUUGUUUGGGCUCAGUCCUUGUCUCUAUGCUAUAGAUCUGAUCGAGAUCUCUAUAUUGCUUGGGUAUCUUUCUUGGCGUUGUCCGAUCUUGGUUUUCUUUUGCCUCGAUUUCGCCGUUUCAAGGAGAUGUUUGGUUCUCUUCUUGCUGGAUGGGAUGCUGCAAUUAUUUGAAUUGUGAGGUAGUCUUCUUUUGUUAUAGGAGGAGUCGCUAUCCGGUGUUGUGGAAUUGAUCUUCCCCUUCGUUUAGCCACUACUGCAAGCUUUUCUAUUAUUUGGAUUGAUGGUAGGCAAAGCCUCUUGUGCUAGAUUCUGGUUAUAGUUUUUGAUCUUCCAUGCUUCAGUUUCUCUUUUGCCCUUCCUUGUAUUUCGCUUUGUUAUGCAUUUGAAGUUGUGUUUUUAGGCUUCCCAUACUCUUGGGCUUUAGACUCCGAGGAUUUCAUGUUAUCCGUCGGCUUAGAUUUUGGGGUUAUCUUGUUAAUCGCCAGCUUUGUAAAACUUAAUCUAUUUAUCUUUCAGUUAAAAAAAAAAAAAGUUAUAAAAAGAAGUGGUUUAUCUAACAAAUGUUAAGUAACCUAUUCUGGUAUAAUAUUGUUCACUAACCAUACAUAAUCAUAAAAGGGAAAAAACCCGAAAAAACCGCCAUUUAUUUUUUUUUGACCGUUUAAUACCUAUAGUUUUAAAUUUAGAAUAAAAAUACCUCGUUUAUUUUCGGUUGCCUUUUAAAUUCAUUGUUUUUAAAAUCUUGGUAAUUUCGGACCCGGGACUUAACAGCUGUUAAUAGACGUAACGGAAUGGUUUUAACCAUACGUUUUUAAAUAUAUAAAUACAAUAGGUUUACAACAGAUUACGUAUUUGUUGUCUUGGUCUGGUGGUACAACCCUUUAAUUUUUUUUUUUUCAUUUUUUUUCCUUUUUUAUCUCACUUCGUCUUCUCACGGAUCCCUGCAAUCGAUUUUAUUUUUUUCAAUUCAGUUCUCAUCAUUUAUGGUGGUGGUGAUGAAGAGAGAUGUGAUUGAUGGGAGGAAGGAUGAAGAGAGAGUUAGGGAUUUUGGUUUAAUGGUGGAGAUUGAUGGGGAAGUAAAGGAAUUGAGGAGUUUUGAGGAAGAAGAAGUAGUGGCUAGAGAUGAAAUCGCCAUUGACGCAGAGAAAAACUUAGUUUUUUUUGGUGAAUUUGGGAGAAAUUUUGAGGAGAGUGUGAGAUUUUGUGAAAAAGGUGAGGAGGCAAAAAAAAAAAAAAUUGUACGAAGAAGAUGAAGUGAAAUGAAAAAAGCAAAAAAAAUAUUAAAUGGGUUGCAGGCGGUUUCGAACCCUUCAGCUAGGGAUUAAGUAAGACGUGGGUUACCACCAGAGACACAAUAAGUGUGGAAACACAAUCAGAGACAAUGAAUUCUACGUACGGUUAAAAGUUAACUCCGUUAAACAAUUUCGUUACGUCUAUUAGCGGCAGUUAAAUCCCGGGUUCGAAAUUACCAAGAUUUAAAAAAUAAUGAAUUUAAAAGGCAAACGAAAAUAAACGAAGUAUUUUUAUUCCAAAUUUAAAACUAUAGGUAUUAAACGGCCAAAAAAAAAAUAAAUGGCGAUUUUUUCAGGUUUUUUUUCCAAUCAUAAAAUAACAAAAAUAAUUAUCUAAUUGGUCCCAUUACAUCAAUUAAUAAAUAGCUGGUAGAUAAAUAUAGAAAAAGUGAUAAAACAAUCUCCUUCAAGAAAAAGAUAUCCCAGUGGGCGACUAGGGUCAAUGAAAAUGAAAACAGAGACAAAUGGCAAUCCGUAAUUAUUCACAUUUAUGUCAGGGUACUUUCGUAACUUCUCAGCUGACCGUUUCUCGAAUCUGAUUACGUGGCAGUCAUCACAAAUGCCCACAAGAGCACUUCGCUGAAACUCAAUCUCAGCCGUUAGAUCAGAAUCCAAUUCUUUUCAAUACGGCAAGUUGAGAUCCCCAAACCCAUCCUGCUUAACCAUGGUUAAGUCAAUUAACCCAACACACAGAAAUCUCCUAAAAUCCCCAAAAAAGGUCACAAACUUUCUUAAUAAUUACAUAAAAUGCCAUUUAGAGGUUUAGCUAUAAAUUCGUCUUCUGAGACUCGCUAGGUUUGCCGAACCAAUCACCCUUAGGGGACACUUAAGAGAGAAACAGCAAAAUCCUUCUAAAAAAUUCUUCAAUCUUCUUCUCGAAGCUUCUCCAAUGGCGAUUACAUCUUCUAGAACCACCAGAUCAAACGGAUCUGCUCUCCGAUCCAAAUCACCGUCCGGUCGAUUCUGCGGCGUAUACUCAUCAUCAUCAUCUCCGUCGUCGUCAGGUUUCGCUUCUUCCACAAGCUCAAGUUUCUCGUCGCCGUCUACAGCGUUUUUCAGCAGCCACAAUCAAAACAACCACCACCAUAACCACCAACACAGAUCUGCAUCUCCGACGCGUGUGAAUCUAUUCACAUCAGCUCCGAUGACGCAAUCGUUUCGUUACUCGAUCGAUAACAGAUCUAUAUCACCGAAUCGAUCCAUUGCUGUUUCUUCCAAUAAACCUAGUAAUCAUCAUAAGAUUCCAGAUUCGAGAAGGAGAUGUAUGUGUUCUCCGACGACGCAUCCUGGUUCUUUCCGAUGUAGUCUACACAAGAACGUCGCGAAUCCACACGGUCAAGGUACAGGAACGUAUCCGACGAAUAGUUUGAAUAUGCGUAGAUCUGCGAUGACGAAUUCGCUUGUGAGAAUCGGUGGUGUUGAAGGUGAAUGGGUGAGAAGAGCUUUGACUACGUUGAUUAGACCAUCGUCACAUCAACUCAAGAGAAGAUCUGCUUAUGAGCCUCGUCGUAGCAGACUCGCGUCUAUGUCGAAAGCAGAAGAUCUUUGAAUCUUUCAGGUUUGUUCUUGUUUUUGAAAUCGGCCACAGGAAAAAAAAAAUACUCAGAUCUGCCAUGGAAGGAGUGAAAUUCGGAGCUGAGUCAUACCGGACCGAGUGAAAUUCGGAGCUGAGUUAAACCGGACCGAGUUAUGUAAACGGUGACCAAGACGACACCGUUUUUGUUUUGUUGGGUGGGAGAUGAGAUGAUGAUGAUGAUGAUGCAUUGUACAUACACAUAUUUGCUUAUUGAAGCAGAGAAAAAUAUUUCGCAAGUCGAAAGUAUCUAGAAAUCUAAAAUUGGAAAACAGUAGUGACAAAUUGGGUAAUUAAAAUCUGGAAAAGGACUUAGUAGUAAAUUUUUUUGGAUCCAAUUUUGCAAUUCUCUCCAUCGUUCGUUGCCUUCACCGUUAGUUUGUUCCGUCAAGUCAACGUUCUCCAUUCGCCGUUGACCCGUUCCGUUUGCCGUUAACCGUCGUCGUGUGUUAUGUGUGUUCCGUUAAUAUUCCCCAGGUAUGUGUUGUUCGUCGUGUCAGGUAUGUAUGUAUUUUCCGUUUCUUAUUUAUUUGGUUAAUUUUGUUUUAUUUUUUUGUGAACGUUUGAUUUUUAUUUUUUUUAGUUUGGUUUGUUUUUUUUCAGGUUUCGUACAAUGAGGAGAAGAAGAUUACUUAGUUUAACCGUUACGUUCAACUUUGGAAUAUUUUGGGGACUUUUGUGGACUAUGGCAAAAAAAAUGAAAUUGGACUAAAGAGAAGAAUCAAAUAUUUGAAAGAUUUUGAUUCGUGAAAAAAUUAAUUUUGGAGCUAAAGAAUGUGAAAGAUUCAAAGGAAUCAGAUUUUUCCUAAACAUCUCAAGAAGUAAAAGAUUCGUGGAACUAAUUUGUGAAUCACAGAUUGAGUGAGAUUCCUGAAACGGUCGAGGUUAAAGUGAAAGAUUCAAUGGAAUCUUAUUUUUACCUUAAACAUCUCAAGGAGAUGAUUGAUAUGAUAGGGUAAAUGAUGAAAUUUUUGAGGGUAAGUUUGGAAAGUAAAAGAUUCUUGAGGGGUAUAGUUGAGAAAAGGACAGCUGGCGGAUGAAUGGAAAACAGCCCAACAUGAAAUUAAAUUAAAGGAACAAAUCGAUAAAAAGAAUAUUAUGUUGGGGAUGCAACGUCUACCUUAUCUCCUUAUCUCGGGAUUAAAAAGUUGGAUUAUAAUACUCUCCAUCUUACGAAGAUAAAUUUGUCACAUAAAUAUAGAAGUUUUGUGUUUCUAAUGUCAAAUUUAAAAUAAUUUACCUGUUUUAUUUUUAUUAAACAACAAUAAAUAAUAUACUUUUUAAAAUAUGUUAAAAGGUUAAAAUUAUCAUUAUAUAUUAUUUCUUAAAGAAUGUGAAAUUUCUAAAAAUCUUUGUGGGACGGAAGGAGUACUAUUUUACGCAUAGGUAGAUUUUAUAGAUCCCAUUGAUUAAUUAGUUAAUAAAUAUUCUUUUCGUUUUUUUAUAAGUGAUGUUUUAAAUUUUUAAUUUUGUUAUUAAAUAGAUGAUGUUUUCAAUUUUCAUUGCAAAAUUAAUUACUUUUUAUUGGUUUUGACGUUUUAUAUUCUGUAUGUUAUUUUUUUAUUGGUAUAUUAGAUAAUAAAUGAUGUUUUAGUUUAAAAAUAAACAAAAAUUAAAUGAUUUAUUAAUCUAUGUGUAUUCUCCUAAAACAUCACUUAUAAAAGAACGGAGGAAGUAUUAAUUAGGUUUGAUUUAGUUGACUGAUUUGAUAUGGAGUAUAUCGUAAUCUCUAACUACUAGGUUCUAAGUAACAUUUUCUUCACGGUAGAUGAUGGAUUCUUUUUCUAAGUUAGAGCAUCGAAUAUUAGAAACUGAGCAUCACCAAUUCAAUUAAGAGUGAAUUCGAUAAAGAAUUUCCAUCGGAUGGAGAUUUUUCUCCUAUGGAUGUUAAUUGGCAUAUGCAGUCAAGAUCUGAGUAUCUUAAGGGGCAACAGAAAUGGAAAAGGAGGCAGCCAUCGAAAUCGAAAUCACGCUUCACUGUUGCACCAAGGGCUCAGGACUCAGCUGCCAUCACAAAGCUGACAUACAUGAAGAGUGGGAAAGAGAUGUCUUUCGUCAACCCAUGAGUUAGCAGCUUGACAUCAAGGAGUCAACAGCUUCACUCUACUCUAUCUUCAUCUUUCUCAUUGACCUUGAAACAUAUUAUUCUUAUGCUUGUUUUCUGGGACGCACUGUCAAUUUGGAAAGUCUCUAUAUUUUAGCUUCCACUCUAUUUAAUUUCAUAAACCUUGAAACAUAUAAUAAAAAAAAAAUUGAGGUUUUAUUUUUCUUAUAAACUUUCUUUACUCGUUUAGUAUACUGUACUUAACUAUUUUUUAUAUAUAUGUUAACUUUUUUAGUAUUUGUUUUCGUCAUUGUUUUUGGAAGUUAAUGAAUUUAUUUCAUAGUUUAUUAGAUGUUUUGUAUUCUAUUCAUCAUUAAAAUAUAUGAAGUUUUUUUUUCUCGUAAUCUGAAGAAUUUAAACUUACACAGAAAAUAUCACGAUUUUCUUGGAGUUCGUCUAGGACCAUUAGAGGUAUACAUGCCAAUUGUUUCUAAAGUUCACUAGACGUUUUAUGUAUGAAAAUACCUUCGACACACUCAACUCAUAAAAAAUACAAUUAACUUGGGGUCUUAAUGGUAAUCGAGGAAUCCGGCUGAAUUGCUGAAUCUGGCUGAAUUUAUUUGUGAUAUUUUGCAGAAUAUGGCUGAAUAAACUGCUGAAUCUAGCUGAAUUUUUUAAAUAAUAAUUAAUCAAAUAAACUUCUAAAGUAUUUAAUUAGAAAAAUAUUCCAACAAAAUGAUUUAAAAACGAAAUAUUAUGAAAAACUUGUAAAUUGUAAAAACUAAGAUUGAAUUUUGAAGAAAUUUAAAAUUAUUGUAUUAGACAGAUAACCAAGUUACCUAAACACCAAUCUGAUUUAUGUUUUUAAAUUAAUUAAGGCCAUGAAUGGAUGUUGUUUUUCAAUUUGGUUUCUGGAUUUUGUUUUUAGUUUUUGAAUUUUAGAUUUUAGUUUUAGAUUUUGUAAAUAGAUUUUUGUUUUUGAAACCCCAAAAAAGUGGUUUUGGUUUUUGAGAAAAAUAACGUAGAUUGAGUAAAAACUAGAUUCCCUAAAUUAUAGGAAAACUAAAAAUCUAAAAUCUUGAAUGGAAGAUCACAACAAAAAGGUGUUUCUAAAUUGUAGAGAAACCAAAAUUUGAAAAACUUGAUUGGUGUGAAAUGAGUUUUUCCAAAACAAAAACUAAAAACUCUUUCAAAAACUACGAAACAGUCAAAGCCUAAAUUCGAAAAUAUCUAACAUUUCUUAAGAUUAAAAAAAUUAUCAAAAGUUGUAAGUUAAUAUAUUUAAAGUUUUAUCAAACAUAAUUAUUAUAUUUUUGGUGAUUUAUGGUGAAAUCUAAAGUUAAUAUAUUUGAUAAUUUAAUCAAACAUAAUUAUCAUUUGAAACCAUAAACUCUUAAACUUAAUUUUCAUUUUUGAAUUGUAUUUCGCUAAUUUUUAAUUUUUUUAAUAACAACUUUUACUAUUGAAGUUAAAUAUUUAUAGUUUCAAGAAUUAUUUAAUUUUUGAUUAAAACAAAAAAAAAACCUAACAAAACAAAAUUCCUCAAGAAUUCUACUAAUUCCUCAAGAAUUCUACUAAUUCCUCAACAAUUCCUCAAGUCUUCAAAUGAUGUAACAUAAUUUUUUUCCACCAAAAUUCCUCAACAAUUCCUCAAGACUAAUGUUACCAUUUACACCCGCGCGGGGAAGAGCAUCUCAAAGUAUGGGGCAAAAGAUCAAGCGCUUUUACUUUGUUUGGUGCUACAAAAUUUGUGCAAAAUAAGUUAAUGAUGUAAUUUUUUAAUAUCAUGUUUAUUGAUUACUUUUUUUUUGGUAGGUCAUGUUUAUUGAUUACUUGAGUCAAUCAAAUAUCACAAAAAUUACUGAUAUGAUUCUAAAAUAUUAUUUAAUCAUGUUAUAAACAAUAUGCUAAAAUAUGUUAGACUACUUACAAUGGUGUGUUUAAUUUUUAUAUUAAACUGAUCGUUACAAUGGUUUGUUGAAAAAAAGAAAAAGGCUGAUGUGGAUUAAUUGGUGUUGAAUUCUUUCAACAUGUUGAAUCCGUAAAAGAGAAUAUUAACAUGUACACGUGGCGCCUUUUAAUUGGUAAAGAAAAUUACUUUUGAAUUAGAUAUAAAUUAAUGUAUUUGCUAUUGUUUUAUUGGCUGGUAAGGAUUUUUGGUUUUUUCUUUCUACCAAAAUAUUUAAGAUAAAUUAUCUUAUAGUAAAUAAAUUACUUUUUAUUUUUAUUUAUAUCAAAAUUCAUCAUUUUUUAUACUCUAUAAAUAGAGACUUAUUUCAUUUGAUUUGAGCAAAGAAAAAAAAUCAUUUUUUUGUGAAAUUGAUCCCAACAAUAAUCCAUUUAACAUCCAAAAUACUUCUAAUUACUCUUUUAAACGCACAAUCCUAUCCAAUCCGAGUCCGAGUUUACUAUUUGCACUUCGGACAAUAUUAUCCAAUCCGAGUCCCACUAUUCAUAAUGAAAUUCUAUAUGUUCUUCUUCUUUAAUAUUACUUUGAUUAUUUUUUUUAAGAAUUUAAAAGAAAAAUUAAAAAAUUAUUAACCCUUAACUAUUUUAUUUCAAUUGUUAUUGGUAUAUAAUCAUAAAACAAAAAUAAAAAAAAAAGAAAAUAAUAUAAAAUAAAAGAGUAGGGUAGAGUGUUGAAUUUUAUUAAACAAAACUACUGUAAAGAUUAAAAUUGAAAUGAAUGUUGAAUUAUUAGGUGGAAGAGAAACAAAAUGAUAUGGAGUGUUAAAAGUUAAAAAAGAGGGUGUUGAAUAAAUCAACCAUUGUACAUAGUCUUAGGCGGUAAUUCUAGGUUCAGAGUUGGCCUAUUGUUUAACUAAUAAUUAUUCAUAGAUUGGUCGAUAGCUUAUACCAAAACUGAUAUUUUUUAAUCGAAUUUUUUUUUUUAUGGAUUUUAAAAGUUUUUAGAAAGUUUUUAUUGUUUAUGCGGAUGUGAAAAUGUUUAGACAGUCAUUUUUUAAAUUUUAGUGAAGUAUAAAAACGCUAUUACGAGUUUAUUUUGAAGCUUAGAAAAUUUUAUAACUCUUGUAUUUGGAACCAAUUUUAACUGGUUAUACACAACUUAGUAUGUAUAUAGAAAAAGCUAUCAGUAUUAUUUUAGUUAAUGGGUAUACUAUUGCAAUAGAAAAUAUUAUCAAGAAAUUUUAACUCUAAUCAUAUUUGUUUUUCGUAUGAUGUAAUCAUUAGUCGACAUGAGAGUUGUUUGCAAGAUAAGAUAUUUUGUAAAGUUCCAGCCGACCUCCUAACAAAGCUAAGCAAACCGUAAGAAAUGAGCUUCUAGGCUAUAUAAUUCAUAAUUUCAUAUUAUAUGAACUAUAUAAAAUAUAAUUAUAUACUUAUUUUCUUCCCAAAUUAUUUGUCACUUGUGGGUCUUCCUUUUGGAUUUCGCUUUUCUAUCUUUAGUAAAUUUGCUAAAAUCGUCUUCUCCAAGUUUAAGGUUUAAUAGAAAAAAAAAAAAAAAAAAUUCCAACUGGCCCUCAAAAAUAAAAAAUAAAAAAUAGAUAUUCUAAUACAUGAUCAUCGAUCGAAGACUUUUCGGUUUCAAGUUAUUACAACAUACAAUAAUUACUCAUUCUAUUUGUAGUGGUGGUUCGUCGACUAGUGAACCGUGGCGACUCGCGAGUAUUCGUAUUGGCAAAUCUUCUUCAACUUCAUCAAACAUGAAUUCUUGAGACGUCUUUGAGAACAUCAGAUCCUAUUUUUUAUCUUUGAGAGAUCUUAUUUUCUUUUCAAAGAAAACUGCCAAAUACUUGAUCAACCAAAAAAAAGAAAAAAAAGACUUAGUUGAUUCUCUUUCAAAUCGUAUUAAAAUAGAAAUUUCAGAUAAAAACAAUAAUGGGGGCUAUCAAUUUCUCAUCCACUCGAUAACAGCUCAUCACGAACUAAGCAACUACUAUUUAUCUCAUUAAUUUAUUAAAAAUGUUUUUUCUUUAAACAAAAAGUAUCCAAAAUGCUAAGGUUUUUAGCUUACUUAUCUAUGUUGAUGUUGCUAUCAAUUUUGUCAACAUGUUAUUAUCCGAAUGUGUAUCUAUAUUUUAGGAAAUAAAGAUAAAGCUAAAGAGAAACGAUCGGAUAAUGUCUUUGGAUUAUGAUGUCAGGCUAUGAUUAUUUACAUUCACAUUCAUGCACUUUAUGAUUUAUCUAACAAAAAGCAAAGCAAAAAACAAAUUUAUUAGGUUUUUUGUGACAAAGAAAUAGGUGUUGGGAUGUGAAAGGACUCUUGACCCACAAGCCACAACAAUUUUAUGACACCACAUGUGAUGUCUGAUGAGACCACAAAAGAGAUAAGGUUUUCUGUUUUUGUGUUGUUUUGGGUUUUGGCCAUUUGCAUCACCAAAUGUCAAAUCCUUUUGAAAUUUACGAUUUUCAUUUUUCGGAGGCAUUACUUUAAGGUUUUAUCGUUAGAAGUUAGAACCCUUUCACAUGUAUGACCCACAUACAUAUAUGAUAAGGUUUUAAAAUUUUCCUCACCUAUUAAUUAAGUUUUUCAAAUUAAUAUUCGAUCACGUAUCCCGAUCUUGCAUCCAUAUCUAUAUGCUCUUUCAUUGAAAGUCCUAAUUUAUAGUGAGGUUUUAGAUAUGGAUUAGCAAGUUUUGUGGGAGAAAAAAGUAUGGAAGUCACGUUCAUAAAAAGUGAAAACUAUAUAAAUUAAUUGAAAUUAAAUUCGUUUAGAAAAAGAUUUCGACAACGCAUCAACAACUAACAAAUAAAGAACAUAAUGUGCUACUAAACAUGGAAAAUAAUUAUAUUUCUAUGACGAGCUUUUGCGUGCGAGGGGAUCCGUCUUGGUUAAUCUUGACUACUUGCCCCAAGUUGGUUGAGAAUAAGGCCCAUUAUUUCUUAAUAACUUAUCGUUUAUGGUAAAUAGAUUCCUAAAUCCUAUCCUAUCUCACCCAUGGAUUCUUCAAUAGUUAAAUGUAAAAAAAUAAAAGUAAAUUUGAUAGUUAUUACAAAAUAUGUUAUCAUAGAAUUAUAUCAAAUAAGAAAUACUAAUCGUUUUAACAAAAAAUAUUUUGAAUAAUGUGAAGACCCAUUGGAUAUGGAGUAGUAAAAAUCCAUCGAAUAUAAGGAAAAAUAAAGAUGUGUUCAAUAAAAAUACUGAAAUAAGAAAAUAUUAAAGUAGUAGAGAGGAGGAAGGAGACGUGAUCUUUCUUUAUUAUCUCGUUUUCUUCUUUCUACGUGUGUUGCUUCAACUUCUCAAAUGAGAAGUAUAUAUAGUACAACAAAACUUGGAGCCUAAGCUAAUAUUUAUGAAUGGAUAAACUAUAAUGAAGAUAAACUUUAACUACUUAACUUGGGGACCAAGUGACGUGAGGAGAAGAUGUAAUGGAUAAUCAUCAUAAUAAAUAUCUAUUUAUAACACUCCCCUUUGAGUAUCCAUCACUAUCGAUUUAUUGCGUACUGCCUCGUUAAAAACCUUAUUAUGGGAAAAUCGUAUAGGAGAAAACCCAUGAUAAAGGAAAAAAGAGUACAGUGACGCAAUCUCCCCCUAGAAUAGACGAGUCUUGUUUUCUUUAUAGGUUUCGUAGAUGAUGCAUCUCGAACAUUCUCUUCGCUCUUUUUGAUCUCGUCAAUAUAUAACAAAGAUUUUGAAGAGAGAUAGACCUUCACUUCGAUGUCUAUCUUUUGCGUGUUAUUUAAUUUGCUGCCUCGUUAAAAACCUUGUCAUGGAAAAACCCAGUGGGAUAAAAACCAUGAUAAGGGAAAAAGAGUGCAGCCACGCUCAUCAUCAUAUGUCUCCCCCUGAAAGCAUCUUCUUCAAAAGAUGAAUUUUGAAUGGCGUAGCAGGCAGCGUCUUUGAACAAAAACUGCUACACUAUUACUUGGCUGGAUGUACUGGACAUCAACUUCUUGCUUCUUCUCAGACUCUUGGGUGCAAGAGAAGAAUCUUGAAGAAAUAUGUCUUGUCAUCUCGCUAUUGACAUAGGUUCCUUUGAGUUGGAAAAUAUUUGUAGCAGUGACUUGUUGUUGGCUCUUCAUUGGUGCCUAUAUUGCUUGCUUCUUGUAUAUGAUGAGGCAUCAAUCUGAGCCAUACAAAUUCUCGACAUGCUUCAUGGAGCGCAAUAAUUUUGGCAUGGCUUGAGCAAGCGGCGACCAAAAUUGGUUGUUGGAAACGUCACGUAGUUGUUGUUUUGCGAUAUAUAUUUAUAUAGAUCUGAUAUAGAUCCUCCAUCUGCAAAACCAACUAAAUCAAACUCGGGAUUUCUAGAAUAAAAUAAACCCAAGUCAAUUGUACCUUGCAGAUAGUGGAAGACACAUUUGAACUCAUUUCAAAGGUCUUGUCGGAGAAAAUGAAUUAAUCCUGCAAGUAGAUCAGUAGCAAAUGCUAGGUACAAUAUAUUCACUAGAUAUAUAAAUGCUCGUCAGCAUUUAUAUAUGCUAGCUACAAUUCACAAAAUAUAUAAAUACUCGUCAGCAUUUAUAUAUAGUGCUUCAUGAUCAAACUAUAUAGAGUCGACUUCUUUUAGAAGUGGCUAAUAUAACAUCUCUUUCUUUGGAUGUUUAGUUGGAAUAUCUUGAGACACUUUUGUCUUUCCAAGAUCUUUUAUUCCAAAUAACUCUUAAAGAGUUUUGAUGAUGUUCAAAAACAUCAUGCUUAUAAGUUCCCGGGAAUAUAACUAUGAUAUCAAAUAUUUUUCGGGGAUUAGUCCUACAGACAUCCCAAGAGACGCAAUUCAAGUCAUUUAUUUAUCAACUCAAUAUCGAGUGAUUUUGACAAAACCCGGCGCGACACACCAUUUUGUCUUAAGUAUUAUAAUACUCUUUUGAUGCUUGGACCAUGUGUCCAGGAAUUACUCGUUUCUAAUACGAAAUUAAUAUAGACUUGGCUGUCUCUUUGUUUAUUGGCCAAUAUAUAUCUCUUUACGCUCACAGAGCGGAGAUUUAUGAUCCUCAUUAAUUUUAUUUGUGCGCUAGAUCAUUUUUCUUGUCGACAUUGUGUUGUCUUUGGUUCCAUAUUUGCCGUAAUGACAUGGUUAAUCGAUAUCUCUUGAUCAUUACAAAUGAUCUUAUUCAGGUACCUGAUUUCGUCUUUAACCAUGCCAAUCGGUCUCUUUUUACUCCUCUUUAGGAGUCUCUUUGCUCCGCUUGAGGAGUCUCUAUGCUUCUCUUUAGAAGUCUAUACGCUCCUCUUUUAAGAGUAUAAUCCUCUUUUUAGUAAUAAUAUGCUCUCUUUUUUUCGAAGAUUUUCUUUAUAUUUGGAACCAAAGUUGUCUAUCACGUUUUUAUCGUGUUAUAGACAAUAAUAUGUCAUCCGCCAGAGACAUAAUUUUGUAGAGCAUUUUUAGCUAGGACAAGAGAUUUCCUAUGAACUUUAAGUUCAUAUGUAUUUAUACGAGGAUCAAUAAUUUCAUGAAAUCUCAUCCAUCAGCUUGUUGCAUUUGAUUUGCAAUUAUCUUGCAAUAGGCACAUCUCUCAUAAGAUGGCUCAAUAUUAUAGAGCAGAGACUCAUCUCUAGCGUCUAUAUAUUUCAUCCUUUUAGGAUGUUAAUUUUUAUGCGGUGCAGAGGAGCAUUUAUAUAUAUCUCACACCCAUAAAAUUCAAAAUGAGAAAUAUUUGAUCUCCAAUCAUGUAUAUAUAACAUUGGAGAAAUAUUUCUUAUAAAUCGUUGGCCUUGUAUAUAAUCAUUAAUACAUGCAAAACUGCAUGCUCCAUGUAAAAAACAUAGAGACUAAAUCACCAUGAAUCGUUUUGCAAUCUCUUGGAUUUGCGCUAUGAACGAUUCGCUUAAAGCUCAUUUUGAGAGUGAACAUCAUUUUUAGAUGUUCCACUUUAUCAAAAAGCGAUAAAUUUUAGGAUAUGACUUCACCAGAGUUAUUUCGCUCUGGGUGUCAAACUCACCAAAAUUUACCGACUUAUUGUCGAUGUGGGAUUCCUUUAAUUCUCCCCCUCGAGAUGAUAACUCUUCGAGUUCAUUCAUCUCGAACUGAAUCCCACUUUAGGAUCAAUAACAUAUCCAAUAUGGAUCAUGUAUUUAUUUUUAGAUCCUUAUAAAAAUAUGGGACUUGUAAUAACCCCUCCCAAGAUGAUGGCUUUUCAAACCUAUUUAUCUUGGCCCGAAUCUAUUUUUUUUUAGACCGGUUAUACACGGGGUUUAAUUUGGAGAAAUAUUACGGGAAUCGACCAUUAAUGAGCUUAUCAAAGAAAAAUGGUGAUUUGGCCAAAAAUCAUAUGUUUCUGGAGGCUUAGCCUACUACAGAAUUAAGGAGGAGGAGAUAUAUAACCUUCAACUCCGUAUAUAAUAUUAAAUUUAAAUUUAAAUGAAUUUAAAUAAAUUCAACAUAAAUUAAAUGUUACCUCUGAAAUGUGGACGGAAGCAUGCAGUGCUUGAAUAGCAUUCUCUUUGUUUAUAUAACGUGUUUAUAUAAAAUUUUAGUGAUAUUUAAUCACUCUUUUUAAGUUCCAAUUUAGGUCAUCAACAUAUAGAGCAAUGAUCACAAAUCUUGAUGGAAAUUUCUUAAUAAAGACGCAAGAACAUAUUUCAUUAUAAACAUACUCUUUGUUUAAGAAAUGAUCGCUUAAGCAAUAUAUCAUAUGCGUCCGGAUUAUUUUAAUACGUAAAGUGAUCGCUGUAAUUUGACCGUACAUAUUUCAUUAGACUUUGAGUCUAAUGGCUCAGGAACUUUAAAUCCUUCUAGGAUUUUUAUGUAUAUAUUAAAUCCAACGAUCCAUAUAAACAUGUUGUCACUACAUCCAUAAGGUACAAUUCUAAAUGAUAAGAGACUGUUAGGCUCGUUGUGUACCUGAAUGUAAUUGCAUCUAUGACUGGAGAAUAUGUUUCUUCAUAAUCAACUCCAAGUCUUUGAGAAAAACCUUGUGUAACAAGUCGGACUUUAUAUCGUGUGAUUUCAACUUUUACGCACGAAGACCCACUAGCACAUAACAGGUUUUACAUCUUUAGAUGUAGUGGCAAGAGGUCCAAAGACAUCUCUUUUAUUAAGGAAGAGCAAUUCAAUAUAUUGCACUUUUGUUUUUUCAAUCAGGCCUUUGCUGGCACUGAUACGGAUCUUGGAUCUGGAUCAUUAUUUUUAAUUGCAUUUUUCUACCGGGAUGGCUUAACCGGUUAUACUAUGCAAUAGCAAUUAGCAAACUUCUGUUUACUAGCAUAAAUAUUUUUACCAUCUUUAUUUUGCAUGAUAUAAUCAUACAUUUGUGUGUCUCCAUUGUGGUCGGACAUUCGAUACCACAUUAAUUUAUAGUCUCAAUAUAAUAAUUAUAAAGAUCAAUUUCUUUGAAACUACACGAGUUUCUUUGAGACUUUGGAGAACACGAAGCAUCGAUUAUUAUGAAUCUGAUGCAUUUGGAAGUCGAGAGGAUUUCUCAUCUAGACCUUCCAAUUAUUUUGCACUGUCUAAAAAUAUAUUGACAUGUGCUUUAUAUAUUCUCAUAAGAGAAAUAUAUUUUUGAUUUUAAAGACAUAUUUCAAAGUCUUUAAAUCUCAUAUAACACAUAUUUAUUCUUUACGAAUAAAAUAAAUUAAAAUACUUAAACACAUAAAUAUAUAAAAUUAAUAAUAUAGAGACCAAAGCCCUUUUGUACAAGAAUUCAGGAGGCAUCGCCUUCCAUUAAGAAUUCAAUAGGCAUAGCUUUCGUUUGAUCGUAGAGAAUGAGGCAGAGCCUACCAUAUAUAUUGAUCAAUCCGGAAAAAAUAUAAAUUUUCAUUUGAUCGUUAGGAAGGUAAAACCUACCAUAUGACGAUCGAUCCGGAAAAAGCAUAGCCAUUUAUUUUAUCGUAAAAGAGGCAUAGCCUACCAUAUAUAACGAUCUAUCCGGAAAAGACAUAGCUUUUUAUUUGAUCGUAAAGAAGGCAGAGCCUACCAUUUAUAACGAUCAAACCGGAAAAAGGCAUAGUCUCACGAUGUCUAAAAUAAUUAUGUUCUAUAAACAUAAAUAAAUUUAAAUAAUAUAAAUUUUUACUUACCUCGUAAACGCUCAAACGGUAAAGACAUCGUGCUGAUAACGUGUUGAAUAAAAAUACUGAAAUAAGAAAAUAUUAAAGUAGUAGAGAGGAGGAAGGAGACGUGAUCUUUCUUUAUUAUCUCGUUUUCUUCUUUCUACGUGUGUUGCUUCAACUUCUCAAAUGAGAAGUAUAUAUAGUACAACAAAACUUGGAGCCUAAGCUAAUAUUUAUGAAUGGAUAAACUAUAAUGAAGAUAAACUUUAACUACUUAACUUGGGGACCAAGUGACGUGAGGAGAAGAUGUAAUGGAUAAUCAUCAUAAUAAAUAUCUAUUUAUAACAAGAUGUAUAUAUGAGUGAAAUAAUAUAAAAAAAGAAUGGAUCUACAAACUAAACAAUCAACUUUAAGUUUAAAGAACGAGAAACAAAUAGAAACAAAAUUUUUCUUCAUCAAUGAAGUUUUAAAACUAAAAUUUAAAAUUUUAAACCAGUACAUGCCAUUGGGCUUCUUUGAUAACGAGAGGCCCAAUUAAUAAAGUUGAAAAACCUUUGUUUCUUGUUCAAGAAACUAAGAUCACAAUCUACGAACAAGCUUCGAUUCCCCAUCUCCAGUUCACAAGCAAGCUUCGAUUCCCGAAACUCUAGAAGCAAUUAGACGCGAUUGAUACUUUGAUUAAAGUUUGGAAGCAUGUUGACUCUCUGGUCGGGAGAUUCCCAUGGACAUCUUGAGAUCUGUGUUCGAACGUUUGAGGUUUGUGGAUUUCCACCGCGCUAAGAUCGUGUGUUCGAAUUGGUAUUCGUGUUCCAAACAAACUUUACCUCGAAAAAACACAUCUCCAUGGCUGAUUCUGUUUCCAGAGGAGGAUGGUAAUUGUGCUUUGUAUAACCCGGAGGAAGCUAGGGUUUACAAAACAAAGAGAGACUUAUCAAGAUUUCGAUUCUUGGCAAACUCAGGUAACUGGUUCUUAGUUCUAGAUUCUAAGUCCAAUAUUGUGGAAGUCGAAACUAACACAAUCAAGAUUUGUCUAGGGUUUUAUUUUAGGGAUACGAUAAUCGUGAAUUCUCAAAGAACAACAGAAACGAUUAUAACCAAAGAUGGCGUUCUUGAUAUUAUUAAGAAAAAGAUGACUUUGAUCGUACAAGAGUUUGAUCGUAAAAGGAAAAAGAUGUUUGUGCUGUGAGAGCUUUGCGUAGUGUAAAUUCUAGAGCGAUCUUGCCUGUCCUUCUGUGAGAGCCUUGAGUCUCUUUAUAUAGGGGUGAUAAACCGCCUCUCCAGCGAUAUUCUCGGAAGAUUUCUAUUUAUCUUGAAGUCGGCUUAGAAUAUCGCGGAAUAAGGAUAAUUUCCUUAUUCUUCGGAGUUUCUUGGAAGAUAUCCUGAUUUGAGUCGAUCCUUCUAGAUUCCCUCUUAUCAUUUCCGGGUAUAUCGGAAAUGAUGUCUUGCUUGGAAAUGAUACUUUUGAAGGCGAAUAUUUACUAAGUACUUGCCUCGGGUGUCUUUGAUGAUUUCGGCUCGGGCAGCUUGGACGAUGUCAUGACGCCCGACCCGAGCUGAGGAGACUUUGAGAAGAUUGGGCUCGGAUACUCUCGUCGACUGAGCUCGGGUACUUGAGGGGAGGCGGCUCGGGCGACUUGUGAAGUUGGCUCGGACGAAGGGAGAACCCAGCUCGGAUAUGAUGGCGUAGUCCUUUUGCCUCGGGCGAUUCUGCGAAGUCGGCUCGGGGUGAAAGGAAAACUUUCUUUGCGUAGUCCCGAGCUGUCACGGCAAACGUCCCCGAGCUAGUAUAGGAUGACCCGAGCCGUAUCAAUCGGCAUUCUACGAGCUAGUUCAGUGACUGAUCCCGAGCUGUUUUGGCAGUUCCCCGAGCCGGUUUGGUGAUACGUCCCGAUGUGUUAUGUCUUAGCUCGGACUUAAUGCGGGUGGAAUCCGACCCCAACAGUUAGCCCCCCAGCUCGUUGUCUUGAGGAGCAAGUGAUGAGCUUCAUGAUUAUUAGUCCGAGCAGUUUAAACAUUGUCCCGAGCUUAUCCUUGUACGCCGAGGCUAUCGGAGAGUUUGAAUCCUUCGGUGGUCUGAAAUCUCCUGACGAUUCGAAUCCCUUCGACACUUCAUCUUCUUCUAGCGUGUGACGGUUGAAUUUCCCUCUCGAGAAGUGGAAAAGUUUUCGCUUAUUCCCGAGAAUUGCGGCGGACGUGAUACUAUCUCAGAGUCCACGCGCGCCCGACGCGCCGAAGCGUUUUAUAAAUACUCCUCUCGCGACUCAUUUUUCCAGUUCUGCAAUUCUUGAGCAAAAUUUUAAAGGUUCGUUUCUUUUGCUCUGAUCUUGAUUUCUUUGUUUUCCUUUGCUCCGCUUUAUUUUUCCGUUGUUUCUCCACCGUGUUAGAUCCUAGAUUUGAUUUUUCCGAUCUCCGAAUCUUGUUUAUCCGGCUGUUUCUUCGAUUCUCCCGAGCCCAAAAAAUGCCGCUUUCAGACUCAAGCGAUUCGUCCCGAGGUAGAAAUGUUCCGGUUUGCAAACGAAAGAUGGUUUGGAGCAGUUUAGAUGGGUCCGAGGCCAUUUCAUCGGGUCGACCCGAGCCGGGUAACAGAGCGGAAUCGUCAUCUGAACAACGUGGAGAUCCGAGCCACUUUGUGGCUCGGGAAGAUGCAAUCGCUGAUAUAGCUCGGGAUGAGGAUCUCCCUGACGAUCUCGAGGCGGUUUUGAAUAAGAGGACGCGUCCUCCGGCUUCGGAUGAAGCUGGAGUCUCUUGUUGGCAAGAUGUGCCCGAGCUGUCGGUUUUACCCGAGGUGAAGGGUGAAAUGGUUACCUAUGAUCCCGAGGAGGGAGCCAGGCUCCUUCAGUUGGCAAUUCAGGGUGCAAUGGCUCAAAGGAAGAAAAACCGAGCCAAGAAAGUGAAAAAACCGGAUCCUCCUGGUUCCACUCUGUCGACUUCAGACUCUCUUCGAGACUUAAAAGCACGUUUCAACUUUGGCGAAGGGGUGGCUCUGCGAUUGCCGACUUCCAGUGAGAGAGCCGACGAUCCUCCCGAAGGGUUACCUUGUACGAAGGAUUCUUCUACUUCUGCUUCCUCUGGUUUCCAAUCCCGAGGCCGAUCGUUGAGUACUUAUGGUCGUAUAAGCUUGCUUUGGCUCAGAUCACGACCCGAGGCCUUCGACACUUAGUCGGAAUCUUAGUACGUGGAUUCGAGACGUACAACGACAUUGGUCUUGAUCAUCUAAGGAAUUUGCUGGAGAUUCGCCGUGUUCCGAGCUGUGAGAUGGAGAGAUAUUAUAUUUCUCCACGUCCGAAGCGAAGGGUUAUCGGCGGCUUCCCGAGCAAAGAUGAGAAGUACACCGAUCAUUUCUUCUUCGUCGCCCUUGACGAAGAUUGUGUCCCCGAGGGCUGCCUUGAAAAGAUGAUUGGAAAAUGGAGAAAGAUUGGUAGUUCAUCCGUGAUUCUUGUUUGUUUUCUGUUAUAACUUGGCUUUAAAUGAUGUUUCGAUCUUCUUUUGCAGAUCGAGGCCCGAGCUUUCUGGAUCGUAUUCCCGAGGACUUUUUCAGCGUGCGUGAGGAGUUGGCUGCUCGGAAGUGUCACUGGAUUAAGCAUUUCUCCCAAGAAAGGGUUGAAAAGGCGUUAAGGAUUCUUCACGGCGCGUCCUGUUCCACUUCCUCAUCUUCUUCAGACCAAAGGCUAAGUUUUUUUACGGAGAUGCAAGGGGUGAAGAUGUCUUUAAGGGAAAAGAAGGCCGCCGAGAAGAAGGCGCGCGAAGAGCAGAGAACGUUAGAGGCGGCUUUCGGACCGGUGGCUCCGCCCGAGGCUAUAGCGGGGACCGAGGCAACUACCGUCCCCGAGGUGAUCGUUGAUCCCGUAGAAUCGGGUGCUGAUUUAGCUGUCACCAUGGCUCUGUCCGAGGUGCCAGAAGGUAUCCCGAUUGGGGAUGUUGCAAGCCAGGUUCCCGAGGCGGGAAACACGUUGGUGGUUGGUUUGCCUGCUGGUGGGCAGACCAGGUCCAAGAGAAAGCAUCCCCGAGGAGAACACUCCGGGGAUAGGCGUAAAAGGUCGAAACGGGCUCAUAGCUCCUCUCGGCCGAUAUAAAAGGACAAGGUUGCUUCCGCCAACCUUAUCGCUUCUUGCGCUUGGCCGCUACUUCCCGCCCCCGAAGGCUUAAUCGAGGCGGAGCGAUAUGGUGAGGCUGCGGCGAAUUUCUUGAAGGUACGUGCUCAGAUCCAUUCUCGUACGAGGCAGUUUUGUUUCAGGACUUGACACAUCUUUGUUAUUCAUUCUCCAGGCCUUUUCUUCGAUGAACACGAUGGUUCACUCUUACGACUCAGGGGCUCGUGAUAACGCGCUGGCUAUCGAACGGUCUGAGUCUGCUAAACUGAAGGCUGAGAAGACGGCGGCCGAGGCUGUUGCAGCAGCGCGAACUGCCGAGGCGUUAGUUAUUGCCGAACAGGAGUUGCGGAGGAAAGAAUCCGAGGAGAAUGCUCGAAUUCGCCGUAAGGCCGAGGUAGAGAUUGAAAGGCUCAAGCGUUUGCUCAUCGAAGAGAAGUCUCUUCGUGAAGUUGAAGUGGCCCGGGCGAAGAAAGCUGCCAAAAGAGAGGUCACCGAGGAGUUUAUGGAGAAGGUUAAGAGGACCGAGGCGAAGUUGUCAGAGUUUGACAAAAUCUCCGAGCGGUACGUGUACUUCUCUCAGGCAAAGGCUAAUGCAGAGCUAAUCGCCGCCCUUGAAGCUGGAGGGCAGUUCGAAGAUGAGAAGCUUGAGGUCAACAAGUGGAAAGAAGAGUUUGGGGAUGCCGAGGCUGAGUAUGCUAGGCUCGGGGCCGAGCUGCUCAGAGACCUCACAGUUCCUCCGGUGUCUCCUGGCUCUACUCAUGAUAACCUUGGAAACCGAUCGGUGGAAGGUGACGCGGUCGAAGUCGGAGUCACUGAUCAGGCUGGAACGAACCUGAGUUCCGCAGCUGCACAUUGUGAGGAGCGGGAUGAAUAAGCUCGAGGCGUCUUUCUCUUUUGUUUUCGAUUGUUUAUCGUUCUUUUGUAAGACCUUCGCCUGGAUGGCUUUAUCCAUUUGAACGUAAACGUUAUUGUUAAGUACUCGAGUCGUUUCAAGCUAUUUUGACUUAAAUACUAAAAUUGGAUGCCAGCGUUAAAUGACUGGGUUUCAUAAAUACGACUCUUUCGUCGAGAAGUUAAGUUUUUAGGUCCGUUUUAACUUCCGAGUCGAAAAAGAGUCGUGCACCAGUGUUAAGGUAACUGGGUUUUUACAAGCGUGUGACGUCAAGAAGUUAAUUCUUCCGGACCAUUUCAACCUCUGAGCCGAAAGUGGAAUGAUUCGUGCACCAGUGUUAGGACAACUGGGUUUUGGCUACGUGGGACUAAUCUUUAUCGGUUGCGACCCGAGCUGAUAUAGUCGAAGCCAGUGCUUAGAAGCGAACUGGGGUACCAGUGUCGAAGUCAACUGGGUUUUCUGAAGACAAUUUCUUUGUGGCCAGAUAUCUCUGACCGAAUUGUCUCGAAUAUUUAUAUAGCGCGCUGUAACCGAAGCGGUGAAAUGAGCUCUAUGUUCGGGGACGUGGCCAUCGUCCGGACGAACUGUUGGCUUUGUGGGUCGAUAAGAGGACCGUAAAAGUUCUCGAGAUGAGUUUUUGGGAAAGAUGUCGAGGUGAAUAAAAAUUGAAUAUCCGAAGGGUAAAAACUUAGAGAAUUUGAAAAACUUAGUGGGAGUAUAUGUAUACGGACCCACUCCCCCCCCUUUUUUAAUUAGGGGGGGUAGCUGAACUCGUCCGAGGACGAGCUGCCUACGUACCCUUUUCAGGGAUCAAGCCACCCCGUAGUUCAAGUACAUGCGUACCUUAGGUUUUUAGCGGUAAUAUUUCCUUAGAUGCAUUGCGUUCCAGGAUCUAGGUACCGCUUUGCCGUUCAUGUUGAUGAGUUCGUAGACGCCGGGACGGAUUACCUUUGCGAUCGUGUAAGGUCCCUCCCAAUUCGUACCGAGCUUACCUGCGUUCUGCUCGGCGGUAUUCUGGAAAACUUUGCGCAGUACGAGCUCUCCUUCGUGGAAGCGACGAUGCUUCACGUGAGAAUUGUAGUACCGAGCCGUUGCAUUCUGAUAGUUCUGCAUACGGAUCAAAGCUGAAUCUCUUCUCUCGUCAAUUAAGUCCAGCUCGUCCAGCAUCAUCUGAGUGUUGGAAUUUUCCUGCUCGGGGAGAAAACGUCUUCUCAGUCCCGGGAUCUCGGCUUCGGUGGGAAUCACACAUUCCGUGCCGUAGACAAGGGCGAAAGGUGUUUCUCCCGUGGUCCGCCGCGGCGUGGUUCUGUGCGACCAUAAUACUCCUUCCAAUUCGUCGGCCCAGCGGCCUUUCUUCGCGUCGAGACGCUUUUUUAUUCCGUCGAGAAUCGUCUUGUUGGCUGCUUCGGCUUGACUGUUUCCCUGAGGGUACCGAGGCGUAGACUUACUGAGGCGAAUUCCCCAUUUCUCGCAGAAUCCUUCGAACCGAGACGAAAUAAACUGCGAUCCGUUGUCUAUAACGAUUUCGUAAGGUAUCCCAUGGCGGCAUAAGAUGUUUUUCCAGACGAAGUUCUCGACCUGCGCAUCUUUGAUGCUGGCGUAAGAGUCAGCCUCGAUCCAUUUGGAGAAAUAGUCUGUCAGUACGAGGACGAGUUUCUUCUGCUUGGAGUUGUGUAGAGGUCCGAUGAUGUCCAUGGACCAUCGCAUGAAUGGAUAAGGCGAAGUUAUAGAAGAGAGGAGCUCGGCGGGUUGAUGAAUGGUUGGUGCGUGCCUCUGGCAUUUAUCACAUCGUUGAGAAAAUUUCUCGCAGUCUUUGACUAUCGUCGGCCAAAAAUAUCCGUGGCGUUUGAUCUUUAUAGCCAGAGCUCUUCCGCCAUAAUGGUUUCCACAAGAUCCGCCGUGAACUUCUUCCAUGACUCUCCGAGCUUCAUUUCCUUCGACACAGAUAAGGAGGGGACCGGAAAAUCGCCAUUUAAAGAGUUCUCCGUCGAUCAGAGUAUAUCGAGCCGCUUUGGCCUUAAGCUUCCGAGCUGCCCAUUUUUCAGUAGGAACUUCUCCAUCGGCGAUGUAGCUUCGGAUGGCUCCGAUCCAUUUGGCAUCGCUUCCGUAUUCGGGCUCGAUUGCGUCCGUAGUUUGCUGGUCUAGCUGUUCGAUGUCCAUUUUUUCCGGUUCUUCUGUCUCCCGAGCUGUUAGAACUUGAUCUUUGCUAUUAUCUUCAAUGCUCGGCUUUUCGAUGAACUCAACCGGUAUGAUUCUCUUCAGAUUUGGGUCGGAGGUUGAAGCUAGAGCCGAUAAGGCAUCGGCCGAUGUGUUCUCACCUCGUGGGAUUCUGGUUAACUCAAACUCUCUGAACUGUUUCGCCAAGUCUUGCGUGAGAGCAAGAUACGCUUCCAUUCGUUCGUCGCGAGCCGCGUAUUCUCCAUUGAAUUGAUUAGCCACGAGCUGGCAGUCGCAAAAGGCUCGCAGCUUGUUGAUCUUAAGUCCCCGAGCCAGCUUAAGUCCUGCUAUCAGCGCUUCGUACUCAGCCACGUUGUUAGUCGCGUCGAAAUUUAGCCGUAAGGAUUGUUCCAGGAUUUCACCCUCUGGUGACGCGAGGCGGAUUCUGACGCCAGAACCUUGUUUUGAGGAUGAGCCGUCGACGUGGAGGAUCCAAACAGCGUUGGGUGACUCUUCUCGGGCGUUCUCUGUUGGUAGCUCGAUGAUAAAAUCGGCCAGGACUUGAGAUUUUGCGCAUGUUUUGUUCCUGUAUUCGAUGUCAUACUCGCUGAGUUCUACUGCCCACUUAGCUAGGCGUCCUGAUUGGCUCGGACUGUGCAAGAUGGUUCGGAGUGAUACGGGCGCCAUGACGACAAUUGAGUGAGAUUGAAAAUAUGGCCGUAGCUUCCGAGCUGACAUUACUACGGCGAGGGCGAGCUUUUCAGUUUGCGGGUAGCGUGUUUCCGCGUCGGUGAAAGUUUUCGAGACAUAAAAUAUCGGCUUCUGCUCCCCUCUGUCUUCCCUGACUAUGACUCCACUUAUAGCCGUAUCAGAGACUGCGAUGUACAGGAAUAAUGGCUCGCCCGGGACUGGUUUCGCUAACACCGGUGGAUUGGCCAAAUACUUCUUCAGUUCCUGGAAAGCUUCUUCGCAGCGAUCGGUCCAUUCGAAUUUCUUGUUCCCGCGCAGAGUAUCGUAGAAAGCAAGGCAUUUGUCAGUGGACCGCGAGAUGAAUCGGUUCAAGGCUGCGACUCUCCCGGUGAGACGUUGGACUUCGCGCUUGUUCUGUGGUGAGGGCAUGUUCAGUAGAGCAUCGAUUUGCUUCGGGUUUGCUUCGAUGCCUCGGUGAGUUACGAGAUAUUCCAAGAAUUCUCCCGAUUUUACCGCGAAACGACAUUUUGCCGGAUUGAGCUUCAUGUUGUGCUUGUUGAGCUGGCGAAAAUAGUCGCGUAGAUGGGCUAUGUGAUCGCUUUCCUCAAGGGAUUUGACUAACAUGUCGUCGAUAUAAACUUCCAUCGUCUUCCCGAGCUGCUCGGAGAACAUCCUGUUGACGAGCCGUUGAUACGUUGCGCCAGCAUUCUUGAGUCCGAAGGGCAUGACUUUGUAACAGUAGAUACUUCGGUCUGUGAUGAAUGCUGUCUUCUCGCGAUCGUCGGGGUGCAUGAGAAUCUGAUUGUAUCCUGCGAAAGCAUCCAUGAAUGAUAGCAACUUAUUUCCCGCGGUUGCUUCCACUAAACGAUCGAUAUGUGGGAGCGGAAAACUGUCUUUAGGGCAAGCUUUGUUCAGAUCGGUGAAAUCGACGCAGACUCUCCACUUGCCGUUCUUCUUUUUAACCACGACAGGAUUUGCUAACCAGUCCGGAUAUCUUGCUUCAGAGAUCGAGCCGAUCUUCAGGAGCUUUUCUACUUCGGCGUUCACUGCAUCUGCGCGAUCCCGACCCAAUUUUCUUCGCUUCUGCUUGAUGGGCUUGAAAGAUGGAUCAACAUUCAGCUCGUGGCAGAUUACGUCGAUGCUUACCCCGGGUAGAUCUUCGGCCGAUCAGGCGAAGGUGUCGAUGUUCUCUUUGAGGAAUGAGAUGAGCUCGGUCUUGAUUUCUUCGGUUAAGUCGCUGCCAAUUUCCACGCAUCGUUCAGGCCGUUCGUCGUCGAAGCUAAUGGAGAUUACAGGAUCCGAGGUAGGCUUCUUCUCCUCGCGCGCCUCCUCGAUCUGUAAUUGCUAUAACUGUUUAGAUAUAGCCUUCUCUUCACUCCGGCCAAGUUUUGAUAUCUUGUGAUUGGUUUCAGCCUUUGCUUCGGUGACAGGGUUUCGAAGUUUGUAUGCUGCCAUGAAACACAUCCGAGAAUUUUUCUGACUGCCCCAUAUCGUCUUCACGCCAUUAGGGGUCGGGAAUUUGACACACAGAUGAUAUGUUGAUGCGACAGCUCGCAUUAGAUUUAACCAUGGGGUUCCCAUUAUGACGUUGUAGAUGGUAGGUCGAUCGGUGACUGAGAAGUUGACUAUCUUUGUUACCCCGCCGGCUCGGACUGGUAGUUGGAUGGUUCCAAGCGUCAUCAAAGUUUCCCCUGAAAAUCCGAGGACAGGCCUCGGGGUCGGAAUCACCUGUGACAUGUCAAUGUUCAUUCGUUGGAGCGUUUCGCGAAAGAUCACGUCAAUGGUGCUGCCGGUGUCAAUUAAUACUCGGUAAAUAUCGUGGUCUCCUGUUGCUAAUGUGACGACGAUUGGAUCGUUAUGAGGCAUAUCGAGCCCGUUUGUCUCGCUUUCUUCGAAUGUGAUCACGUCGUUAGGUCGAUCGGAGCGUCUUGUCCAGUUGCUAGGCGUCUCGGCUCGGCGUUGAUAAGCUUUGAUUGCCGCUACGGUGUCAGGACAGUAAGGUGAUCCACCCAUUAUGGUAAGAACCUUCUGCCGCGUACCAUCUCGGUCUUCGUCUUCCGACCCCCGGGUUCUUUUCUGAGACUCCUGGUUCCUUGGUUCGGGGUCUCUUCCUGGGUUGGUCUGCUCGGGCUCUGGUUCGAGGUCCUUAAGAGUUACGUUUGUCCCGAGCUCUCCAGCUAGGAAUUUGGUUGCUAACUUGGCUCCGAGGCUUCGGCAUCUCGAGGUAUGAUGGCCGAAAAUUUUGUGGUGUUCACAAUAUUCUUGAUCAUUGCUCGGUGGCUGAUCCCUCGUCCAAGUGAAGGACUCUCUUCCACGCCCACGGCCUCGGCCUCUGCCGCGGCCACGGCCUCGGGGCGUGUCAAUCUAGUAGCUAUGGUAUCCUGAGAAAUUGCGCCCUUCGUGAUGCGUAUACGUACCGCUCUCACGCGUUUUCUUCUGAACCGGAGGUGUCGCUUGGGCUUUCUCGUUUUUCUUGGUUCGGGACGCCUGUUUUGUUGGCUCGUGCCUCUUUGCUAGUAGCGCCAUUUCUUCUUCGUGGGCGACGAAAUCCGAGGCUCGAUGCAGCGCGUCGCGAAUUGUUGUUGGUUUAGACAGGUUCAACUCUUUCCUGAAUUCUGACUUGUACCAGAGAGCUUUCUUCAAAGCCGAGAGAGCUGCUACAUCCGUAAUUCCUUCGACCUUGGCUAGCGUCGAUUUGAAGGUCUUGAGGAAAUCCCUUAAUGGCUCGGUGGGCUGUUGAGACAGAGACCACAGAUCCGCGUCGGAAGUUCCGGGGUCGAUGAGCACGGAGUAUUGUUUGAGGAACAAUGUCGACAGCUCGUCGAAACUAUCAAUCGAGUUUCGUUCCAAUCUCGAAAACCAUUCUAAUGCGGGUCCUUUGAGGUGUUCCACGAACAGUAGGCACAGACCUGCAUCCUUUUCCCCGGGUUUGAACCUGGCUCGGGCCACAGAUAUCACGAACGAUUUAAUGUGGCACUUAGGAUCGGUUGAUCCGUUGUAAGAGUCAAUUUUGAACUUUCCCAGAUUGGACAUCGUCGUUUCGGAAAUUCUUUUGGUGAAAGGCGUGUUCCGAGAUUCUUCCAAAAUUCGGUCGAUGUUUGGUGCGGAGGAUGAAACGCUAUGUAUCUGGGUUUUGACGAGCUUCAUAUCAGCUUCCGCCUUGGCUAGGGAGGCUCGGAUUUUGCUUAGCUCGUCUUCUCUUUCGGAUUCUUCGGCCCACCUUAUGUUUUCCUCAGUUUCUUCAUCGUCAGUGAGAUCUGUUCGCUCGGCGGAGUUAGCUCCGGCUCGGGUACGCUCAUCUUGCAGAUCAUCUGGCUCGUCCGUCAAGUCCACUGCGUCCGGCUCGGUGGGAUCAUCUUGGUUCUCGCGUCUGGCAGGGUCGGCUCGGGUUGCGACUCUUGUGUUGCCGGUUGGUGUCGCGAACGUGAGUCUUGUUGUGUUGAUGCCAGGCAAGUCCCUCCGAGCUCGUGGCGGCCGAGUCUGGAAACGUGUGGUUUUUUGUUGCCCGCGUGUUGCGAUUUCGUCGACUCGCUGCGCCAAGGUUUUGUUGGCUUUCUCUUGGUCGUCAGCUUUCUUCUGGAAUUUAACCAUCAGGUCUUUCAGUUCGGCUAGAGUCGCCAUGAUCGUCGGAUCGGCUUGAGGAUUCUGAGGGUUCGGAGGGUUCGGGAUCCCUCCUCCAGCUGGUGGUGUAUGACGACCGUCUUCGUUCAUCGUCCUUUUCGGUAAUCGAGUUCUGCGUCUUAGGGUAAGAGAAUUCUAAAGUAUCCCCACAGACGGCGCCAAACUGUGGAAGUCGAAACUAACACAAUCAAGAUUUGUCUAGGGUUUUAUUUUAGGGAUACGAUAAUCGUGAAUUCUCAAAGAACAACAGAAACGAUUGUAACCAAAGAUGGCGUUCUUGAUAUUAUUAAGAAAAAGAUGACUUUGAUCGUACAAGAGUUUGAUCGUAAAAGGAAAAAGAUGUUUGUGCUGUGAGAGCUUUGCGUUGUGUAAAUUCUAGAGCGAUCUUGCCUGUCCUUCUGUGAGAGCCUUGAGUCUCUUUAUAUAGGGGUGAUAAACCGCCUCUCCAGCGAUAUUCUCGGAAGAUUUCCAUUUAUCUUGAAGUCGGCUUAGAAUAUCGCGGAAUAAGGAUAAUUUCCUUAUUCUUCGGAGUUUCUUGGAAGAUAUCCUGAUUUGAGUCGAUCCUUCUAGAUUCCCUCUUAUCAUUUCCGGGUAUAUCGGAAAUGAUGUCUUGCUUGGAAAUGAUACUUUUGAAGGCGAAUAUUUACUAAGUACUUGCCUCGGGUGUCUUUGAUGAUUUCGGCUCGGGCAGCUUGGACGAUGUCAUGACGCCCGACCCGAGCUGAGGAGACUUUGAGAAGAUUGGGCUCGGAUACUCUCGUCGACUGAGCUCGGGUACUUGAGGGGAGGCGGCUCGGGCGACUUGUGAAGUUGGCUCGGACGAAGGGAGAACCCAGCUCGGAUAUGAUGGCGUAGUCCUUUUGCCUCGGGCGAUUCUGCGAAGUCGGCUCGGGGUGAAAGGAAAACUUUCUUUGCGUAGUCCCGAGCUGUCACGGCAAACGUCCCCGAGCCAGUAUAGGAUGACCCGAGCCGUAUCAAUCGGCAUUCUACGAGCUAGUUCAGUGACUGAUCCCGAGCUGUUUUGGCAGUUCCCCGAGCCGGUUUGGUGAUACGUCCCGAGGUGUUAUGUCUUAGCUCGGACUUAAUGCGGGUGGAAUCCGAUCCCAACAAAUAUCUAUAUCAUAGAUUUGUUUAGCGAGAAAAAGAUCGAUCUUCCACCUCUAGAGUCAAUCAAAGGUGACAAGUAUAAUCUUAAGAGAGUCGGAGAUAAAAAAUUCGAGGAGGUAGUCUUAGGAAUCGGUUAUACCUCUUUUGUCAUCCGAAAAAUCUGAAAGGUCUUUUGUGGAUAGACGAGAAGAAAGAAGAGUAUGUUGUUGUGUGGUACUUUAGUAUAUUAAGGAGAUAGCCUUUUGCAAGAACGGAGAAGAUCAUUAUCGUGAGAUUCCGACGGCAUACAUUGAGUUAACAGACAUAUCUGAUAUGGUACUACAACGUGGUGACAGUCUUUACCUCUCAAGGAGUUGUUAUUACUUUCGAAAAAUUGAUUUGUCUAGACAAGAUUUCAAGGUUGUGUCCAAGAUUCAUAUAUUAGUACCAUAUCUUCCGAGGCCAUGUCUUGAUAAUGAAACAACAAUUAGCAAUAACAUUUCUGUUACAACAUCAGGAGAAGUUUUGUGGGUCAUGAGCAUCUUUUACAAAACAACAAAAGAAAUUUUCACGUUUCCAAUGAAAAAAAGAUUUACUCUCAACGUUUGGCAAACUGAGAUUUCAUUCUCAUGGUUUGACAGUUAAAGCUUAUUAUGACGAAAAUACCCCUAAUGAAUUAAACCAAACAACACAGUUACUUUCGGUUAAACCAAACAACACAGUUACUUUCGGUUUAGUUACUUUUUCUUUUCUUUGCGGUUUGGUUUUUGAAUUAAAAAAAAAAAACAAUUACGAAGAAAAGGAAGAAGAAGAACGAGAGAGACUUGAGCCAUACUUUGGCUUCUUGUUAGAAAAAAAAAAAACCCAAAAUUGAAUUGAAAGGGGAAUCUAGGGUUUACUCAAUAAUCGAGAUGGUUCCCAAAUCAAGCGACGGCGAGGCCAAGGAUGGAUCUUCAAGCGAAACCCAAUCGACGGAGUACAUGGAAAUUUCCACGGGCGAUGAAUCUUCUAUGCUGGGGAAGCGCAAGGUUGAAACCCCCAUCCUGGAGGAUCUCAGUGAAAACGAAGGCGACAUAGAAGGUGUCGACGAUGAUAGUGAUUCCGAAUGGGAUAAGGAUAGCUUCGAUGGUCUGGAAUAUCAUUCCUGUGAUGAUCAGAAGGAGUAUAUCGACAAAUAUUUUGAGAAGAGGGCCCGUUUUUACAAGCGCACGGUCAUCGAAACCAAAGUAUGAUCAUCAUUUUCAUCUCUAUACGUAUCGAAUUUUGAGUCUUUUAUUGAUUGGGUCAUAUAAAAUCAAGUAACAUUGUUGUAGUUAAAUUUUUUGUUUUGGUUUUAGGUUUUUUUUGAGGCAACUGACGAAUUCCCACCUUACCUUUUGGCUGGAAUUGCUACAGUCCCUGGACGAUGACCUUGAGGAAGGUUUGACCGUUCGUCAGUUUUUAGCAAACAUGACAUCUCUGUGUCUUGACAAAUAUAACAAACGAAAGGUAACAUCUCUAGUUUGACUUUCAGAGUCCUAGGCAAUAUGAGAUGAGCCAUUCUUGUCUCUUGUUUUCAGGGAUUCAAUGUGAAGUUGGAGCAUGUUUUGAGGGCUAAUUUCAACCCAGGGGGCAGGACAACAUACUACAUCACAUUUGCUGCUAGAGAGUCUGAUUCUCCUGAUGCACCUCUAGUGGAAUAUCAAGUUAAGGUGGAUUGGUCUGCGGGCAAUACUUAUCCCAUCCUUUGCAGACCCACUUCUCCACCACAACUGGUUGAAGGUAGCCGAGGAGAUCUGAUGCGGUCAUCAACCCAAGAACCAACCAUGGAGAAGAUUAUGGGCGAGAAACAACAACCCAGGAGCAGCCAAGUGGGAAUUUUAACCAAGUUUUAUCCAAAACUUCAGGACAAAGCCAAUUCAGCCUACCCGAGAAGACCCCUCAGCAUUUUUCAGUCCAGACGAAGGCCAAGAUCAAUUCCUCCUGCCCAGAGAUCACUUGGAAUACAUUCUCAGCUCAACUACCGACAACCACGAAGAAGAAUCAGCCCAAACGGAGUUCACACGAAGGAGUUAUUCAAUUUUCAAACGGGAUGAUCCCCAACGAACUCGGUUUGGACCUACGUGCAGUUAUUGGAGGAUUCCGACCAAACCAGAAGGCGUUAAGAUACAAAGUGAAUUUUCGUACACUCUUGACUCAUCAGAGGAGCUUUUCGAAUUGGAGUCAAGUCAAUACCGAUUUUGGUUUAGAAGAUAUUAAUUUUCUAAACCAGAUGAUGCUCAGCUUGCCUUAUUUGGAAGCUGACGGGUUUAAUUACUUGCAAACCAAACUUUGGCGUCCAGGAGAGUUUCUAUUACAACUAGAGACUCCUAAGAUCACCUCAAGCUUCAUUCUCAGCCCUUGGAUCAAGUGGAUUCAAUCUUUCCUAAUCAUACACCAAGAGUUACCAUAUCUUCUGAUUUGGUGCGAAUUAAGGGAGUUAUUAGAAGAUUAAUAAGCCAUGGAAUCAUCCAGAAGCUGUCAAGAUACAAGAUCCCACGAAUUACUCCUUUUGGCCUAAGCAUUCAAAGCCUAACGGCUAAUAUUCUUUCAAGGCACAUCUCCACUUGAUUUCUUUGAUUUAUUUCGUGUAUUGCUUUCCUAUUUUGAGUCAUGAGACUGUUGUACCAAUCCUAGAGUCGAGCCUAUAUAAGCUCAAGUCAUUUCUUUGUAAAAACCACCCUUGAUCAAUUUUAAAGUAAUAAGAAACAUUUUCUUUUUGUCAAAGUUCGAGUCUUUGUCGUUUAUUCAUUAGUCUUAAGUGAGUGAGUCUCUUAGGCCUAUUUGAAUCUGCGGAUUAAGUUUGUUGAUAAGUUCAACAUCCUUCUUUCGUUCAUUGAUCGAGUGAGUCGAUUAAGUUGGCUCUACUCUUUAGUUUAUUUCUUCGUAAUCUACUCUACUCUGUUUGUCUUUAUGCAUUGUAUUCCCUUUUUUCGAGCAGUUAUAUUAUGAAUGAAUGAACUUUUUAUUGUUUGCAGACAACAUGUAUGAAAUACGUAUGGUUUUGUGUACGUACACUGGUUUUGUACAUAGCGGAUUAAACUUGUAAAACGUACGACCACUUAGUAUAUUUCAACAAGUAUGAAAGACUUUGUCUCUGGUGUACGUACACUAAAAAAGUACAUAGCGUAAAACUAAUAUUACGUACAUAGCCGAUUAAACUAGUAAAAUAUACGACCACUUAGUAUAUUUCAACAAGUAUGAAAGACUUUGUCUCUGGUGUACGUACACUAAAUACGUACAUAGCUGAUUAAACUAGUAAAACGUACAUAGACAAUAUAUUUUAAUAAUGGCGUAUAGCUGUACGUACAAGUAGCAUAUAUUUUAUUAUUCAUAGUUUUAUUUGAAAAGAACAAUAACUUUAUAUAGUUUAAGAAACAAUACACUUCGUAAGCCUCAGCUGCGGUAACUAGCCGAUGAUCAUUCAGUGACCCACUUGCUGAAGCUCAAAUACCACACUCGAGAACAUCAUCCCCAGUGACUUUGUCUAUACCAUUAAGAUUGGUAUCCAUGUACGUAACAAAAUCACUUUCGCAGCAUGUAUCUUGUACACAGUCUCUAGUAUACGUACAUUGGUACAAACCAUGUUGACACGUACGUGUUGGAGUCACGGUUGGUGUACUGUCACCCAAAUGAGAAAAGUUAUCUCCGCCAGGUACACGAUGACUUGUGUACGUACACUCUGCCAAUAGACGACUGAAUUCCCCUGGAUGUUGAACCGUUUGUUGAGUGAGAAUGACGUUCUCCUCAACAUUCUCUAUUCCAUAUUCUUCAACAAUUACAUCGUUCCACUUGUUGUAAUCGUAAUCUUCGCCAGUACCUUCACUACCGUCUAUAGUAGGAUCGAGGGUACUUCCCCCCAUAGAUCUAUCAUCACCCUGAUAAUCAUCAUACCCAGCACCAUCUUCGUUUUCCUCCUCCUCUUCUUCAUCCUCAUAUGUUUUAUCGUAUUCAACGUCGUCUUGCUCAUCUACGGCCUCAUUAUUUCCAUCUACAUUUGAAGCCGCUACGAUGGGAUUUGGUGUUGUUGCACUCCCACACACACGGUAACUCUCACCAUCGUCACCAUCGGUCCUAGGGACAGUAUUCCCGAGUGCCUUGACGGUUGUAAUGAAAGAGACAAACAAGGUGACACUAAGAUCCCCACCACGAAUCAAAAAGAAGGUAUUCAGGCUCAUUUGAUUGUUAAUGUAGACAGGAGGGCGUUUACUUUCUAUCAUCACUGACAUCUUUCCCGGCAUCCAGUAACUAAUUAUUGGAUUGCAUUCGGUGGACUUCAAACUGAAAACCUCGCAUAAUGUACGUACAAAUUCCGUGUACGUCAUGUUUUCCUUAACACGUACACAACGACCAAACCAGCCUUCCCAUGGUUCAAAUUUCCAUUCUUCUUCUUUGCAUCUCCACUCACCCACCAUAGUAAAUACAGGAAUAUCCAUUACUCACCUGCAUCAUAAAUUCAGCAGAACCCCAUUAAAUGCAAAUGAAAGCAUGAUUAUAUCUACAAAAAAACAAAAAGAAUUCCCAACUACACACUUAUAUACAUAAAUCUAUCCUCAUUUAGCAUUUUCAACUAAAAAAAUUGGAAAUAAAAAUAUUCUGGGUUUUUAUAUAAAAACAAUGUUGAUUUCGAACACAAUCAAGACGCUAGUGUGUUAUAAUAAAAAACUUCUUAACUAAUUUCAUUACUUACACGAUCAAUGCUUGUCUUGGCUCCAAACUUUGUAAAUCAAGAAGAUCAAAACUUCUCCAGCAUCACAUUCGUUCAAAAUAAUUUGUUUGUUUGAUGGAUCAUGUUUGUCUCUUACAACUCCUUCAGCAAAUAGCUCAGCUAGUCCAUCAACAUGUUUGAUGUCCGCAUCAUACGACCUCUCCAAACAGUUACAUCCUAAAAAUGCCUAAAUCACAUAAGUCUUAUACUAUGUACGUACACAAAAAUAUUUAUUGAAGCGUACAUGGUACAACAUUAAUUUAAUUUUUUGACAUCAAAAUUAAGUUAUUAUGUCAGUUAUUUGUAUGACUGUAUUUUUUUCAUAUGUUGUUCAUACAUGAUUUGAAUGUUUUGUUUUUAUAGUCAAAAAAUAUUUGAAACGUAAAUAUACAAAUUAUUUAGAUAUUUACGUACAUAUAUACACACACAUUACUACCGUGUACGUACACAUUAUUACCGUGUACGUAUAUAUUAUUACCGUUACACACAUAUGUGUAUAUGAUAUUGCUAAUCCUGAAUAGUCUUCGAUAAUAAUAAAUAAAAUAUUAUUUAAAAUAGAAAUAAAAAUAUGAAAAUGGGUCUGAUAGAAAAAAAAGAAUUUUAACUAAAAAUAUAAAAACAAUAAAUAUUUAUAAAAUGGAAAAGCGAAUCAUCUACUGACAAGUGUUUAAGAUUUUCAAACCACACACGGCUCUGUGUCACGUUUAAACAUACUAUUCCUCAAUGUUUUUCUUUAGUUGUGAGGUUUGUUUCUACUGCUUCUCGUAUUUGACAUAUGAUUAUGUAAAUUGCGUAACAGAGCUGGAGUUUUGUGAGUCUCAUUAGAGUCAAUUUGUGUGUUGAUCAUAGUUGAUUUCAAUUAUUUACUGAAAACAAAUUAUAAAUAUUUUUUUAAUUGAGUUCGUAGAAAACUUGUAUGAAAUUGGUAAGAUAUUUUUGGUAGAAAUAUGUCCUUAUUUGAGUUUUUUCUAUUUACAUGUAUGUAGUUUACGGUAUACACAGUAUUGAUUAUAAAAUGGAUAUGUACUUCAGUUAUAUCAUGUACUAUUGUGGAGACGGUGUACGUAAUAUUUAUAGAGUUUGUAUUUUAGUUUUUCGACUUCAAAAUACGCUAAUAUAAACUAGAUUUACAAAAUCAAUAAAUAAAUUAAAUGUAAAAAAACAAAAGAUUAUAAGAAAAUUGUGAACAGUCAAUCGCAUAACUGAACCGCAUAACUGAACCGUGUACAGUGUACGUAACUGAACCGUACAGUGAACAGUACAUCGCAUAACUGAACUGCAUAACUAAACCAGAACAGUGUACAUAACUGAACCGCAUAACUGAACCGUACAGUGAACAGUACAUCGGUACGCUGGCAGGGGUAAAAUGGUCAGAUUUUGGCUAAAUUGUCAAAACUUGAAAGUCAAUUCUCACUUUGCCAAAACAUGAAAUUAAAACUUGGUCUUAUGCCAAAACAUGCAAUUUACCCAAACAACAAGGCUUAGGAUCUUGCGUCUCUACAAGAAGGAUCCUAAUCCAGACCCCCUUUCAUAUUAUCUACAACCCGAACCCGUUUGUUGAAUUAGAUUCUCUAGGUGAUGCUGACACUACCCUCAGUAUCGAACCAAACUCUGUCUAUUUUACCUGCCAUGACCAUGCUUGUAACGAUUGCUGGGAUCAGAAAUGUAUUGGCGUUUUAUUUCCCAAAACGACUUCGUUUUAUUUGAGGGGUUUUACUUUUUGCCAAAACGUUGCCGUUUUAGGCAUCUCUUCUUCGCUUAACAAGCAGAUGCAAUUUUUUUGACAUUUGAGUUUCACUUCUUCGUUCUUCACUUGAUUACAUUACAGACUUGCGUAAUUUCGGAAUCAGUAACUUUGCACAGCAAAUCUUCUGUGUCGAAGUUUCUAAAGGGAAGAGGUUAGUUCUUCUUCUAGCUUGUGUUUCUAGGUUUCGACUGAUUGAAUUAGGGUUCUGAAUAAUCUUCAAAUUAAUCUUCAAAUUGGACAGAGAAACACCAAAAUUAUAGUCUCUUGCUUGUUUGUUACUUUUUUGUUAUAUCCUCUCAUUGUCCAUUUCUCAAUUCUACCGCUUAAAUUUUGAUCUUUCUAGUAACAAAGUUUAACUUUUGAUCAAUUUGAUAUUUCUAGAAACAAAUAAAAGCAUGGAGACUACUAAUUCCGGCCGCUGGUCGGAGCUCCCUAUAGACAUCUUGAGAUCUGUGUUCGAACGUUUCAGUUUUGUGGAUUUUCACCGCGCUAAGAUCGUGUGUUCGAAUUGGUAUUCGUGUUCCAAACAAUCGUUGCUACGAAAAACCGGAUCUCCGUGGUUGAUUCUGUUUUUAAACGAUGGUGGUUGUGCUAUGUACAACCCGGAUGAAGCAAGAAUUUACAGAACGAAGAGAGGCUUUUCCGGGAUUCGAUUCUUGGCAAACUCAGGUAACUGGUUCUUAGUUCUAGAUUCUAAGUCCAAUAUCUAUAUCAUAGAUUUGUUUAGCGAGAAAAAGAUCGAUCUUCCACCUCUAGAGUCAAUGAAGGGUGGCCUUUUUAGUCUUGAGCAAGUAGGAGACACGGCAUUCAAGGCGAGAUUAAAUAAUGGUAGUGCAUAUUCAUUCCAUAAUGCGGAAGAUCUGAGAGGUCUUUUGUGGGUAGACGAGAAGAAGAAAGAAUUCGUUGUUGUGUGGUUUUUCGACAAAGGUACCGAAUAUUUAGCCUUUUGCAAGAACGGGGAAGAUCAUUACCGCGACAUUCCGAUACGAAAAAAUGUUGGUAAAGAGUUACAAGGCUUAUAUGAUAUGGUACUUUAUGGUGGUGACAGUCUUUACAUCUCAACCACUCGUCAAUCGAUUCAAAAGCUUAACUUUUUUGGACAAGAAGGUUUCAUUGAUGUCUCCAACAGUGAGAUAUUACCAUUUCGUAAAAUCUCAUUUUAUCUCCCAGAUGGAGCAAGAUUUGGCAAUAACAUUGCUGUUACAAUAUCAGGAGAGGUUUUGUUGGUUCAGAACUUCUUUUACGAGGCAACAAGAUAUAGGAGCUUCCGUCUGUACAAGAAAGAUCCUAAUCCAGAUUUGAAUACUAUUAUCAACAACCCGUACCCGAUGGUUGAGGUAUAUUCUCUAGGUGAUGAGGCUCUGCUUCUAGAUUUGGGUAUCACCGUGUCUGCGGACGGUACAUUACUUGGUAUCGCACGGAACUCCAUCUACUUCACCCGUCAUGACCGUGUCCGUAGUGGCUGGAAACAUUCAUGUCUGGACAUCUGUGUGUUCAAUCUUGCAACAAAGAAACUCAAACGCUUCCCGGGUCUCUCCAACUUAAAGCUCACGGAUGCUCGAUGGUUUAUCCCGUCUUGAUUUGUUUCUUUUUCAUCCUUUGUGGUGUUCUUGAGAGUUUCCACACAUUAUUUUUAUGUUUAGGUUUCGGUUAAUAUUAGGGUUCUCGGUUUUUCAAGUUUCAGUCAAAUUCGUAUUGUUGAUAUUUGGGUUUGUUUUGUCUCGUUGAUAUUCAUGUUAGACUUUAAAUCUGUGUGUUCAUGCCUGGACAUCUGUGUGUUCAAUCUUGCAACAAAGACCCUCAAACGCUUCCCCGGUCUCUCCAACUUAAAGCUCAUAGAUGCUUUAUGGUUUCUCCCGUUUUGAUAUGAUUUGUUUUUUUUUUCUUCUAAUCCUGUGGUGAAUUCUUGAGUGAAAACUUGAUGAUAAAAAAUAGUGAAAUCUUUGCCAAAAAAAAAAAAAAUAAAUAGUGGAAUCAUGUUUGCAAAAUGUGAAUAAAUAGUAUUACAUUUCAUCACCAAUACAAAUUUGGUUUUCUUUUGUGCCAACCUUGAUAAAGAGACGAGAGUUAUCACAAAACUAUUAGUUGUAAGUUGUAACCAUAGCUCACAGGCUACACCCGAAUACUCACUUCUAGCUUGGUUUGCAAUAAAGAAUCAUUUAAUAACAGGAGAUAAAAUGCUAAGUUGGAAUUUCGGAGUAGAUAUUUCAUGUGUUUUUUGUCAUGAACCGUUGGAAAAUCGCAACCACUUGUUCUUCACAUGUCAAUACUCGGCAGAGGUUUGGUCGGGACUAACUAUGAAGCUCCUCUCUCGACACUUCUCAACAACUUGGGAAACUAUCAUCAAGCUCCUCACAUAUACGUCUCUUGGGAAUGAGUGCUUGUUCUUGACGAGAUACACAUUUCAGCUCACAGUACAUUCGCUAUGGGAAGGAUGGAACAGUCGUAGACAUGGAGAAGUACCAACUCCCUCAGCUCAAGCAAGUCCGAAACAGAAUAUCCUCCAUUCGAAAACAAGGCGAUAGGAAAUACGAAAUAUAAGAAAGACGCAUUCAUCUUUGUUUUUAUUUUGAUCUUUGUAUUCUAAAAUCGCUCAAACAAACGCAUUCAUUUUUCCGAAUAAAUUUUAUAUUUUAUUCAAAAAAUAAUAAUCAUAUGAUCAUUUUUAUCAGGAAAAAAAUAAAAUCAUAGAACGUUUGUGCUUCCCUUAGUUAAGCCUUUACUUUUUCAUCCUGGGGUUUUCCCCUUUUUUUUUGGCAAAAACGAAACGCACCGUGUUGUUUGGUGUUCUUGAGGGGGAUUUCCACACUUUUUUCUCCUGUUAUAUUCUUUUUAUUGCUGUGUCUUUUAUUCUUCCCUUUGUUUUCCAAAAAUUUUACGACUAACCUUAGUUCACCCUUCAAAACUAAAUCCACUCUAUAUUUUGCACAAAAUCGUUCCACUUUAUCGUUCAAAAAUCUUGUUAAGUUGGAACCACUGCACAUCUAUUGACAGCUUUAGUUUAAUGGUACUCCAAUUGUGAUGGUCGUAACAGUCUUUACGUCUCAUCGACAUGUCAAUUCAUUCAACAACUGUACUUGUCUAGAAUAGGUUACAUGUGCCUGCUGACCGUAACCUUGGUAUCGAACCAAACUCUAUAUAUUUCACCCGUCAUGACCGUGCUUGUUACCAUGGCCGAGAACCUUCAUGCCCGGACAUAUGUGUGUAUAAUCUUGCAACAAAGACCCUCAAACGCUUCCCCGGUCUUGGUCUCGAUCUCUCCAACAAUUUAAAGCUCAAGGAUGCUCGAUGGUUUCUCCCAUCUUGAACAUUUUGGUGUUCUUGAGAAUCUCCACACCUUUUCUCCUAUUUUUCUUUUUAUUUCUAUUUCUAGUCGGCUCCAAAAGUUUACAACUAACCCUAUAGCACCAAACUUGAAGAGAAGUCAAAUUGGGGUUUCAUUUGUGCCAAAAUUCUUUUUGUUGGAACUCGGUUUACGUGUUAGCAAGUUAUAACAAUAGAUUCUUUCCAAAAAAUCGUUACUCAAACAUAAGUAAAGCAUUAUACUAACCUUCUCUUUAAAAACCAUAUUGUUUCUUUUGGUAUCACCAUUUUGUUGUGGUGUGUUAUUGUUGGAAUUCAGACCAUGAAUUAUGCUCUAGAGCUUUUGCACCAAAUCGUUCCACACUAUCGUACAAAAACGUAAAUGGGCCGGCCCGUUUUCAAAAACGGCGCCGUUUUAGGUUCACUUUAGUACUACGACAAGCAUUUGGCAACAAUUUUCGAGAUCCUCAAGCUUCUGUCCUGUGUUUCCGAGGUUAGUUUUUUUCGUUUCACUAAAUUCGUGUUUUGAUAUAUUAGGGUUUGUUUCGAUCGGAAUAAUUAUAAGCAUUGGCAACAAUGAUCUAUUACAUGUUAGAAGCUUAUACAUAGCGAAUUGCGUUACAUUAUUUAUUUGAUAAAACUCAACUAUAUAGCUGUAUUAAACACAUGAUUCAGAUAAUGGAUAAUUUUUUUUAAUAGAUCAGUGAUUCUAAAUUUUUUGGAAUUUUCAUUUGCAGAUAUGGAUUCUGAAUUUCAACAAACAACUGCUCAGAGUGAAUUUCUAGAUAUGAAUGAGGAAGAUUGUCAAAUUGAGAUCAAUGAGAAAGAAACAAAAAUUCAAGAACAUGAUCAAAGUGAUGAAUCUCAAGCUAAACGUAAGAGACGCCGCCUAACUUCUUCUGUAUCACUACGUGGAGAAGCAAAUGUCAAAGAAACAGAUAAAAGCAUGGAGACUCCAAAUUCUAGCCCCUGCUGGUCGGAGCUCCCUGGUGACAUAUUAAGAUCUGUGUUUAAACGUUUGAGUUUUGUUGACUUCCAGCGCGCUAAGAUCGUGUGUUUGAGUUGGUAUUCAUCUUCUCCCAUCUUUCUUUGUUGUUUCUCUCCACAUUUUGGUGAUAAAUGUUAAGAGUUUUGGUGUUUUUCCUUUUUAGAUUAAGAUUAUGAUUUGGAAUGUCUCGUGGUCCUAUAUAAGGGUCUUUGGUU
rnacentral:lncRNA from 1 species